UUUUUUUUUUUUUUUUUUUUGUCAAGAUGAUAGCUACUUAGCAAAAAGAAUUCUUUAUUAUUUUUAUCCCAUUUUACAAUUUCUUUUCUUCCUUUUUUCUUCAUCUCUAAUCUCUCAUGUUUGCUCUAUUUUUUGAUCAUAAUGUUAUAGCCAACUGGCAUUUGUUUGUUAAAUUUAUAGGAUGAUGUUUUUAUUUGAUAGUUCUUCAUGGAUAAAAGGUGAACUAUUAAAAUAUCUUAGAAUUCAUUUUAUACCAAUGAUCAUUUUCUAUGAAUAAUAGAACAAAAAUUCAUUCUUUUAUUUUAUCCUCCCAUGAUUUGAUUUCUGACUUCACAUUUUGUUUCAUUUUCUUUGUUUUUUUGGUUCCAUUUUGUAAUUAUCUACAAUUUUGUGUAUUUUUUUAGGAGAAAGAUAUAUCAUGUGAUGUUUCCACCAAGAUAAAUCUAGCUAGGCAUCCUUGUAUCUCCAUUUUUCUCCAUUUCUUUUUUUUUUUUGCAAUUACUUUAUGGCCUAUUCAAUUUAAUUGAAGGAUCCAAUAAGAUUUUGUAUAUAUUUAAACUAAAGUUAAUUUUUGUUUGUUUUUUAAGUACUCUAAGUGUUGUAGUAUCAAUUGGGUUGGUAUUCAAGGAUUGCAGUCGGUGGUGGAAGUCACAAUUGAGACUUUCGACCUAGAGUGUGACUUGACAAAAAAUUGUUAGAAAAUUCAAUUUUGAUUAGGAAGAUGGUUUUGCAAUAAAAAAUAGUUCAAUUCUAAUUUGUAUAUGUAGAUCAAGAAACAUAGCAAUUCAUAUUUUUAUCUAAUCUUGCUAUUUAUAUUCUGGAGCUACAGGAUAAUGUUGUCACCUUUAGGCGGAAUUUAAAUAGAUGAACUGGAUUCUUCUAUCAAAAGAAAGAAAAAUAUGAAAGUUUAUAGUAAGCUAUAUUGAUGUUGAAGAUUGUGCCAUGUUUUAGCAGCUUCCUAAACUUUUUCUCAUUAUUAAAGUAUUAAAAGUAUUACGACUGCUUUUGAUUUAGUUUUAACUAAAACUAUACUAUUAUUAAUACAUCAAUGCACUUAUAAUGUAUUAAUUUUCUCUCCUUUUUGGGUAUCAUACAAUAGUGGUUCAAAAAUCUUUAUUCAAAUCACAAUAAAUAGGGAGGUUGAAUUCAUAGAUGGGAUUUCUCUUUACAACAAAUUUUGAGAGAAAUUUUUAUUUAUUCUCCAUAUUUUGUUAAUUGUAUUCCUACAAUAAACAAAAGGUAUAUGAUAAAAAUAAUAGCGGAAGUAUGAUUAACAAAAAUGAGAGUUCAAAUAAUAUUUGUCAAUUUUAAUUGCUUUGAUGUUCAAUUUUUCUCCUAUAUUUCUAUUCAUUUAUCAUGUGGCAAAAUAAUUUGGUGCCAUGCAUUCGACUAAAUUUCUAGGGGGCCCAAACUGUGCUUUGCACAGUUCAAGUGCUUCUAGUAAUUAUAAUUAAAAGACAUGAGGAUAAUUCAGGGAUAGCAAAAACUAAGAUUAAAAAGUACUUACACUCCCUAAUACUAACUUUUAUACUUUUUAUAUAGUAAUGAUGAUUAGGUCAAAGCUUAAACUGGUGUUAGGAAACCUUGUACCUAGAUUGGAGAUUAUUUGAAAUAAUUAUUGUAACAUUUUUUGCGAUAUAAUGUAUAUGAAAUAAAAAUGUAUUUGAGAAGAUAAAAAGUUAAUUGAAAAAUGCAUUUGCAAUGCAGACCAAGUCAUAUUUGGAAAAAAAAAAUUGCCACCCCCAUAUUUGUAGUUAAUGGCCGUUUCAGGCCCAACAUAUUCGAGCAAUCACUCCAUUAUGCCAUUAAGGAUUCUGUGUCCCAAAAUACAAUCUGCACAUUCACCUUAUGGCUUGAAAACGCAGGCUUUUAUGCCCCGUUUUUUUAACAGCUAAAUACAGUCUGACAUCCAAAACUACACGAGUCAAGUUCGAGAACAUCCGACUGAACGGUACAUACGUCAAACUAGAUACGAUCAUCAUGGAAAAGCGAGCUACCCAAGAAAGAGAGAAUUUUUAUAGUGAAUAAAAGAAGGCAAUGACAUUGAAAAUCAAAACUUUUGUGGCUGUAAAGCAAGAUUUUCCAAACGUAGCACCUACUUUGAUAUAGAAAGUUAUAAAUACCAACAGAAAAUAUGAAAUACUCCUACGCUCAGAAAAUAAUGCAAGAGUGAAACCAAAAAUUACAGCCAAAUUAAUCCUAUCCGUCAUGAUCACGACAUUAAUAAAUUACGGAGGAAAGAAAGACUCAUCUCACAACAAUGAUCCUAUUUUAAUUCCAAACAAUCUUCUAUCCCUCUUCCUCCAUCUUAUACUAAUUUCCCUUUUUUUUUGGGAACACAAAAAGAAGCAACUAAUUAGCUGAAAAUUUUAGAGAAACCAAGCUCUUGACAUGCGGAAUAUACCUCCAACUCUCAUUCAUUUCGUAACCCUUGUCCAAGUGAAAUGAGUUGAUAACUCCUGUCUUCAUAUUAUAUGUAAUGCAAUUUCUUGAUGGAUGUGUCUUAUGAUGGUAGUACCACUUUCCAUGUGGAAUCCCAUCUUCGUGUGCGACAUAGAGGACAGCAAUUUCCCCAUCUUUCAAGAAACCAACAGGCAGAAUUUGAAAUCCUGCUGGACAUAAAGUGCGCCGAAGCAUUUGCUCCUGAGGUCCUAGAUCAAUAAUGGCCAACUUAGUCCAUUCACCAGCUUCUGCAUCUUUUAGCAACCAGAGCUCCCAUGAAAACUUCCCCAAGUAAUCCAUGAAACAAAGUGACUGCCCAGUUCCAAUAUAAGUCCUCCUUUUCCUCUCGGGACAUUUUGGGGCAGCACGCGUGUAGAAAGUCUCGGUUUCAAGAUCUAAAUUAAGAACCAAAGGAAACUUAUAAUGUGUCCAAUGCAAAAUUCCUUCUGCACUAGAAAUUGGCUUGUUGAAAAACAAGUCAAAGAAUCCAAAUUUGUCAAUUUCCCUAGUCUCAUUCCGUCGGCAAAGGCACCUCCAUUCUCUAUCAACACCAAGCGUUAGUAUCCCACCUUCCAAUUUCUUCUGAUGAUUAAAGUAGAACUCAACCAGUUUAUAUUUCUUUGAGCAAGUAUAUCCUAUACCCGAAAAACUUGGACAUGCACUGUCUGCAGCUGAGGGAGGAGGGAGGGUUACAACUUCCUUUGUAACUAAAUUUGCAACAUAGCGAUUUCCAUCUUCACUUUCAGCCAUCAAGACCAAACCAUUACAACUGCUCGUACCAUAUUUUGGCAAAUGAGAAGAGUCUACCUCAGUGAUCUCAGGAAGAUCAUUCUUCACCAUUUUGACAUAAUGUAUAUUGCAAUCUUGAAGAAUUUGCUGGAUAAGCAUGCCCCUGUCCACCUUUAGGAGGUGUGCAUCAAUGAAUGUAGGACUAGAAAUGAUGUUGUACCACUCUCGACAGACACCUCAUCACAUUGUAAAGUAUGUCUGCAGGAAGGUAGACAAGAAUAUUGAACAUAAUUUCUGGUGAAAGAUAAGGUAUAGAAGGUCUCCGCCGUAUCUUCUGAUCAUUAGCAUGAGGAUAUAAGGUAUGCCUCUUAGAUUCUGGGACGCAAUGGGAUACAUUACAUUGCACUUUCCUGCAAGCAGGACGAGGACGGAGGUUAUACCUCUUGAGCAUAUGAUCGACCCCCUUAGCCAUCUGGACCACAAAACACUGAAGCCAAUGCUCUACUGCAAAUAUUCGUUAACACUCAGUUAAACUAAAAGACACUUAAAGAAGGGAAAUAAGCGGGAAAAAGGAUAACUGGGGGAGAAUUAAAACUAGCAUAACUAUGUCUCAGUUGAACAAGUCUCCAAUUGCAAACUGUUUAUAAAAUAUGCACAGUAUUGUUAAGGCCUUUAUGUAAACAAGGUACGUCUCUAUACACGUAAAAGGAUGAAACACUGUUCAACCAUAUCUUUUUUUCUCUCUUUUUUAAAGCGGUAUAUUGAUAGCCACAGUUCCAGAACUUCAAAGAUUUCAUCGGAUACUAUACUAUUUCCAUUUUGUGUUAUGUAUAUAAUCUUGUUGUGAUUGAUGGUUUAGAUUUUACGAUAUCUUCCGCUAGGAAAUUACCUAAUCGAUUCCUACAAAUUGACUAUCCCAAUUAUUCUCAUCACACCGUAAUCGCUCUCCCAAAUUCCGCCAUUUUCCAUUUCUACAAAUUUCUUAACCCUAGUUGGGAUUCUAUUUUGAGUUGAGAUUACUCCUAACAAAAAAAGAGAAAUUCUUUGGCCCUUUUGAAUCUCAUGUCCACCGAAAUCACCUUCCCUAACCCAGUCAGAAGCGGUUGUGAGAAAAUUGGACGUCUCUCUUCCGAAGAGAGACUCCACACUGCAGCAUUAGGAGCAAGAUCACCAUUUGGAGUAAGCUUUUUCUUCUUCUUUUUUUUUUUCCAGUUUGUUAUUCAGUUAUGCAUCUCUUUAUAUAAGGUGCUUUUUCUUGAAUUAUCUCUAGUAUUUUCUUGGAGCAGUACUUUUUUAUUAGUUUUCCAACUUGGUAGGAAAUUUCGUUUUGGAAAAAAGAUGAAAUGCAAGAUAAGCAAUGGAUUCCCUGCUUUAUAACGGUAGCUGUUGAAUGUUGACCAUCUCUGCCUGCAAAAAAUAUAGUUCAACUCUUCCCUUUUUUCAUCUGUUAAUAAUCAGCGCUCGGCUUAUUUAUUAUGCUUUUGUUUUGGCUUUUUCUAGUGAUUUGGGUUUUUGGAAUAUCCAGCUCUAAUUUUCUGGGAUCCACAAGUUCUGGAGAAUGAAUGAAUCCACUAGCCUGCAUAAAUUUCUAGGCUAAAAUUUGUUCCUGCAUCAGCUACUUGGGAUUUGGGUGGCCGGGGGGGGGGGGGGAGAGAGGAGGGGGUAAAGCUGGAAAUGGUUGUCGAUUUGCUUAAAGCGUCGACCACAUUUCACAGUCACAGUGGUGAUACUUGUUUUCUUCAAUUAUUCAAUUUAUAAUUUUUGAAACUGCAAAAAAUGCACUCAAUUUUGUUCAAUUGUUGGUAUAGAAAUGCUCAUUCUGGAAUAUGACAAUUUUAAAUGGAUUUGUGAUGCCUUUAUAGUAAUUGUUAGGGGCAUUAUCUACAAAAAAGUGUAAAAACAAAAAAGAUUGAAUCUUUAUUAGUACUGUAUCAAAAAGUUUUGAUUGAUAUCUUUGUUUAUUAUAUGCAUCAACUUCCUGUGCAGCAAAAAUAGGGAAAAAAAAGUAGAUCUUUACUUUGUCUUAAUUGAUAUCUUUGCACAGCAUAUUGCCAUUAAUUUCCCAUGCAGCAUUCAAGAAAGCUUUGAUUGUUGAUUUCGAACUUAUGCACAUCAAAUACGAACACAGCAAUACAAUUUUUAUCAUUUUAAGUUUUAAUAGUGGCACAUUAAAGUCUAUAGUAGCUUCAGUUUUCAGUCAUGGCAAAACUAAUGCUAUCCUUGUAUUGACCAAUUAAUCCUUUUGAAUUCAUUUCUGGAUCAGCUAUUGGAAUUUGAAAAUUUAGAAUGUAUUUGGAAUGCAUUAGUAUUUACUGUUAACAGUGGCGACAUACAAUAAAGAAGUUCAAUGUCCUGUAACUUUGAAGUUCUGGUGUAACUUUGAAGUUCUGGAACUGUGGCUAUCAAUAUACCGCUUUAAAAAAGAGAGAAAAAAAGAUAUGGUUGAACAGUGUUUCAUCCUUUUACGUGUAUAGAGACGUACCUUGUUUACAUAAAGGCCUUAACAAUGCUGUGCAUAUUUUAUAAACAGUUUGCAAUUGCAGACUUGUUCAACUGAGACAUAGUUAUGCUAGUUUUAAUUCUCCCCCAGUUAUCCUUUUUCCCGCUUAUUUCCCUUCUUUAAGUGUCUUUUAGUUUAACUGAGUGUUAACGAAUAUUUGCAGUAGAGCAUUGACUUCAGUGUUUUGUGGUCCAGAUGGCUAAGGGGGUUGAUCAUAUGCUCAAGAGGUAUAACCUCCGUCCUCGUCCUACUUGCAGGAAAGUGCAAUGUAAUGUAUCCCAUUGCGUCCCAGAAUCUAAGAGGCAUACCUUAUAUCCUCAUGCUAAUGAUCAGAAGAUACGGCGGAGGCCUUCUAUACCUUAUCUUUCGCCAGAAAUUAUCUUCAAUAUUCUUGUCUACCUUCCUGCUGACAUACUUUACAAUGUGAUGAGGUAUGUCUGUCGAGAGUGGUACAACAUCAUCUCUAGUCCUACAUUCAUUGAUGCACACCUCCUAAAGGUGGACAGGGGCAUGCUUAUCAAGCAAAUUUAUCCAGAUUGCAAUAUACAUUAUGUCAAAAUGGUGAAGCAUGAUCUUCCUGAGAUCAUUGAGGUAGCCUCUUCUCAUUUGCCAAGAUAUGGCAUAAGUAGUUGUAAUGGUUUGGUCUUGAUGGCUAAAAGUCAAGAGGAAAAUCGUUAUGUUGCAAAUUUAGUUACAAAGGAAGUUGUAACCCUCCCUCCUCCUUUAGCUGCAGCCAAGGCAAAUCCAAGUUUUUCGGGUAUAGGAUGUACUUGUUCAAAGAAAUAUAAACUGGUUGAGUUCUACUUUAAUCAUCAGGGGCCAUUGGAAGGUGGGAUACUGACUCUUGGUAUUGAUAGAGAAUGGAGGUACCUUUGCCGACGGAAUGAAACUAGGGAAAUUGACAAAUUUAGUUUCAUUGACUUGCUUUUCAAGAGGCCAAUUGCUAGUGCAGAAGGAAUUUUGCAUUGGACACAUUAUAAGCUUCCUUUGGUUCUUAAUUUAGAUCUCGAAACUGAGAUCCUCUACACUCGUGCCACUCCAAAAUGUUCCGAGAUGAAUAGGAGAACUUAUAUGGGAACUGGACGGUCACUUUGUUUCAUGGAUUACUUGGGAAAGUUUUCAUGGGAGCUCUGGUUGCUAAAAGAUGCAGAAACUGGAGAAUGGGAUAAGCUGGCCAUUAUUGAUCUAGGACCUCAGGAGAAAAUGCUUCGGCGCACUUUGUGUCCGACAGGAUUUCAAAUUGUGCCUGUUGGUUUCCUGAAAGAUGGGGAGAUUGCAGUCCUCUAUGUUGCACACGAAGAUGGGAUACCGCAGGAAAGGUAUUGCCGUCAUAAGACACAUCCAUCAAGAAACUGCAUUACGUAUAAUGUGAAGACAAGAGUGAUCAACUCAUUUCACUUGGAUAAGGGUAGCACUUUUGAAAUGAAUGAGAGUUGGAGGUAUACUCCGCAUGUCAAGAGCUUGGUUUCUCUAAAAUUUUCAGCUAAUUAGUUGCUUCUUUUUCUGUUCCAAAAAAAAAAAAAAGAUAUUGGUGUGAGAUGGAAGAAGAGGGAAGGGAGACUGGUUGGAACUAGAAUAGCAUCAUUGUUGUGAGAUGUCUUUCUUUCCCCAUUAAUUUAUCAAUGCCAUGAUCAUGAAGGAUUGGAUUAACUUAGUCGUAAUUUGUGGUUUCAUUCUUGCAUUAUCUUGUGAGCAUAGGAGUAUUUGAUAUUUUCUGUUGGUAUCUAUAACUUUCUAUUUCUCAUCAAAUUAGUUGCUACGUUUGGAAAAUUUUUUUAUUACAGCUGCAAAAGUUUUGUUUUUCAAAUGUCAUUGCACUCUUUUAUUGGCUAUAAAAAAUCUCUCUUUGUUGGGUAGCUCGCUUUUCCAUGAUGAUCGUAGCUAGUUUGACGCGUACCAUUCAGGUCACCCAGCCAUUGGAUGUUCUCUAGAGAAUCUUUUCAAGGCAAUGAUUCACAGGCUAUAGGUCCAUAAUUGAUAAGCUUUUCUUUACUAGUUAAGUCCUAAGAAUAUGAUUUAUAAUUUUUGGGAACAAUAAUAGAAGUACAAAAAUCUGAACUGCAGAAGAAAAUCAAUCUGAAAAAUCACAUACCCAUUCCACGAUUUGUGGCACCACCAAAUGUAGUGGAAAUGGUAUAAUUUGCAUUCUGUGAGUUCUUCGUCUUCUGCUUGAACUGGAAAGCUUUUUAUUCAUGGGAGGGGACUAUCAUUCUUAUGUUUGAGGUUGCUGCAAAUUUCGCUUAUAAUGUUGGAAGAUUGCAAAAUGGAUUCCUAUCGUUUCAAACCCAAUAUUUGGCAACAAUUUAUAGGUUUUCUGCGUGAGAGAUCAGAGACACAGUGUUGAAAGAAGAAACUUCAAAGAAAUUGCCAUAGUUGACUAAUUGAUUCUAAUAAUACGAGAAGUAAUUCUUAAGUUUCUUUGUUUGCUUUUAAUCAGCAAGCAAAAAAUUUUUGCUCGAGAAAAUGUAAUGCAAAAAACAUUGAAUGACAUUAGCCUAAACUUUGGAUAUUUGUAAUUUCAGAUAAAAAGUUCCAAGAAUUAAAAUGUGGAUUCUUCAAUUGCUGCUUGCCCCCUCUACUUUAGCUUCAGCUUCUGGUUCAUCGCUGGGUUCCACUACCUCAAGCUUCUGGUUCGUUGCUAAAUGGGUGCCCACUGUGAAGUGAAAAACAUUUACUUUAGCAUUUAGAAAAACUUUUAAUAGAGCAAAAAAGCAUGGGACAAAAAGUGAUACUAAUGGCAUAUUUUACAAAAGGAAGAUGAUCCUGUCAUUUUAGACACAGCUUUACAGAGUUGCAAUGGAAUGAGAAGGGAAUUCGUUAGCAAAGAAUGAAAAAUCUCCAACUGAUCAAGACGAUACAAAAGUAUUUGACUCAUAUAAAUUUAGCAAAGAUCUUUAAACGCCAAGAAUUUGUAGAUUUAGCACUAUCUAUUAUACACCUAUGCCUGGAUCUUAACUGCCUAUGUAGGGGCUAAAGUCUUAGGGAAUUGAUCCAUUUCCAACACAAAGCUUUUGAAUGUCAAUGAAGAUCACAGAAUAGUCAGUACACGAUUCCAUGACACUGGUCAAUUAUUUUCAUGGUAGUAUCGUCUAACUACUGCAGAAUAUGGUAAGGCUGAUGACAUCCAAGUAUCAUACUCGGGCUGUUCUCUGACCUAACAAUAAACUUUCCAAUCCACAACUACGCAGACGCAAACAUAUUAGGUUAAGCAAGAAGAGUUCUGUCAGGACUUUAAACAUGACUCUUUGUAAUAUUUUACACUCGAUAGAUCCUAUCUGUUCCAAAAGCCACUGAAAUUGUCCGCAACCCCUUUUAUAUCAGAAGCAAAAUGAAACAAAUAAAUGAGAAGCAAAAAGGAAUAGGCUUAAGACCUUGCCAUUUAAGCUGCCUAAGAUCAAUAACUUACCAUUUAUCUCUGAAUAAGUGAAAUCAGAAAUGAAUACAUCAAGAAACACUCAGGGUCAAUACUCAGCAAAGUUCUGUUAUGAGUUAGUUUUGGAAUUAUUGGCACACUUCUUUUCCAUAUUCAGAUAGACAAAAGGCAUCGCUUGAAAUUACCGUUACUUGUGAAUUUUAGGAAACAUGGCACCCUAUAAGAGAAGGAUUCAUCUUUACAUGUUACAGGUUGGAAAGCAGAAUGAGGUAAAGGAAAUGGGACUCUCUGCAUCAAUGCCUACAGCUUAGACAAAAGGGAAAAGAAGGGGUCAAAAGCAUGAACUGAUAACGGGGAUAGGGAUGGCGAGAAUCAAGAAAUCGUUGUAAGACAAUAACAUCAUACGGUAAGAAUUUUUAGCACGAGUAUCAAUCAAAGGAAUUUUCCUGCAAUAACAAAGUUUUACAACAAUGACAUAUUUUACUAAUAUUUUGGUAAUCUCCAUAUUCUCAUUUUCUCAAAAAUAUUAGCAUGAAAUAUAUGAAGAAAAACUGACUUCGACUUUUCAACUCAUUUAGAAAGCUGCAACAAUGCUUCUUUAGCCCACGAAUCUAUUUAGCAUAAACUUUUUUCCAAGCUCAAAACUUAGCUAUUUAACAUUUACUAUCUUUGUAUUAGACCCAUAAACUCCAACACUAGAAAGUAGAAAAUAGGUAAAACAGGGAAAGAGAGUAAAAGAAAAGCAACAGAAUUCCUAAAUCCUAACAGCAAAAUAGAAAUGAAAAACAGAAUUAAUUAGGAUGUGAAUAGACAAAACUUCUUGUUUUUAUUGUAGAGCACCUUGUCCGUUUUCAACGUAACUAGACAAUUUAGUAACAACAAUGUAGAAAAAGUAAACAAUGAAAUAAAUGUACCUGAUUUCUCUUUGAAUUCUUUUCUCCUCUUCUUUAAGUUCAUUGAUUUCAAGCCUUAGGCUCUCAAUUUGUGCCAAAGUCCUGAAACAAUGACUUUGAAUUGUAUUACCAGGUCUUUCUAACAUUUUCAUAAACAGAAAUAUUACCCUGCAAUAUAUUCUUAAACAAAAAUAUUACCCUGCAUUUGGGGUGUUCCUCAAGGUGACCACAAUCCCGCUAUCAUCUAUUUUCAUACAGAAGGUGGUGGAAACAAUGUCUUCAAUUUCUUUGAUAAGAUCAAUACAUUCUAUCUGCCCCUGCUCAGCUCCGAAAUUACUUUUAAGAGUACAAAUAAUGUUUUCCGCCAGUUUUGUAGAAGGCAAAGCAUCAGAAUCUGUAGGAAUCUCUGUAAGGACAUUGUAGUAAAUCAGAGUUUCCAAAAGCUGCCGACGUAAAGAUGUAUCUUCAUUGUUCAUAAGGAUUUGACUCACAAGUGCCCUCAAUUCCUUCUUUUUCUGGUCCAGAGUAUUUAGCAGUCCAGAUAAACUAAAACAGUUAAAACAAUGCAAAUCAGUCAAGCAUUGAGAAUUAAUAUAGAGUGAAGAAAUAAGGCAACACGUGAAUAAAAAAUUGGGCUGAUAAAUAGCAACUUUGAUUUGUAAAAUGGUAAAUUUUGUUAUCAUCAUUAUUUAUUCACAACUAAACCCCAAUCAGUUAUGACAAUUUCUUAAAAAAAUUACUAUGAACAUAACAAGACAUAUCAUUCUAAUAAAAUAAGUUGUAUGUACAAUUAUACAAUCAUUUAGUGUAACUUAUACACCAUAAACUCUAAAAUAUGGGGAUAAAUAUCACUUAUAUUAAGAGAGGAAAUUACCGUGUAUUUGGACUUUGUGCAUUUUCGCCAGAAGGACUUCCCAUGUCCAUGUUGGAGCAACCACCCGGGAAGUCAUGUGACCUAGGCAAUUCAUUGAUCAAAUAUGCUAAGGGCUGCAGUGAUCUUAAGUGAGAGCAAUCUUAUCAAUUGAAUGUUCCUAAAAAGCUAUCAUAUAAUUUUAUAACAAUAUUGGAGCAGAAGUACACAGUGGCAUAAUAUUUGCAUUAAUCCUGCCGCUUUCCUCAAUAUUACGAGCUAUACCUAUGUCUUUCUACUUUUGUUGCAGAGUAGUGUACUAGCAGUACAUUCUCAAGAUCUAAGCUCAUUCUGGACAACUUUUUCUUGGCAGUUUUUUGGGUUCAGAAAAUUGCAUUUCUGCAUAGGUGUUACUAAGGGAAUCAGAGGCAAAUAUUGAGGCAGUACAGAGCAAAUUUCGUUUCUGUCAGAUUUUGUGAGGUUUUUUGUGACAGAUACACCAAUUCACCUCAUACCUAUUCAGUUUUGAUUCGGGUAUGCCUUGAUAAAAGACUAGUGAAUGAUAAUUUUGUAUAAUAACGAGACGUAUAAAAGAAUAGUAAAACUUACAUUGACGUCCUCAUAUCCACACCCAGGGGUGAUGUACUGCUAUGCCCUUGUCUACUAGUCUCGUCAGUAUCUUUCCCCACCUCUUGCAUUGUUUGAUCUCGUUCAAUGUCCGUCCCCACUUCUUGCAUUGUGUGAACUCGUACAUCUGAGUGGUUUUUUUUCUUACUUGGCCUAGUAUUUAUUGGCCCUUUUAGUGCAGCAAUAACUUGUGGAUCAAGUUUACUCCUGUUGGAAACAUGGACUUAUAAAUAAUAUAUGCUUAAUAAUCAAUCACCCUUUAAUAACUUUGCCUCAUCCACACUAUUACAGAGAAUAACUUACCUUAUGUUUCUCAAUUGGACACUCCUACCCCCCUCCACAUCAGCAGAGGUGCUGACUCCUAUGGGUUGGAAUCCCUGAACUGGUGACUCUACCUCCCUAUCAUGAGAGCUUUCUAAACCCAUGCUGUCUCUUGUAGGCUCCAAACCCUCAACCUGUGGUUGUCGAUGAGAGUUUUCAGGACCUAUUGUGCCUCCUGUAGGCUCGAAACCCUCAACUUGUUCCUGUUGAUGAUUGCUUUCUUGACCUGUGGAGUCUCCAAUAGGCUCAAAACCCCCAAAUUGUGACUGUUGUGGCUCCAUCAUCUCCAUAUUAUGAGAGCUCUGAGGAAUUGUGCUGCCACCAAUAAGCUCGAAUCUCUCAUCCAUGCUCCCUCCCAUAGUCUCAUUUGCCCUACAAACAAUGUGGCAGAAUAGUUUGAAGAAAGAAAUCUUAACAUUUCAAGAAAUGCUCAUUCUUUAACCCAUUUAGCUUCUACAAAAACAUAUUUAGUGUGGAAUUGAUGUCAACAUGACUAAUUAAUUAUCUUACCCAAUUGGACUUCCAGCGAUAGCAUUAUUCUCUACCUCAUGAACACUAUUCUCCGCGUCAUCUGCACCUCUUUCUUCCCUAGACACCGGUACCCUAUAAAAUAAUAUUGAUCAAAUUUAAAGAAAUGCAAAUAUAGUUCGGAAAAUUUCCAACAACGCCCCAAACUUAAUGAAUUGUGUUAUUCGUUUGAGUUGAGUUAUAUAUACAACUCAAAUAUUACCUACGUCGCCUAGAACUUCUUGUCCUCCCUCUCAAUGUAGCCAAGACUGUUGGAUCAGUAUAACUACUGUAGAAAGCAUGAAAGUAAAUCAUGAGUGCUAAAGAGAUAAAAGUUCUCUACCCAGAAAGUGAGUCGAUUUGCAUAAUGAUCAGUGUUACUUACUUUUCCUGCCUACAAGAUCGAAAAGUAAUUUCUUUUAUCACUAGAUUCCCAGAAUCAACUCCUGGAUAUUAAAACUGAGUAUGUAAAUACAAGUCACAAAGUCCCCAAAGGAGAAAAAAAGAAAAAAGAAAGAAAAACAUCAACAUCCAAAUUAUUCUAACCUAGGCGAGUCUUCUGCCCCAGCGCUUUAAGGAGUGAGUUGGCAAAAUCUACAACCAGAUCUUUGGUAUUCUGAUCACCAUAUCCAUCAUACUUUGCAUUGACUGGUUCCAACUUUUUUCUGUAAUAUUCCUUUUGGCUCUCAGUCAAUGUUACCUCAUGCUUGGGGCGCUCUUCGGCAGGUGGUAACUGCAUACGCUUGCGUUUCUGGUAUUCUUCUCCCACAUUGCCACCUUGUUGCUGUUCUUGCGCUUGCUGCUGUUCUUGCAGAGUGGUAUCUUGGCGGUCUUCCAUUUAUAACUGCAACUUAACCACUGAAAAAUCAGGACAAACGCACAUUGAAAAGAGAAGAUAUGUGAUGCUAAAGGAGUAGAAAUCCCAAAUCCAAUUCCAGAAGAACAAGGAACUAGAGAAUGUUCUUGGAAGAACAAGAAUCACGAAAUUAGAGAGAGAGGAAGAAGCUAGCUGAUCUCUCCUGUUUUUUUUUCCUUCUUUUUAUUUGCUUUAGGGCAAAAAACUGCCUAACUAGCCAUCAGCAAUAACCCAAAUAACUAACUUCCAGAUCAGCAUUAACAAACUAACUGUCAAGAUUCCCUUGUACUGAUUACAAUCAAGAAUUGCUAACUUUGAUAUCAAACGGUGCAAAAAUAACAAAAUAACUCCAUAAUGCAUCAUAAUCCAAAUUAAUUUUAUGCAUUAAUUAUAUAUAAAAAAUAUACAUCACAAUGUAUGUUUACACGGUUUAGCACCUUGAAUGUGAUCAUGCAUGCAUGCACGCAUGCAUGGGAAGCAGAAAACAAUACAAGAUAGAGAAUUCCCUCUACAAGAAUUGACUAAUCUUAAAAAUUACAUAUCGUACGUAUUCGUCAUUGUCAAAAAACUACUGCAGCAACUAUAUGUAGCAUUAGUAGUAGUAGUAUGCAUCAGUUGCAAUAAAGGAAUAAUACAACGCAUAUAAUACAUCAGAAAGAAAAAAUAAUACAACGCAUAUAAUACAUCAGUUGCAAUAAUACAACGCAUAUAACUAGUGGCAAUAAAGGAAAAAAAAAAAAAGAAAGAAACAACAAGAAUUAAGAUGUAUGCAAAAAUUACCUCGUUAAAAGGUUUGAUCCCAAGAUGUGAAGUAACUACAACUUGUUUGAGAUUUUAGAAUUUCUAGGGUGGACAAAGAAAAACAUGGCCUCCUAUUUAUAAUGACCUGAUAAUUGGGUUUUAAGAACUUCCAAUUUCUGCUUUUGGAAGUUGGACAAAGUUUCGUGCAUGUCCAACCUUAUGGAAGCUUUCUAUAUAUUUCCUCUGAUGUUUUUCAUUUUAGGAAACCGCUCUAAUCCUUUUCAAUUCAUGAAAAUGAAGAAUUAAUAAAUCUAAAGUAAUAUAGAAUUGUAAACAUGCAACGCAACUAGAAAAUGAAUUUUGGUUUAUAUCCUUGUGACUUUAGUUUAUUGUUGGAAAAUAUGUUACUCAAAACAUGUAUGGAACUUUGAUUUGAAUCUAUCAAACUCUAUUAACUUUUGUUUGGAUUUGUUCAAAGUGGAAAUGAAGAGAAAUAGAAUAUAGAGUUACAUUGGUUCAAAAUUUUUUAGGUUUACAUUUUCUCCUAUGGCCGUCAAAGCUGAAGCAAUACAAGCAACCCAGCCAGAAGGGCUGUAUUUCUGGCUGAUCGCUUCUGAUUUAAGGAAGAUCAGGUGCCCAGUCUUGGCUUCAGCUGUCAAGCGGAGUGGUAUAUGCAUGACGAUUUAAAAGUGCUAUCUCUUAGUUUUCUUCUAGGUUUAUUUGACGUAGGUGAUUUGCGUACCAUGCGUGAUGAAUUCUUAAAGUGCUGCUUUAGGUGAAAUCUACAACUAGAAGGAUAGAAGGAAUCUGUGUAUUUUCUGAAGAAACUUCCAGUGCUUGACCUUUAUCAUCUACUUUGUCACGAAUAUUUGCAUCCGUUUUGUUUGAUGGAGACUUAUUAUCAUGUCAUUGUGGGUUAAUUAUAAUUGCCACGACAAUUGAACCUGUAAUCUUUGGCCCAAUCGUUUUAUCACGUUAAGGAACUGAAACCUUCAUUUACAAUAUAGCAGGGCGGUCCGAGUUGAUCGUUUGGAGGCACCUGGUCUUACUGCCCAAGCAAAUCUUAUUGUUUCCUCUUUACCUGCACGAUCUAAUCAGGCAGAGACAAAAGGUUUAUUCCCGUCGAGAACCACCCAGCAUCUCAGUCUGCCCAGACGAAUAGGCAAGAGCACACAACAACAUGCAAGAGCCUCUAACCUUUUCCCCAAAAUCAGGCGACGUACUGUGACCAUCCUGUGUUGCAAAGCCAAUUGUUUUUUUCAACUGUCUGCAAUUAAGGUUCGUACUGUCUUUGUUGUGUCGUCGGUAAUUAGGAUCCAUAAAUAUUUUUGCCGAAAUGUUGACCCUUUUUAAAAUUUACAAAAUUUAAAAAAGGGGGGGGGGGGGUAUCGGAUCCUUUGAUUUUUGGGUGCAAUGAACUUUAAAUGCUUAUUUACAUCAUUAAUGUUUUAAAUCCUCCAUUGUUCAAUUUCAAAUGAAUCUUUUCCACCACCAAGAUUUCAUCGGAUACUAUACUAUUUCCAUUUUGUGUUAUGUAUAUAAUCUUGUUGUGAUUGAUGGUUUAGAUUUUACGAUAUCUUCCGCUAGGAAAUUACCUAAUCGAUUCCUACAAAUUGACUAUCCCAAUUAUUCUCAUCACACCGUAAUCGCUCUCCCAAAUUCCGCCAUUUUCCAUUUCUACAAAUUUCUUAACCCUAGUUGGGAUUCUAUUUUGAGUUGAGAUUACUCCUAACAAAAAAAGAGAAAUUCUUUGGCCCUUUUGAAUCUCAUGUCCACCGAAAUCACCUUCCCUAACCCAGUCAGAAGCGGUUGUGAGAAAAUUGGACGUCUCUCUUCCGAAGAGAGACUCCACACUGCAGCAUUAGGAGCAAGAUCACCAUUUGGAGUAAGCUUUUUCUUCUUCUUUUUUUUUUUCCAGUUUGUUAUUCAGUUAUGCAUCUCUUUAUAUAAGGUGCUUUUUCUUGAAUUAUCUCUAGUAUUUUCUUGGAGCAGUACUUUUUUAUUAGUUUUCCAACUUGGUAGGAAAUUUCGUUUUGGAAAAAAGAUGAAAUGCAAGAUAAGCAAUGGAUUCCCUGCUUUAUAACGGUAGCUGUUGAAUGUUGACCAUCUCUGCCUGCAAAAAAUAUAGUUCAACUCUUCCCUUUUUUCAUCUGUUAAUAAUCAGCGCUCGGCUUAUUUAUUAUGCUUUUGUUUUGGCUUUUUCUAGUGAUUUGGGUUUUUGGAAUAUCCAGCUCUAAUUUUCUGGGAUCCACAAGUUCUGGAGAAUGAAUGAAUCCACUAGCCUGCAUAAAUUUCUAGGCUAAAAUUUGUUCCUGCAUCAGCUACUUGGGAUUUGGGUGGCCGGGGGGGGGGGGGUGGGGAGAGAGGAGGGGGUAAAGCUGGAAAUGGUUGUCGAUUUGCUUAAAGCGUCGACCACAUUUCACAGUCACAGUGGUGAUACUUGUUUUCUUCAAUUAUUCAAUUUAUAAUUUUUGAAACUGCAAAAAAUGCACUCAAUUUUGUUCAAUUGUUGGUAUAGAAAUGCUCAUUCUGGAAUAUGACAAUUUUAAAUGGAUUUGUGAUGCCUUUAUAGUAAUUGUUAGGGGCAUUAUCUACAAAAAAGUGUAAAAACAAAAAAGAUUGAAUCUUUAUUAGUACUGUAUCAAAAAGUUUUGAUUGAUAUCUUUGUUUAUUAUAUGCAUCAACUUCCUGUGCAGCAAAAAUAGGGAAAAAAAAGUAGAUCUUUACUUUGUCUUAAUUGAUAUCUUUGCACAGCAUAUUGCCAUUAAUUUCCCAUGCAGCAUUCAAAAAAGCUUUGAUUGUUGAUUUCGAACUUAUGCACAUCAAAUACGAACACAGCAAUACAAUUUUUAUCAUUUUAAGUUUUAAUAGUGGCACAUUAAAGUCUAUAGUAGCUUCAGUUUUCAGUCAUGGCAAAACUAAUGCUAUCCUUGUAUUGACCAAUUAAUCCUUUUGAAUUCAUUUCUGGAUCAGCUAUUGGAAUUUGAAAAUUUAGAAUGUAUUUGGAAUGCAUUAGUAUUUACUGUUAACAGUGGCGACAUACAAUAAAGAAGUUCAAUGUCCUGUAACUUUGAAGUUCUGGAACUGUGGCUAUCAAUAUACCGCUUUAAAAAAGAGAGAAAAAAAGAUAUGGUUGAACAGUGUUUCAUCCUUUUACGUGUAUAGAGACGUACCUUGUUUACAUAAAGGCCUUAACAAUGCUGUGCAUAUUUUAUAAACAGUUUGCAAUUGCAGACUUGUUCAACUGAGACAUAGUUAUGCUAGUUUUAAUUCUCCCCCAGUUAUCCUUUUUCCCGCUUAUUUCCCUUCUUUAAGUGUCUUUUAGUUUAACUGAGUGUUAACGAAUAUUUGCAGUAGAGCAUUGACUUCAGUGUUUUGUGGUCCAGAUGGCUAAGGGGGUUGAUCAUAUGCUCAAGAGGUAUAACCUCCGUCCUCGUCCUACUUGCAGGAAAGUGCAAUGUAAUGUAUCCCAUUGCGUCCCAGAAUCUAAGAGGCAUACCUUAUAUCCUCAUGCUAAUGAUCAGAAGAUACGGCGGAGGCCUUCUAUACCUUAUCUUUCGCCAGAAAUUAUCUUCAAUAUUCUUGUCUACCUUCCUGCUGACAUACUUUACAAUGUGAUGAGGUAUGUCUGUCGAGAGUGGUACAACAUCAUCUCUAGUCCUACAUUCAUUGAUGCACACCUCCUAAAGGUGGACAGGGGCAUGCUUAUCAAGCAAAUUUAUCCAGAUUGCAAUAUACAUUAUGUCAAAAUGGUGAAGCAUGAUCUUCCUGAGAUCAUUGAGGUAGACUCUUCUCAUUUGCCAAGAUAUGGUAUAAGUAGUUGUAAUGGUUUGGUCUUGAUGGCUAAAAGUCAAGAGGAAAAUCGUUAUGUUGCAAAUUUAGUUACAAAGGAAGUUGUAACCCUCCCUCCUCCUUUAGCUGCAGCCAAGGCAAAUCCAAGUUUUUCGGGUAUAGGAUAUACUUGUUCAAAGAAAUAUAAACUGGUUGAGUUCUACUUUAAUCAUCAGGGGCCAUUGGAAGGUGGGAUACUGACUCUUGGUAUUGAUAGAGAAUGGAGGUGCCUUUGCCGACGGAAUGAAACUAGGGAAAUUGACAAAUUUAGUUUCAUUGACUUGCUUUUCAAGAAGCCAAUUGCUAGUGCAGAAGGAAUUUUGCAUUGGACACAUUAUAAGCUUCCUUUGGUUCUUAAUUUAGAUCUCGAAACUGAGAUCCUCUACACUCGUGCCACUCCAAAAUGUUCCGAGAUGAAUAGGCGGACUUAUAUGGGAACUGGACGGUCACUUUGUUUCAUGGAUUACUUGGGAAAGUUUUCAUGGGAGCUCUGGUUGCUAAAAGAUGCAGAAACUGGAGAAUGGGAUAAGCUGGCCAUUAUUGAUCUAGGACCUCAGGAGAAAAUGCUUCGGCGCACUUUGUGUCCGACAGGAUUUCAAAUUGUGCCUGUUGGUUUCCUGAAAGAUGGGGAGAUUGCAGUCCUCUAUGUUGCACACGAAGAUGGGAUACCACAUGAAAGGUAUCGCCAUCAUAAGACACAUCCAUCAAGAAACUGCAUUACGUAUAAUGUGAAGACAAGAGUGAUCAACUCAUUUCACUUGGAUAAGGGUAGCACUUUUGAAAUGAAUGAGAGUUGGAGGUAUACUCCGCAUGUCAAGAGCUUGGUUUCUCUAAAAUUUUCAGCUAAUUAGUUGCUUCUUUUUCUGUUCCAAAAAAAAAAAAAAGAUAUUGGUGUGAGAUGGAAGAAGAGGGAAGGGAGACUGGUUGGAACUAGAAUAGCAUCAUUGUUGUGAGAUGUCUUUCUUUCCCCAUUAAUUUAUCAAUGCCAUGAUCAUGAAGGAUUGGAUUAACUUAGUCGUAAUUUGUGGUUUCAUUCUUGCAUUAUCUUGUGAGCAUAGGAGUAUUUGAUAUUUUCUGUUGGUAUCUAUAACUUUCUAUUUCUCAUCAAAUUAGUUGCUACGUUUGGAAAAUUUUUUUAUUACAGCUGCAAAAGUUUUGUUUUUCAAAUGUCAUUGCACUCUUUUAUUGGCUAUAAAAAAUCUCUCUUUGUUGGGUAGCUCGCUUUUCCAUGAUGAUCGUAGCUAGUUUGACGCGUACCAUUCAGGUCACCCAGCCAUUGGAUGUUCUCUAGAGAAUCUUUUCAAGGCAAUGAUUCACAGGCUAUAGGUCCAUAAUUGAUAAGCUUUUCUUUACUAGUUAAGUCCUAAGAAUAUGAUUUAUAAUUUUUGGGAACAAUAAUAGAAGUACAAAAAUCUGAACUGCAGAAGAAAAUCAAUCUGAAAAAUCACAUACCCAUUCCACGAUUUGUGGCACCACCAAAUGUAGUGGAAAUGGUAUAAUUUGCAUUCUGUGAGUUCUUCGUCUUCUGCUUGAACUGGAAAGCUUUUUAUUCAUGGGAGGGGACUAUCAUUCUUAUGUUUGAGGUUGCUGCAAAUUUCGCUUAUAAUGUUGGAAGAUUGCAAAAUGGAUUCCUAUCGUUUCAAACCCAAUAUUUGGCAACAAUUUAUAGGUUUUCUGCGUGAGAGAUCAGAGACACAGUGUUGAAAGAAGAAACUUCAAAGAAAUUGCCAUAGUUGACUAAUUGAUUCUAAUAAUACGAGAAGUAAUUCUUAAGUUUCUUUGUUUGCUUUUAAUCAGCAAGCAAAAAAUUUUUGCUCGAGAAAAUGUAAUGCAAAAAACAUUGAAUGACAUUAGCCUAAACUUUGGAUAUUUGUAAUUUCAGAUAAAAAGUUCCAAGAAUUAAAAUGUGGAUUCUUCAAUUGCUGCUUGCCCCCUCUACUUUAGCUUCAGCUUCUGGUUCAUCGCUGGGUUCCACUACCUCAAGCUUCUGGUUCGUUGCUAAAUGGGUGCCCACUGUGAAGUGAAAAACAUUUACUUUAGCAUUUAGAAAAACUUUUAAUAGAGCAAAAAAGCAUGGGACAAAAAGUGAUACUAAUGGCAUAUUUUACAAAAGGAAGAUGAUCCUGUCAUUUUAGACACAGCUUUACAGAGUUGCAAUGGAAUGAGAAGGGAAUUCGUUAGCAAAGAAUGAAAAAUCUCCAACUGAUCAAGACGAUACAAAAGUAUUUGACUCAUAUAAAUUUAGCAAAGAUCUUUAAACGCCAAGAAUUUGUAGAUUUAGCACUAUCUAUUAUACACCUAUGCCUGGAUCUUAACUGCCUAUGUAGGGGCUAAAGUCUUAGGGAAUUGAUCCAUUUCCAACACAAAGCUUUUGAAUGUCAAUGAAGAUCACAGAAUAGUCAGUACACGAUUCCAUGACACUGGUCAAUUAUUUUCAUGGUAGUAUCGUCUAACUACUGCAGAAUAUGGUAAGGCUGAUGACAUCCAAGUAUCAUACUCGGGCUGUUCUCUGACCUAACAAUAAACUUUCCAAUCCACAACUACGCAGACGCAAACAUAUUAGGUUAAGCAAGAAGAGUUCUGUCAGGACUUUAAACAUGACUCUUUGUAAUAUUUUACACUCGAUAGAUCCUAUCUGUUCCAAAAGCCACUGAAAUUGUCCGCAACCCCUUUUAUAUCAGAAGCAAAAUGAAACAAAUAAAUGAGAAGCAAAAAGGAAUAGGCUUAAGACCUUGCCAUUUAAGCUGCCUAAGAUCAAUAACUUACCAUUUAUCUCUGAAUAAGUGAAAUCAGAAAUGAAUACAUCAAGAAACACUCAGGGUCAAUACUCAGCAAAGUUCUGUUAUGAGUUAGUUUUGGAAUUAUUGGCACACUUCUUUUCCAUAUUCAGAUAGACAAAAGGCAUCGCUUGAAAUUACCGUUACUUGUGAAUUUUAGGAAACAUGGCACCCUAUAAGAGAAGGAUUCAUCUUUACAUGUUACAGGUUGGAAAGCAGAAUGAGGUAAAGGAAAUGGGACUCUCUGCAUCAAUGCCUACAGCUUAGACAAAAGGGAAAAGAAGGGGUCAAAAGCAUGAACUGAUAACGGGGAUAGGGAUGGCGAGAAUCAAGAAAUCGUUGUAAGACAAUAACAUCAUACGGUAAGAAUUUUUAGCACGAGUAUCAAUCAAAGGAAUUUUCCUGCAAUAACAAAGUUUUACAACAAUGACAUAUUUUACUACUAUUUUGGUAAUCUCCAUAUUCUCAUUUUCUCAAAAAUAUUAGCAUGAAAUAUAUGAAGAAAAACUGACUUCGACUUUUCAACUCAUUUAGAAAGCUGCAACAAUGCUUCUUUAGCCCACGAAUCUAUUUAGCAUAAACUUUUUUCCAAGCUCAAAACUUAGCUAUUUAACAUUUACUAUCUUUGUAUUAGACCCAUAAACUCCAACACUAGAAAGUAGAAAAUAGGUAAAACAGGGAAAGAGAGUAAAAGAAAAGCAACAGAAUUCCUAAAUCCUACAGCAAAAUAGAAAUGAAAAACAGAAUUAAUUAGGAUGUGAAUAGACAAAACUUCUUGUUUUUAUUGUAGAGCACCUUGUCCGUUUUCAACGUAACUAGACAAUUUAGUAACAACAAUGUAGAAAAAGUAAACAAUGAAAUAAAUGUACCUGAUUUCUCUUUGAAUUCUUUUCUCCUCUUCUUUAAGCUCAUUGAUUUCAAGCCUUAGGCUCUCAAUUUGUGCCAAAGUCCUAAAACAAUGACUUUGAACUGUAUUACCAGGUCUUUCUAACAUUUUCAUAAACAAAAAUAUUACCCUGCAAUAUAUUCUUAAACAAAAAUAUUACCCUGCAUUUGGGUUGUUCCUCAAGGUGACCACAAUCCCGCUAUCAUCUAUUUUCAUACAGAAGGUGGUGGAAACAAUGUCUUCAAUUUCUUUGAUAAGAUCAAUACAUUCUAUCUGCCCCUGCUCAGCUCCGAAAUUACUUUUAAGAGUACAAAUAAUGUUUUCCGCCAGUUUUGUAGAAGGCAAAGCAUCAGAAUCUGUAGGAAUCUCUGUAAGGACAUUGUAGUAAAUCAGAGUUUCCAAAAGCUGCCGACGUAAAGAUGUAUCUUCAUUGUUCAUAAGGAUUUGACUCACAAGUGCCCUCAAUUCCUUCUUUUUCUGGUCCAGAGUAUUUAGCAGUCCAGAUAAACUAAAACAGUUAAAACAAUGCAAAUCAGUCAAGCAUUGAGAAUUAAUAUAGAGUGAAGAAAUAAGGCAACACGUGAAUAAAAAAUUGGGCUGAUAAAUAGCAACUUUGAUUUGUAAAAUGGUAAAUUUUGUUAUCAUCAUUAUUUAUUCACAACUAAACCCCAAUCAGUUAUGACAAUUUCUUAAAAAAAUUACUAUGAACAUAACAAGACAUAUCAUUCUAAUAAAAUAAGUUGUAUGUACAAUUAUACAAUCAUUUAGUGUAACUUAUACACCAUAAACUCUAAAAUAUGGGGAUAAAUAUCACUUAUAUUAAGAGAGGAAAUUACCGUGUAUUUGGACUUUGUGCAUUUUCGCCAGAAGGACUUCCCAUGUCCAUGUUGGAGCAACCACCCGGGAAGUCAUGUGACCUAGGCAAUUCAUUGAUCAAAUAUGCUAAGGGCUGCAGUGAUCUUAAGUGAGAGCAAUCUUAUCAAUUGAAUGUUCCUAAAAAGCUAUCAUAUAAUUUUAUAACAAUAUUGGAGCAGAAGUACACAGUGGCAUAAUAUUUGCAUUAAUCCUGCCGCUUUCCUCAAUAUUACGAGCUAUACCUAUGUCUUUCUACUUUUGUUGCAGAGUAGUGUACUAGCAGUACAUUCUCAAGAUCUAAGCUCAUUCUGGACAACUUUUUCUUGGCAGUUUUUUGGGUUCAGAAAAUUGCAUUUCUGCAUAGGUGUUACUAAGGGAAUCAGAGGCAAAUAUUGAGGCAGUACAGAGCAAAUUUCGUUUCUGUCAGAUUUUGUGAGGUUUUUUGUGACAGAUACACCAAUUCACCUCAUACCUAUUCAGUUUUGAUUCGGGUAUGCCUUGAUAAAAGACUAGUGAAUGAUAAUUUUGUAUAAUAACGAGACGUAUAAAAGAAUAGUAAAACUUACAUUGACGUCCUCAUAUCCACACCCAGGGGUGAUGUACUGCUAUGCCCUUGUCUACUAGUCUCGUCAGUAUCUUUCCCCACCUCUUGCAUUGUUUGAUCUCGUUCAAUGUCCGUCCCCACUUCUUGCAUUGUGUGAACUCGUACAUCUGAGUGGUUUUUUUUCUUACUUGGCCUAGUAUUUAUUGGCCCUUUUAGUGCAGCAAUAACUUGUGGAUCAAGUUUACUCCUGUUGGAAACAUGGACUUAUAAAUAAUAUAUGCUUAAUAAUCAAUCACCCUUUAAUAACUUUGCCUCAUCCACACUAUUACAGAGAAUAACUUACCUUAUGUUUCUCAAUUGGACACUCCUACCCCCCUCCACAUCAGCAGAGGUGCUGACUCCUAUGGGUUGGAAUCCCUGAACUGGUGACUCUACCUCCCUAUCAUGAGAGCUUUCUAAACCCAUGCUGUCUCUUGUAGGCUCCAAACCCUCAACCUGUGGUUGUCGAUGAGAGUUUUCAGGACCUAUUGUGCCUCCUGUAGGCUCGAAACCCUCAACUUGUUCCUGUUGAUGAUUGCUUUCUUGACCUGUGGAGCCUCCAAUAGGCUCAAAACCCCCAAAUUGUGACUGUUGUGGCUCCAUCAUCUCCAUAUUAUGAGAGCUCUGAGGAAUUGUGCUGCCACCAAUAAGCUCGAAUCUCUCAUCCAUGCUCCCUCCCAUAGUCUCAUUUGCCCUACAAACAAUGUGGCAGAAUAGUUUGAAGAAAGAAAUCUUAACAUUUCAAGAAAUGCUCAUUCUUUAACCCAUUUAGCUUCUACAAAAACAUAUUUAGUGUGGAAUUGAUGUCAACAUGACUAAUUAAUUAUCUUACCCAAUUGGAUUUCCAGCGAUAGCAUUAUUCUCUAUCUCAUGAACACUAUUCUCCGCGUCAUCUGCACCUCUUUCUUCCCUAGACACCGGUACCCUAUAAAAUAAUAUUGAUCAAAUUUAAAGAAAUGCAAAUAUAGUUCGGAAAAUUUCCAACAACGCCCCAAACUUAAUGAAUUGUGUUAUUCGUUUGAGUUGAGUUAUAUAUACAACUCAAAUAUUACCUACGUCGCCUAGAACUUCUUGUCCUCCCUCUCAAUGUAGCCAAGACUGUUGGAUCAGUAUAACUACUGUAGAAAGCAUGAAAGUAAAUCAUGAGUGCUAAAGAGAUAAAAGUUCUCUACCCAGAAAGUGAGUCGAUUUGCAUAAUGAUCAGUGUUACUUACUUUUCCUGCCUACAAGAUCGAAAAGUAAUUUCUUUUAUCACUAGAUUCCCAGAAUCAACUCCUGGAUAUUAAAACUGAGUAUGUAAAUACAAGUCACAAAGUCCCCAAAGGAGAAAAAAAGAAAAAAGAAAGAAAAACAUCAACAUCCAAAUUAUUCUAACCUAGGCGAGUCUUCUGCCCCAGCGCUUUAAGGAGUGAGUUGGCAAAAUCUACAACCAGAUCUUUGGUAUUCUGAUCACCAUAUCCAUCAUACUUUGCAUUGACUGGUUCCAACUUUUUUCUGUAAUAUUCCUUUUGGCUCUCAGUCAAUGUUACCUCAUGCUUGGGGCGCUCUUCGGCAGGUGGUAACUGCAUACGCUUGCGUUUCUGGUAUUCUUCUCCCACAUUGCCACCUUGUUGCUGUUCUUGCGCUUGCUGCUGUUCUUGCAGAGUGGUAUCUUGGCGGUCUUCCAUUUAUAACUGCAACUUAACCACUGAAAAAUCAGGACAAACGCACAUUGAAAAGAGAAGAUAUGUGAUGCUAAAGGAGUAGAAAUCCCAAAUCCAAUUCCAGAAGAACAAGGAACUAGAGAAUGUUCUUGGAAGAACAAGAAUCACGAAAUUAGAGAGAGAGGAAGAAGCUAGCUGAUCUCUCCUGUUUUUUUUUCCUUCUUUUUAUUUGCUUUAGGGCAAAAAACUGCCUAACUAGCCAUCAGCAAUAACCCAAAUAACUAACUUCCAGAUCAGCAUUAACAAACUAACUGUCAAGAUUCCCUUGUACUGAUUACAAUCAAGAAUUGCUAACUUUGAUAUCAAACGGUGCAAAAAUAACAAAAUAACUCCAUAAUGCAUCAUAAUCCAAAUUAAUUUUAUGCAUUAAUUAUAUAUAAAAAAUAUACAUCACAAUGUAUGUUUACACGGUUUAGCACCUUGAAUGUGAUCAUGCAUGCAUGCACGCAUGCAUGGGAAGCAGAAAACAAUACAAGAUAGAGAAUUCCCUCUACAAGAAUUGACUAAUCUUAAAAAUUACAUAUCGUACGUAUUCGUCAUUGUCAAAAAACUACUGCAGCAACUAUAUGUAGCAUUAGUAGUAGUAGUAUGCAUCAGUUGCAAUAAAGGAAUAAUACAACGCAUAUAAUACAUCAGAAAGAAAAAAUAAUACAACGCAUAUAAUACAUCAGUUGCAAUAAUACAACGCAUAUAACUAGUGGCAAUAAAGGAAAAAAAAAAAAGAAAGAAACAACAAGAAUUAAGAUGUAUGCAAAAAUUACCUCGUUAAAAGGUUUGAUCCCAAGAUGUGAAGUAACUACAACUUGUUUGAGAUUUUAGAAUUUCUAGGGUGGACAAAGAAAAACAUGGCCUCCUAUUUAUAAUGACCUGAUAAUUGGGUUUUAAGAACUUCCAAUUUCUGCUUUUGGAAGUUGGACAAAGUUUCGUGCAUGUCCAACCUUAUGGAAGCUUUCUAUAUAUUUCCUCUGAUGUUUUUCAUUUUAGGAAACCGCUCUAAUCCUUUUCAAUUCAUGAAAAUGAAGAAUUAAUAAAUCUAAAGUAAUAUAGAAUUGUAAACAUGCAACGCAACUAGAAAAUGAAUUUUGGUUUAUAUCCUUGUGACUUUAGUUUAUUGUUGGAAAAUAUGUUACUCAAAACAUGUAUGGAACUUUGAUUUGAAUCUAUCAAACUCUAUUAACUUUUGUUUGGAUUUGUUCAAAGUGGAAAUGAAGAGAAAUAGAAUAUAGAGUUACAUUGGUUCAAAAUUUUUUAGGUUUACAUUUUCUCCUAUGGCCGUCAAAGCUGAAGCAAUACAAGCAACCCAGCCAGAAGGGCUGUAUUUCUGGCUGAUCGCUUCUGAUUUAAGGAAGAUCAGGUGCCCAGUCUUGGCUUCAGCUGUCAAGCGGAGUGGUAAAUGCAUGACGAGUUAAUAGUGCUCUCUCUUAGUUUUCUUCUAGGUUUAUUUGACGCAGGUGAUUUGAGUACCAUGCGUGAUGAAUUCUUAGUGUGCUUCUUUAGGUGAAAUCUGUGCUGCUCUAGAAGGAUAGAAGGAAUCUGUGUAUUUUCUGAAGAAACUUCCAGUGCUUGACCUUUAUCAUCUACUUUGUCACGAAUAUUUGCAUCCGUUUUGUUUGAUGGAGACUUAUUAUCAUGUCAUUGUGGGUUAAUUAUAAUUGCCACGACAAUUGAACCUGUAAUCUUUGGCCCAAUCGUUUUCUCACGUCAAGGAACUGAAACCUUCAUUUACAAUAUAUCGGGGCGGUCCGAGUUGAUCGUUUGGAGGCACCUGGUCUUACUGCCCAAGCAAAUCUUAUUGUUUCCUCUUUACCUGCACGAUCUAAUCAGGCGGAGACAAAAGGUUUAUUCCCGUCGAGAACCACCCAGCAUCUCACUCUGCCCAGACGAAUAGGCAAGAGCACACAACAACAUGCAGGGAAGAAAAAAAAACGCAGAAAUAAAAAGUGCACUUAAAAACAUAUUUUUAUUUUUUCUGAAAAAAAGCCCCGAUAAUAAAUAUCCAAGGCAUACACAACUAGCCUAUCAGGUAAACACCUCAAGACAAAAGACACAAGUACUGUAGAGUAUAGUCAGACGCCUUUUUCCACUCCUUCAACAGGCUCCUUGACGUCCGUAAGAUUGAUCCCCUCAACCAUUUCGGUUACAUCUUCAGCUGCAUCAUCCUUCACCUUGCCACUGGGUCCAUUUGCCAUAAUUGUCUCCUCCUCGUUAUGAUUCAAUAUCUGCCAUAUUCUAAUAGUCCCAUCUUCAGAACCAGAAGCAUAAGAUUCACCCCCUGGAGAGAACCGGACACAGUGCACAGGACCAUGAUGACCCUUAUUGCAGGCUACAACGACACAAGAUACAGUUAGAAUAAGGGUUUGAUGUAAUUCCAGCAGAACUACAAAACCAGGUUUAAUCUUUCCAAAGAUCAAAAGUACGAUGUCUAAAUUUAGAAACUUUUAUUUCAGAAUUUUAUUAUCACCUGCAAACUCCAAUACUAGUAACAAAAUUAGUAGCAAUCGAAGAUGACGUUAGAACUUAGCCGUAAUCCUAUUCUAGUAGUACUUCAAAAACGGAAACAGCAAAAGCAGUUAAGUUUUUCAGGUUUCGAACGCUCUAGAUGCACCAUGUUGUUGUCAAUAAAAGGGCAUGAAACAUGACUUUCUUAUCCUAAUCGUUGCUUGUCCUAAUACUUACUAAUUCCAUCCCCCUUAAAGCACUCGGGUACCAAAAUGAAACAAUGACACGAGAACACAAACGGACCAUAAAACUUGAAAGAACAAGUAACUUCCACACUAUACAACGAAAGAAGCAGAGCAACAGGAGACCAAAUGGUGUGUCUGAAACAGACAGUUUUAUUUGACUGCCUACCAAUCGCGUUUACGGCAUUAUCUUUUGCCAUAGUCCCCACAAACCAAGAGAACUCCAUAUUAGACGAAAAUACAGAGAAAGAGAAGGGUCAAAUAAAAGGGACCCCCACCCACAAAGACGGAUGCAGCAAGCACUUUACAAGGUCAAAGAUUCAUACCAAUUUCUGCACCAGUGUGAAAAUCAAAGACAUGAACCCACAUGUCUUCACCUCCAGCAACAAACUUAUUCCCAAAUCUGGGUUCCAAGGAAGCUGAUUCCAUAUUGCAAGGCAUGUCAUAACUCCUCACCAAUCCAAAGCUGGUCAACAAAUAAACAAAUCAUCGGCCAUACCAAAUCAAAAGAUAACAGAAGCCAUGAUUGACAAAUUUGCUUCAGAAUACAAAUUAGUAAGCUAACGUACUGAUUUGCAUCCCAAAACUUAACAGUGGAACCAUCGACUGUUGUUAUAUAGCGGCCAUCAUGACUCACUUCAGUACUAGUUACAGCUGACUUGGUCUCGAGUGUUCUGACAAUUUUUCCACUUCUGACAUCCCAUAACCUACAGCACAAUUGUUAUGUAAAAUGAUAAAACUAAAGAACUUGCACAAUAAGUCAAAAACUUCAAUGAUGACAGUUGAAACUCUUAAAAAAGGGAUCAAGAAUAACACCCAACUUCAAGCAGAGAAAAUUCAAGCGACUAAAAUGUGCAGAUGGUGUUACCAGCACAUAAUUAGAAUCCAAUUCGAAAUCUAUUGAAAAAACAAAGAAGGCAAGCAAACCACAUCCAACAGGUAAAAGAAAAAGGUCCCCUGAAAAAGGCUUCUUCAAUUCUUCUCUUUUCUGUGUGCAACAGGGAGAGGGGGGAUUGUGAAAAAUUUUAGUAUUUCAUCUCACCUGGCAAACUUUGCCAGGAAAGUUUAUAUCAAAAAAAAAAGGUAAGGUAACAGCUCGAAGAAUCUUUUCCUCUUUCCUAAUGUUCUUUUCACCAGAAUUAGGGAUGUGUUAGAAUUAUCUCACUACAUAUGUUCUAUCGCACAAUAAUACUGACUAAUUUGGUUCUAAAAUGUUUAUCCAUCUAGGUUCUCAUGCAAAGUUUAAAUAAAGUAGGGAAAGAAUUAUAGCUAACCGCAACAAACACCUAAGAACCUGGGGUGGAGUACAUCAUCUAUUAUUUUUCAUCCACAUACCUCACACCACCGAUAUCCGUGCAUGAACUUAAUAUACUUUGGUCACUAUGAAGCCAUGCAAGAGUUCUAACUGAACCAGGAGAAUCAUGAACUUCCCUUGGUGGUGCAUCUGGUUGGUUUAAGUCAUAUAUUCGAAGAAUCUUUUCAAAACCACCAGUGAGUAGUAGGUGUGUAUCCUGCAAGAGCAUCAAAAGUCAAUUUUGUCAAUGUCUUAAAAAUCUUACAGAGUAUACUGAACUAAAAUAUUAUUGCACUUGCUUAUUUGCGUAAUGAAUAAGACAUGCACUAAGGGCUUGACAUUUCUUAGGAUAAGCAAGAAAAGAUUACCAAUGGUUCAUACUCAAGGAAGGGAAACACCCCUAACUUAUAAAAGCACCACAAAAAGUUCAAUAAGCAUAAACCUGGAAGGUAGGUCCUCAAAAGGCUUCAUGAGCAAAAGGAUCAAAAGAUAUCAAAUUAUAGCAAAUACUGAUAAAAAAAUGUAUGUUAACUAGGCCACCUUUAAGGUUCUAUGAACUUCUUUAACAUGACAUGCUUAGAACUAUUUGAAGCUUUCCACAUCAUCAAGUCCAUCUUCCAGUUGAACUUUAUGCUAGAAAAAAUGAAGCUUUUAACAAACUACAACGUAUCCAAAAAUAGUUGCAAUAUUUAGCACUUGAAGAUAUACCAACCAAGAAAGUGUGUGCUUUAAGGAAAAGAAUAUAUCAACUAAAAAGUCACAAGCCCCACAAUCCAGUCAAUUAAAGAGAAGAACAUUCUCAAAAGCUCCAAAUGCUACAGUCCAACUAGAAACAUGAAUGAUAUUUGAGAAACUCUUAACAGGUUUAAAAACUACACAUACUCAUUUACUUAGGGCAGAAGGACGACCUAAAACUACCUCCCUGCUCAAGUUAAUGGAAAAUGCAUAGGGACAACAGCAACUCAAAUUUUCACAAGCAAAAACAUUACAGCAAAAGGGAAGGCAAACCCAAACAAGCAGCUAGUAUACAGCAAAAGAAGAAUUGCUCAGAAUGAUAAGUCAGCUCAAUAUAAAAUGCUUGAAACGUAAUUGCCUCAAGACGUCAAGUAACAACCAGUCACCUCUGAAAAGGAGCAUGCCCGAACUAUGUGUUUGUGCUCAAAUGAAUGCAAUUCAUCCCCACUUAAUGCAUCCCAUAGUUUCCUGUAAAAAACAGUCACCAUUUAUGAACAGAAAAUGUACGCUGCCAACCCUACAGCUCUCGACCACAAUUCUAGAAUAUAAGACAUGACAUAAGCAUGUUGGAUGCUGAUGAUUUUGUUCUGCUGUCAAAAAGGCUUUCAUACAAAUAAUUAUUCAAUUGAAACUAUUUGAGUCAGGAAAACGAUUUACUCUAAUUUCAGAAAAAAAAAAGCAAUCAUUACCUUAUGAGAACACAUUAGAUAAGAUACUUGCGUCCCAGAAAUCAAAGAGAAACAGAAAAAGCUACUUACGCACUGAAAUCAGCAGAUGCAGAUGCAGCACGUAGAGCAGGUUUAUCCAAACAACAACUCCAAACUGCACCUUUAUGUCCUUGAAAGGUUCCAAUCCAAUCACCAGUCUCUCCAUUUCUCAACAUUGGAUUGGAAUCUGACAUGAAAAUAAACUAGUAAUUAACCAGAGUCUAUUCUCUUAUACUCAAUAACCUUUUAACUGAAUACAAUAACAACCAUCUCUUGACAAUAUUGCUUUAUACUUUCAGAUAACAGGUCUCAUAACAAAACCUCGCCAUCCCUACUUCUGGAUUAUUUUUUUAUUUUUUUUGAAAAGGAGUUCUAUACUGUACCAUCAAAAUGAAAAUCAACAUUCAUUUUCAUGAAAACCUAACAGUAGUUUUUGGUCAAGUGUCGAGUAUUCAAAUGUCAAAUGACCAGGAUAAAUGUUUCUUGGUAUACCACUAGGAACAUGAUAAAAAAGAUACAAAGAUAAAUCUUCAUAAGUAAAUCUUGGAAGCCAUUGGUAAGUAUCUUGGCAAGUCACUUAAUCAUACCUGACCUAAAAAAUAUCAUUUCAUUUUACUGGUCACAAUCCAUAGCAAGUUGAGAGGCCAGAAUGCCACACCUCAUUAUCGUAGCUCAGUGAAUCACACUUGCUUACGAUAUAUAUACUGCCCAAUAUGUAAUAGAAAGAGACCUCCCCAACAAGUGAAAAAAAGUAAUCAGACAUCAAGAAAAUUGAUUGCGAGUAAGUAUUUGGGGUCUGGAGAUUACAAAAAGGAGCUUACACAGUCAUUCAAACGUUACUUACACUCAUGAUAGCAACAGACUGGCUGUAUAUUUCAUGGCUAGAAACAGUAACUAGUUUCAAGUACGAAUUGGUACAAAUGACCGUGAUAUCAUGGACCAAAAGGUUUAAAUUAAAAAAAUCUUAAGCUAGUUAUGAGAAUUAGAACAUGUCGUGUAGGUGCAACUGAAGACAAAGGACUUGAUAAAUAGACAAAUAAAAAGAGAUGGCCAAAAACGUUCUUUCUGGAAAGAUUACUGUAACUUUUUACAAUUAGCUGCAAUUUCAAAUUGGAAUGGUGAACUCCCUACUACAUCUGCCUAUAAGCUGACUUUGACAUGAAUACUGAGCAAGUGAAAGACAAACUGGACCUGGUUAUGAAAAUAACAGGACUUAACGAUAAAGCGAUCAUAGCGAUGGCAAUUACUGCUAAAGCCCAACCUAAAUCCCAACUCUCAAAAUAAAGAAAACCAAAGAAUUCAAUUCGCCAAGGAUUCGAGCAAGGAUAUUGAGACUGAAGUACAUAUCCUUUCAGGAUGCCCAAAAGCCUAAUGGUCGGACAAAUUUGUUAGCUCAGGAAGCUGCAAAUGAACAAGAUUUGCUCAAUUUACAAGAAUGGGUAAGUGUGAAUAUGAAGGAAAGGCUAGAGAUUAGGUCGGUGCUAUCCGUUUCCUUUCUUUUAAUUCUGGUAGCAAUUAACUGGGAAUGCUUUUGAAUACUCAUUUGCGUAAUUAGCUGGGAAUGCUUUUGAAUAUUCAUUUGCUUGGAUAGUUGGAAGGAAGAGAACAUAGAGGCCAUCAAACGUCAAAGCAGUAAUCCAUUCAUUAUAAUUCUCCUAACCAUUAACUAGCAGGGGAAACCAGAUUGCUAAAGCGUACACAGAAAUAUGAUGAACUUGUAAAAUUCGUAUCAACAAACUAGAUUGCUCAACUAAAACCGGGAACUAGUGUUCAAAUUCAUAUGUCUAAAUAAUUCUGGAAAAAGGAAUUACCCUUGCUCGCACUGAUGAGGAAGAACCCAUCUGGAGUAAUUGGGCUGUAAAACAAAUCCACAACCGGACGAGAAUGACCAUGGCAAACAAGGGGAGCAGCACCCUUUUUCUUAUCCAUUACUUAACCGAUCCAGCGAAAAAGAAAAAAAAAUGAAAGAAAAUUAUAACUUUUUUCUGUAGAAGUGCAUCUUUUUCAAAUUCAAAAAAAAUCUAAAGUCCAAAUUAUUUAACCAGAAAAUCACACAAAUUCCCUGAUCCCAAAUCAAUCACUUGUAAUACCACCUCUUUUUUCCCCACUCUUAAUACAGUGACAAUUGACCCCUAAAAAACCCACAAUUGCCUCCGCAAAUUAAACCCCAAAAAAAAAGUUUUUUCUACUUUUUAGAUUUUGAUUUUUUUAUCAUACACAGCAAAGUCAGCUAUACGUAUACUGGCGUACAUGAUUCGUCAGUAUAACAACGAUUGGUGGCAAAUUAAAACAGGAAGAAACCCUAAUCAGAGGAUAAUUCAAUUAAGUUGUGAUUGGAUUCACACCUCCUAAUCAGAUCAAGUUUUAUUUGUGAAAGAAAAGGGAAAAAAUAAAAAGAAAAAAAAUACUCUAAAAAUUCACACUACAUAACUAGAUGUAGGGCUGGGCGCAAAGAAGCUUGAGAGGCGAAUGGUUGCCUUUUAUAGAGUCGAGAAAUUCGUCAGAGUGUUGCCUUUUUUCCAAAAAAAAAAAAAAAAAAAAUUUGUGAUUUUAUAAGAAGAAACCUUAAUUUCUUAUCAAAUUAUGGACUUACCCAGGAAAAGCUGUCUGGUUGGAAUGGAAAUAACUAGAGCACUUUUUGAUAUAAUUUUUUGAAAAAAAUACUAGAGCACUUUUUUAACGUGUUGUAUGUGAGAUAAAAAAGUGAUUAAAAAAUGUGUUGAUAAUGUAAAUAAGUCAGUGUGUGUAAAUAAAAUAAAAAUAAUGUGUAAUCUGAAUUUUUGACUUGGAUUGUAAGGUUUAUUUACUAUCAUGUGUUUGGAUAAAUGAUUAUUGAAAAUAUUAUUUGAAAUAAAUACUAUAACAUUUUUUAUAAUACAAUAUAUGAAUGUUAAAUAAAAGGUGAUUGAAAAGAUAAAAUAUAAAAAUAAAAUUAAAAAUAUGCAAAUAAAUGUUUUAUUUUUUUUGCAAAUAAUACCAAUUCAAAUAUAUCUAAUAUGCUAUCAAUACAAUUCCCAAGACACAGGCCUACGUACCAGCGCUCUUGAUAUAAUUCUUUUAAUAUAAUAUAAUAUGAUUCUUUUAAUAUAAAAUGAUUAAUAUAAUUCUUUUAAUUAAAAAUGAUGCUAUGAUUUUUUUAACCUUUUUUGUUAUUUACUAGUAUCUAUAUGUGUACGCUCAUAGAUUUUGAAACUUACAUUGAGUAUGGUGGUGAAACAUAUACAAAACAUUAGUAAGAAUGAGAAAUGACUAGUCUGACCAGAAUUCGUGAAUAUUGCAAAAUAAAUUGUUGAAUAAGUUUAAAAAAAAAGAAAGAAAUAAACUUGCUAAGAUUUAAUUGGUAAAACUAGAGAUACUAUCGAGGUGAUCAUAUUUGAGCUCGAACUUGAAAUUUGGUAACAUACUAAUGAAUAUUCCAAGCAAAACUUGGUCCGGAAAAACUUUCGAGUUUUAUUGAAUUUAGGGACGGGAGUUCGAUAGUGGUUUGAGAGCUCGAGGACUUGCAGCAAAUGACUUAAUCACCCCUGAACAUGGAAUAGCUACACUGGUUAUAGUCAUAAACAUUGUAACAAAUAAAACUGAAAUAAUAAUUUAUAAACAAUAAUAUAAUAAUUAGAUAUUUAAUGAAAAAACUCAUUAGAGUUAGUUAAGCUUUCGAAUCUCCAAAAUUAGUACUCGAACUUGAUUCAAAAUCUCAAUCGAACAAUUUGAGCUUGACUUGAACUCUAUCAACACUAUAUGUUUAGGUCACGUUGCUCAAUUAAAUAUCCCCCUAGGUGAACCCAAACAAAUAUCAAAGAAGUAUGGAAGAAAAACAAAACCAAGAGUAAAAAAUAAAAUACAAAAAAAUCUCAACAUAAUAUCUCUUAAUAGAGCAGCAUAUUGUCCUGAUUUAAGUUAUCAAUAGUGAAGUGAAAAUAAAGAGUAAACAUUCCAUGCUGAAAACCUAAAAAAUGAAAAGAAUAAAACAUCAAAUUAGUUCUGUCUAUAAUAUAAAAAGAAAUAUAUUAGGGGCGCAGUUUUAUUUAGUUAAAAAUUAAAUGAGUUAUUUGUAAAUUAUAUAUUUUUGGUUUCCUCCUCCAAUUUCUGAGAUUAAAUCUAUAUAUACUAGUGCGAGAGACAUAACCUACGAAUGUGCAAAUUAUGGAUAAAGUUUUUUUUUUCUUAAUAAAAAGAUAGGAGUUAUUUAUUUUUCUUAUUUUUUGGCAACGAAUGUAAAAGUUAUUAGAAUUUUGAUUUGGAAAAAAAAUAGUGGGAAGUUAUUUGAAGUCUUUAUGAAAGAAAGUUAUUGAAAGUUAGAAUAAAAAAGUUAUUAAAAAUUGUUGAAAUUGAAUUUAGUUUAUUUGUGGUUAUAUGUAUAAAAUAUAAAUCCUUACUUAUUUGGGGAUAAAAUUAGAAUAAUAAAUAAUGAAAAAAGAUUUUGAUGGCAAACGCCACGCUCAUGCUGCUUUAUGGACCAUAUAGAAAGAUACAUAUAUAUACACACACGAACACUCAGGAGUCAGGACAGAAGAAAGCAUAACUUGACCAAGACGAAACCUAUUCUGCAAAUCCACUCUACCCAGGGGAGCUCAUUACCGAAAUCUUUCUAGAAAUCGAAGAGCCUAUUUUGUCAUGGCGAUGGCGGCAGUCGAGAAUAAUUGGCCGGCGGAGGGUGCCGAUAACGCGACGAACCAUUACAAUCAACAGCAAGGCGGUGGCGGAGGUAGAGGCGGGGGUGGAGAAGGGCUGCGGCAGUACUACCUGCAACAUAUCCAUGAUCUUCAGCUCCAACUCCGGCAACGUACACACAAUCUUCAGCGUCUUGAAGCCCAGCGCAACGAUCUUAAUUCCCGAGGUCUCUAAUUUAUCUCCUAUUUUCAGCUUACCCUGCUCUUCCCCUUCCGCUAAUCAGGGGAAAAAAUAAGUUGAAUUGAUUUUUAUUUAGCUCUAUUUAUCUGCUUUCUUAAGCUUUUCAGGUAGUCACUCUUAUUUUGUUCUGUUUCUUUUCUUCCCUUUUCUUACUAAUAUCUAGUUAGUAUUUAGCAUGGGGGACGAAAAUUAAUGGAUCAAGUCUGGCAUUUAAAUUUUGGAAUCAAGGAAUGUGUGUGGAAAUUAGAGAGGAAAUCCAGGAAUUGGCAGGAUGAUGUUACAAAUAGAGUGUCUUUACUGUUUAUUGUUGGCCCUCUACUUGGCAAUUGAAACUCGCCUUCGAUAUCAAGAAGUAAUUUAGUGGACUUCCUUCAACUUCAGAAUAUACCAAAAAAAAAAAAUUAAUGGAUAUGAUGGUGGGGGAUUGCAUUUGGCCGAUUAACGUUUGUUUUUUUUUUUUUCCAACAUAGGCACACUGAGAACAUAUUCGGAUCAAGUAUUGCAACAUCUCAUGGUUACAUUAAGUUUGUCUUAAUUUCGAUGUGAGAGUGAGAGUGAGAUGUGUUUGGUGUUAUUUCUGUUGUCAUUAUUUACUUCUUUUGGUUGUGUACUGUUCUUUAACUGUUCCGUGACAUGUGCUGUUAUUUUUUGCUUCCAAUGCAAACAGUGAGAAUGCUGAAGGAAGAGCUACAGCUUCUACAGGAGCCGGGGUCUUAUGUUGGUGAAGUUGUCAAAGUCAUGGGAAAAUCAAAGGUCUUAGUUAAGGUUGGUGAUUUAUAUUCAUUCCACGCUAAUUAGGAUUAUCAUCUGGUUAGUAGCCUUCAGUUUCUUCUCAAGCUAGUAAAUUCCUAGGAAGUUUAGUCAAUGAUAAAUAAGGGAAUGAAACCAUCAAAAACUAGUCUUAGUCCUUAUAUGUGCAGCUUUGAUGAAAUUUAUAUCAUUUUGAACAUUCGUAUUGAUCUACUUUCAUCUCUGACUCUACAACUUUCAUACUGUUUACUUAUGGUAGCUUCCUGUCCAAGCUAUCAUACUUUUACCUUAUGAUAGCUUUCAUUUUGCACUGUCAUAGUUAUUACAGCUUUGCACCUGUUUUUGAAUUUUUAUUUUGCUUCCGUUAUCUUUAUAUGUUUACGAAAUGUGCUGGGAAUUUUUUUUUUCUUUUUUUGACAUCCAGGUUCACCCUGAAGGGAAGUAUGUUGUUGACAUCGACAAGAAUAUUGACAUUACGAAGAUUACUCCAUCAACUCGAGUAGCAUUGCGAAACGAUAGCUAUGUGCUUCACUUGAUGCUGCCCAGCAAAGUUGAUCCUCUUGUCAACCUAAUGAAAGUUGAGAAAGUUCCAGACUCAACUUAUGACAUGAUUGGUGGUCUUGACCAACAAAUUAAAGAGAUAAAAGAGGUACAGUUUUGGGCUUCGGUUUUUUGCUCGCUGUGUAUUCUGGUUCUCAUUCUCUAUGUACUUGUUAACAAGAGAAAAAGGUAACUAAGUACAAUUAUGGCUGGAAGGUUGCUGUUCUCUGUGACUGCUCUUGGAAAUGGGACUUCUAAAGUGUUUGUUGUAGUCUGUUGAUUCCACCAUAAGCAUAACAGAUGCAUAGCUUUAUGUUUUCUGUGUCUUUUGAGUUUUAAUCCAAUCUUCUGUCUUCCGACCAUUUUACAGGUCAUUGAGUUGCCAAUCAAACAUCCUGAAUUGUUUGAAAGUCUUGGAAUAGCACAACCGAAGGUGGGUUAAAUAAUGAUGAUUUGUUGAUGUACAUAAUUUUAUAUGCUUAUCUAACCUACAUUGUAUUGAACUAUUGAAGGGAGUCUUGCUGUAUGGGCCACCUGGAACAGGGAAAACCUUGCUUGCAAGGGCUGUGGCACAUCACACUGAUUGCACCUUCAUUAGAGUUUCAGGGUCUGAGUUAGUUCAGAAAUACAUUGGAGAAGGCUCUAGGAUGGUUAGAGAGCUUUUUGUCAUGGCAAGGUAAAUCCUUUUUGCUCUUUACAUUCCCAGCGUUGGAUUUAGUAAUGUAUCUUGAAGCCUUCUUUUUGCUUCUCUGAGUGGUUGAAUUGCUAUUGUAAGAACCAGUCCAUGCAAUUGACACUUAUGAUUUUUGACAGGGAACAUGCUCCCUCGAUCAUUUUCAUGGAUGAAAUCGAUAGCAUAGGAUCUGCUCGCAUGGAAUCUGGAACAGGAAAUGGGGAUAGUGAAGUUCAACGGACUAUGCUUGAGCUUCUCAACCAACUCGAUGGAUUUGAAGCCUCGAAUAAGAUAAAAGUAGUAUUCAAGUUUCUAAUCUAAUGCCUUUAUUUAUGUGAAGUCUCUUUGCCUUUCUUAUAUCUUCUCGGGACACCUUCAAUCACAUGGUUGUUUCGAACUGAUUCUAAUGAUCUAUGCAGGUUUUGAUGGCAACCAAUAGAAUUGACAUUUUGGACCAAGCACUCCUUAGGCCUGGUAGGAUUGACCGGAAAAUUGAGUUUCCAAAUCCUAAUGAAGAGGUACUUCUGUGUUUCGCCCAGUUGUUCAUUUUCCUUCUGUUUUGCAACCUUUUUCUUUUGUUAGACUGCAUUUUACUUGGCAAUGGCUACAUUUUAGAUUUAUUUUCCAGAUUUUCGUUUAGCGCUGUUGUUAUCUAAACUAGUAGUCAUAUUCUAAAUUUGCGAAAAUGUCUUCAGUCUCGUUUUGACAUCUUGAAGAUACACUCAAGAAAGAUGAACUUGAUGCGUGGUAUAGAUCUAAAGAAAAUUGCAGAGAAAAUGAAUGGUGCCUCGGGUGCAGAACUUAAGGUAUGUUGGUGUUUUAAUUGCAAUUUUCAUACCCUGUUCCGAAGUUAGUGUCUUAAUUUAGAAAAUGGAAUAGGAGUACAUAUGGAGUUUGGUUAUUGCGCAAGUAAAAGUGUUACUACCGUGGUAUUCUGAUCUACAUCAAACUUCAUGACCAGUCACCUCCUUAUUAUGGAUGAUGAGAAAAUAAAUAAGUCGAACGUGCUUGUGCAAGACAAGGUUUCUACUUUUAAAAAUGGCUUUUGUGUUUGAAAAUUGCUCAAGGUUCUCCAGCUGGAAUACUCAAGAUUCAUCUCCUUUCACUAGAUAAAUUUGCCUGCUCAAGCUGAAUCUUGAACUUUGCUUAUCUCGGUCUCUUCUAAAUCCUUAGGAUCAUUAGGAAACCAAUAUAUGAGUUUGGUAUGUUGGAAACUUAUUACUGAGAGCCUUGAGAUUCUCUUUGCUUCUUUUGCAGGCUGUUUGCACUGAAGCAGGAAUGUUUGCUCUGCGGGAGAGGAGGGUUCAUGUCACUCAAGAGGACUUUGAGAUGGCAGUGUCUAAAGUGAUGAAGAAGGAAACAGAGAAAAAUAUGUCGCUAAGGAAGCUGUGGAAGUAGGCAUUCUGAGGCUGCUUAUUUUCGUUAGCAGUCAAUUGGGUAGAUGCAAGAGGAUGUCAUCAAUUGUAUGUUACAGUUAGCAUUGGUGUCAUAAAGAAUCGAAUUAAUUUCUGUGAGGAACUUCCCCACAUUUUUUUUUCCCUCGAGAGCCUACAUUUUCGUCACUUGAGACGUAAUAACCUUGCAAUGUUUCUUUCACCUCUUUGUUGCUAUAGCUUCUCUUUAAUGCAAGUAUAUCUCUAUAGCCUGUGAAGUGUAUAUUUGGGCUUUACAGAGCGUAAGAUCCGCGGUGUUGCGUCCAACAAUUCGAAGUCCCUGAUGGGCCCCGGCUGAUUGCUAUGAACUCGGAAAGAAACCGUUCACCCACUCGAAGUCCCUGGUCUGCGACUGUCAAUCUGUCAUGCAUAAAAAAGUACAUUUAGCUGUUAAAAGUACUUUUAUAGUUUCUGACAAACAUCAUCAUUCCGUAAAAUUAGAAAUUGCAUCUUUGGUGCUAGAAAUAUUUUUAGCAAAAGUUUAAAUUUGGUACUUUUAAAUAAGCUUUUGCAAUUUAAAAAAUAAAAUAUUAAAUUUAAUCAUUUUAUCCUAUCUUAUAAAAUAAAUAAAGAGAUAAAUAUAUUUAAAAAUUUUCAAAUUAUACAUUAUUUAAUACAAUAAAUAUUUCUUAAAUUAUAUUUUUAAAUAGUAUAUUUAAAAGUAUUUAAUUAUUUAAUAAGUACUUUUAUUAAAAAUUUUAUGAACAAAUAAACUGUGGUGACAACAAACAGCCCUAAAUAUCUCUUCCUUAAGCCAUGCGCCAAGGACGUCAGUCCCAUCCCAUGUGAUGGGAUCUGUCGUCGUUUUCAGUGAGCUAACGGCUAACCUAAGAAAACAAAAGCCAAAAAAGCAAAAAAAAAAAAAAAAAAAAAAAAAAAAAAAAAAAAAAAGCAAAAAGUGCAUCGAGAUGUGAUGUUUUUAUUUAUUAGUAUUUGCCACGCGUACAAUCUUAUCCACUUCCCAAAAAAGCAUCCGUUUCUUCCUUCCUUCUCGCUCACUUCACUCUUCCAUCCUCCCUUCAUCAUCUUGUUGGAAAAAAAAAAUUUUUUUUUUUUGUGGCUUCAGCAAGCCAAGCAAAGCCUCCUCAGAGCUUCUCUUUGGAUUAAUGCUAAUGGCCACAACCCCAUUUGCCCAUUUCCCCACCUCCCCAGUCAUCUGCUCCGCUUCUCCCCAACCCAACCACCACCCUAAACACAACCCGACCCGCCAGAAGUUAUCUCCUUCUCCCUCCAACUGGUGGCCUCCACUUUUCGGAUGGUCCUCCGAUCCCGACUACAUUCAGGGCUCCAACUCCGAGUCCAACCAAGAGAGCGGAGAGAUUCAGGGCCAUCCCGGGAGGGAAGCUCCGGGUCGGCCCACCAGGUCCAAGUUUGGUCUGGGGUGCUUUACAGAAGAAAAGGCCAAGGAGCUGCGGAAAAAGACCAUGGAGUCCUCAACCUUCCACGACAUUAUGUACCACUCGGCCAUUGCUUCUCGCCUUGCAUCGGACGCCUCUGCCUCUGGGACUGGGCAUCGUCAAGAACGCUGACUGUUAGCUUUCGCGCUGGCUGGCUGGGCCCCACAUCCGGUUAUAUGAUUAUUAAUCAAAUCCGUCGACUUGAAACUUUAUGAUCUGUUACUACGAUGUAAUUUGGUUUAUUUCCCAUUCCGAUUAUUGUUUUUUCAAGUCUUGGUAAUAAAAUAUGUUCGGCAUGGUUUUUUCUUUUUGGGGGGCGGGGGGGGGGGGGGGUUGGCUUCUUCUAAUUUGCAGUGCUGUAUCGAUCUGUUGUUGUACAAUUUAUUACCCACUCUUUGAUUCGGAUUAUUGGGGUUUUGCUUUCUUCUUCAAUUUCUGGAGCAUGCCUGCAAUCUGUCCUUGUUGUAAAUUCUAGUAACUUAGCAAGCAUCGAAAAAAGUACAGGUAACUGGAUCAUAAUUUCAGUAGAACCAUGUAAUUUAAGCGUAGCAUUCUUCGUUUGUUUCAGAUCGCUGUGACCAAAAGGGUAUUUCAUUUUCUUUAUAUCCAUUGUUUGAUGUUCAAGUUAAAACCCCUAAUUCCCAACGAAAUAGGACCCAAAAUAUAAUUUAAGAAAAAAAAUGGGGGCAGUAAUAAAAUCAAGCGUUGAUAUAACAUAUGUGGGAGUACUGAAAGCUCCUGAUGAAAUUUGUAGGCAUUCCCCUGACUUUUAUUGGACUGAGACAUUAUAAAAACCUGAGAUUGAGAAAUCCCAGAAAGCAACUCUAUGGCUGUUAACCUUCAAUAACGAGAAAUCAAGUCAAGGAUUGACUCAUUAUGUAUACUGCGGCUUUAUGCUUUCAUCCAUUGCCGCCGUAGAUAUGGAAGAGGAGUCCUGAUUAAAAGUCAUAGUUGAGGGAAUUUAGGGACUCGCCUCAAUAGGAAGAAAGAGAGACCCUGGAAUUAAGUAUACACAUCCAUGCAUUAUUCACAACUUGACUCCAUAGCCGCACAGGAACUACUGGUGGAGUAUCCCUGCUGCGGGUCAGAAGAAAAAAUAGCCUCCAGUUGGAUUCUCCACCGGCCCCAAACUCAAUAAUUUCCUGCCACUCGAAGCAUUCUUCAACUCACAUGGCUCGUCAAUUCGUUCACAGAAAGAAACAUGCUGAACAAGAGGAGGGGAAAACAGAGGCGAGGAUUGAGGUUGGGGAAUCCCAAAUUGGAGUAGCUUUUUCUGGGGCAGCAGACAUCUGUAGUUUAUUCGUUAGACGUCCAAGGACAUCUUUGUACUAAAACAUUUCUGAACAGGCGUAAUUGUCACACAGAAAACUUGUGCUUUUCAUUAUUUUAUCCGUUAGUUAGAGCGGAUUUAAGUUCAAAUGUCAAGUACCUUUAUAACCGCAAUAGUUUUAUCUCUUUUCACUAAUUUAGAUGUACUAUAAAGUUAAAAAUUCAAUUUUUUUUUUCUUCAAAUUGAGUGAAGGUAAGAUUGAGAAUAGGGAUUUUGCUAACAAUUGUUAUGUAUUUCUUUUUUUUUUUUUUGGGUAGGUGUUAAGAUAAUAGUGUGUAUGAUUUACUAAUAGGAAACUCUCUCUCACAAAAGUACCUUUGGGAAAGGGCCAUUGCGGUUGAAGUUUAGUACGUUUCAGUUCGUUUGUUGUAUUUUUUACAUUACUUUGUGUACAAAUAUUACAUUACAGUAGUAUUUCGAGGUAAAAGUUGUGCACAUAGAUAAAAUAUUUGACAUAUAUUUAGUACAAUAUUAUAACGUAUUUCUACACUAAAAAUUUAAGCAUGUACAACAACCGGACGGAAUCGCUCAAAACACAUUUGUACUGAAUCCUUAUCCAAUACGUUAUUAUACAUUAUACAUAGGGUUCAUUUGGAGUUGUGGUAACUUAUCACAAAAUACUUUACCUAAUAGAACUUUUAAUGAAAGCCUUAUUAAGUGCUUAAGCGUUUUUAAAUAUAUUGUUUGGAUAUAUAGUUUAAUAAGUAUUCAUUAUAUUGGAUAAUAUGUAAUUUGAUAUCUUUUUAUUUAGUUCAGAAUAUAGGAUAAAAUGAUUAAAUUUAAUGUUUUAUUUUUUAAAAUAUAAAAGCUAUUUAAAAGCACCAAAUUUGAACUUUUGUUAAAAGCUUUUUAACGCUUAAAAUUGCAUUUCUAAUUUUAUUGGAUGAUAUUCGUCAAACGCCUUUAAAAGUGUUUUUAGCAUCCAAAAGUGUUUUUUUAACUAAAAGCACUAUAAUCCCAAAUGGUCCCAUAAUAGUAGAAAUCUAAUAAAGGUCCUAGUGUUUUCGUAGAUCUUCUAGACUUUAAUUAGUGGUUCUUGUGGCUCCUUCCAAGAGCCUGCAUAGCUAAUUAAUGCUCUCUCCGUUCUAAUUUGAUAGUUUUGUUUCUUUUUUCAUACGUCUCAAAUUAUAGUCCACUUCUUAAUUGAAAAAUAUAGCUAAUAUUUAAUUUCUCUAAAAUGCCCUCAAUUAAUUUACUUUGUUGUCAGUGAUUAUAACCUAUCUUAUUCAUUAAUUGUUUUGAUUUAUGCCAUGAAUGAUGCAAUUUUUCAUCAAUAUUAUUGUUACAAUUACUGUAAAGCUAUAAUGGUUAGUUAUGCUACUACUAUUAAUGUAAGGGUAUUUUAGAAAAAAUAGUAGAAAAAAUUUCUCUUCCAAUUAACUUAACUAAUUUUUUUAGGAUUAAUCUUUUCUACACUGACAGUGUAUACACUAUCAGUAUUGGAUGAAUGACAACUAUGUAAAAUUUGAAUUUCAAAUUUAACUUUUGCACACAUGUCAUGAAUCCAACGAUGAUAGUGUAUACACUGUCAGUGUAGAAAAGAUUUACUCAUUUUUUUAACCGUAUGAAAAAAAGUUAAAACUAUUACGGUGGCACGGAGAAAGUUGUAACAAGUUUAUUGCAGUAAAAAGAGUGGGAAAUCUAACCUAUUUCUGUUGAUUAACAACGGGGUCUGUUUGAUAAUAUAAAAAAGUGCUGAAUAUAAUUUUUUCAGACAUUCAGAUGUUUUGAGUGUUUGAUAAAUGAAAAUCUAUUUGCUGAACUUGUGUGUAUUUUUUUCAGCACAAGAAUCCUAGCUGAAUGCUUAAUUCUGAUAAGAAUCAAUGGAACCUUAUCUUAUAUACCAAAUCUACCAUUAUUUAUUAAUUAUGUUUAAAAUUCUUAUAUAAUUAAACAACCUAAUAUUCUCUAUCUAAUGAUUUUCUAUUUCUCUUUUCUCCAUUUUGAAUGACUUUCACUUCUUUUCCAUACUCCUUAUAUAAUAUAAUGCAUCUUGUAUAUUAAUUUGAUUUAAAAAUAAAUAUUAUCAUUUUCAAAUCUAACAUUUUAACCUAAUUAAAUCAUAGGUUCUAUUUUCUUUUUUGGAUGAAAAGAUAUAAGUGCAAAAUUGUCAAAUUUAACUUAUUAAGCAUUCAGUUAUAAAUGUUUAUCAAACAGUGUAAAUAAGUUUAGCAUUAAAAUUUAGACAUUCAUAUAUUUCUUUUCAGUGCUUAAAAUUCAGCAAAUUAAUUAUUUCAAUAUUCAGAUUUCAGAAUUCAGAUUCAGUAUUAUCAAACAAAACCUAAGUUCGGGAGCCGUGCACUCUUGGGAUUUGCUAAUGGCUUCCAAAAUUUAUAUUCCCCUACUUGCAUGGAAAUGGAAUUCAGGCAGUACGUAAUUGCGAUCACGCUGGCACAACAGGUGCCGAAAAUUUUGCUGUUUGAAUACAAUACCGGGAAACGACAAUAAUAUAUCAGCCAGACCAAAACUUAAUUUGCGAGAUUAGCGUUAUGUAUUGUACAAUAAUGUUGAUUGCUCUCUUCCAUUACCUGCACCAGAUGGAUCGUUUAUCCUUCUAUCCCGACCAGAGACCAGGGCUAUUCGAUUAUGUUGGCUUACAACUAUCUGAAAAACAACAGUUGUUGUGUCACCCAAAUAAAACCUUCCAUUUUUGUACUGUAUAAAUCUUGCAGGAAAUCCUCUCCAAAUUUCCAAAGAUCUAACUAUCUCUGCUUUCUGGUUUCUAGCCAAACAAAUCUGAUUUCUGUGUCUUCCUCUCUCUGAAUAUGAAGAGUGUAAAUGUUGUAUUAGUGCUGCUCUGCGCUAUCUUGCCUGUUGCAUUAUCUUUCAUUGAUGGUAAGCUCUCCGCAAAUUCACAGCUAAUUUGCUUGCAUUUGCUUCUUAAGCACUAUGGAUUCACGCAUUUCACGUUGAAAAACUACAAGAGACAAAAUUAUUAGCUCUAUCAUUAAUAGUUGGCAUGGAUGCCACUGAUGCAUGAUUUGUUCUAAUUUUACUUGGGCAAAUGCGUAGGUACUACAGUAAUGCAUUUCAUGAGCCAUACAAAUAUGAUACAUUGUUGUAAAUUCUUUUGAUAUUGAUGAAUUUCCAGGGUUAGUCCCAAAUGGAGACUUUGAGGAGGGCCCAAAACCAUGGCAAAUGCAUGGAACUGAGGUGGUGGAUCCCCACUCAGUACCACAUUGGGAACUUUCCGGGUUCGUGGAGUACAUCAAAUCAGGGCAGAAGCAGGGUGACAUGAUACUUCCAGUGCCUAAAGGGCAUUUUGCACUCAGGCUUGGAAAUGAGGCAUCAAUUAAGACUAAGGUUCAAGUCGCCAAAGGACUGUUUUAUUCUCUUUCUUUUGGUGCUGCCCGAACUUGCGCGCAACAGGAGCAACUCAAUCUAUCUGUAUCACCAAAUUCGGAGCCAAAGGAUUGGGGAAUGUUGCCUAUGCAAACCAUGUACAGCACUGAAGGAUGGGACUCAUUUUCAUGGGGAUUUUUGGCCGAAUCUAAUGAAGUUGAGGUAAUCUUCCAUCAUCCCCAAACGCAGGAGGACCGAGCUUGCGGCCCAAUAAUCGACCUGGUGGCUCUCAAGUCCUUCACUCUCCCAAAAAAAUCAAGAGGUGACUUACUAGCUACUACUGUAGUUACUAGUACAAAAGAAAAAAUUCUAUUUGUGGCCUUCCAUCUUCAGAUGGAACUAUUGAGUCCAACAGACGAUUGAUUCAAUUUUUGCAUCUCACGCAUGUCAUAUUUUUCGAAAAGUAAAGUAUAUGACUGAAAUGCUGUAUUACUUCCCCUGUAUAUAGUAUAUACUACAUUGGCAAAUGGCUUAGUGAAUAUGCAUCGAGUCUCAGUCACAGAUACGAAAAAUUGCUCACUUCUUCUAACUGACAAGUGUUCUGUGGGCAAGUGUUAAUGCAGACAUAUUGCAAAAUGGAAAUUUUGAAGAAGGUCCCUAUGUGCUCCCAAACACCUCCUGGGGUAUCUUAAUUCCUCCUAACGUCGAAGAUGAUCAUUCUCCAUUGGUGGGAUGGAUGGUUGAAUCCCUGAAAGCCGUAAGAUACAUAGACUCCGACCACUUUGCAGUUCCAGAGGGCAAAAGAGCAGUAGAGCUGGUGGCCGGAAGAGAAAGCGCUGUGGCACAAGUUGUCAAAACUGUACCUGGCAAAGACUAUGACCUUGAAUUCUACGUGGGCGAUGCUAAAAAUAUGUGUGAAGGAUCAAUGCUAGUAGAAGUGAACGCCAGCAAUUCUACUUUUUACGUCCCUUAUGAAUCUAAGGGGAAAGGUGGAUCCAAACUCGCGCUGCUUCGAUUCAAAGCAGAGACUGGACGCACGAGGAUCAGGUUUCUGAGCUCAUAUUAUCACAUGAAGAGUGAUUUUUCUGGCUCCUUGUGUGGUCCGGUGGUGGAUGGUGUGAGAUUAGUCAGGGUUCCACAUGCAUGAUCAGGAUUCUUGAUCAUAAACACACAUUCAUAUAUAUGUUUUACUAUUGUUUUCUCUGAUGGAAAUUUUAUAAAAAUGAUAGCCUAGCUUGUUAUUUCUGAUCGAUGCUGGGACAGGAGGAAAGACGCGCACACAUGCACGAAGAGAAAAGGGAUAUUAAUAUGGCUAACUUUGCAGCUGUAUGUCUGUCUCAAGAGAUGCUUUUGUUUCUCUAUUUAACUAUAGCCGGAUGCUGCAAUUAGUGCAAUAAUAUUACGUUGCGUUUGAAUUGAAAAAUUUGACGAAAAGUUUGAAAUCCCUUUAAAAAUUUAUAGUUAUUUAGAUUAUUGAAGAGGUAUUUAAAUUUAUAAAUCACCAAUUAUUCUAGCAUUUAAAAUAUAUUUAAAUAAUUAACGAAUUACAAAUUCAAAUACCUUCUUAAGCAAGUGGUUUGGAUGAAUUUCAAAUCUUUCAUUAAAUUUUUCAAUCCGAACGAAGCCUUACAUUAUCAUUCACUAAAAAGCCACUUUUCAUAUAUAAAAGAACAUCCAAAAUCAGCCAGUAAUUUACCACAAAUUCUAAUUUGAAUCAAAUUAAGGCUGGAAAUCAUCAUUACAACAUGCGUGGCAUUUUUACAAGAUACAAGAUUGGAUUAGUCCCAUAAUUGACUACAAAAUUGAUCCUUUGUCAACUAUAUAUGUAAAAGGGGAAAAGAAUUCGGCAAGAAAUGUUACCCCACGAACAGUUAAUUCUCCCCAGGAGAAAGGAGAUUAUAAUGUAAAGGACUUUAAAUUGUUUCAAUUCCUUUCAGUUUACAUCGACUAACAUAAAUUAUUGUCUCGUAAUUAAGAACCAAAAACAUAUAGCUAGCUAGUGAUUAACAAGUCCCCUAUUUAGCUUUGUAAUCAAAUGACAUCUUUCUUUUCUCUCAUUUAUAUAUUAAGCAUAAUCGCGUACGAAAUACAUAGGAUGGUAGAUGAUAUGGGCAGCGGAUGCAGAGAAUCCUCGAUUGCUAAAACAAAACUUGGAAGCAUACAAGUACAACCAAUUCAAUUGAUUGCUUGCUUGCACCAUUUAGAUGGAGUAAUAUAUAGCUCAACCGCCACCUCAUUCCUUGUCGAUUCACUUAUUGUUGCACAUGCCUUUUGGCAAAAAAUUAGAGAAUUAUUGCCGACCAAAAAAGUGCAAAAGGGUGGAGGUGAGAGAAGAAGAAAAAAAAAUAGUAGUAGUAAAAGGGCUAAUUAGGAUGCUAAUUGAGACACGAAAUUAAGACAAUAUUCAGUUCUCACUCAAAAGCUUUAGGUGCACAUGGUCUGCCCCGUAUCAGAUCUUGAAUGUCCCCAUUUCCCAACUCUAAAUUGAAAAUUAUGGUCUUCUUCUUCUUCUGCUGACACAUUGGCACAUACCCUCACGCAAUCGCUAAAUUAAUGGUACGCCUAAUUAACCAUACAUAUCUCAAGAUUCCACGCAGCAUAUUUUGGUCAUGAAGUCCAAGGUCUUGUGUUCUUGGACUGCAAUUCAGUUGCCUUCCCAGAAGCUCAACCCAUACAUACAUUAACUGUCUAUUGUACCAGAUCCAUGUGCCUGCAGGGACUUAGACAAAUUUGAGGUUUAUGUAUACAUUUCAAUUGUCUUAUGUCAUGAUCAAUGGCAGGCGAGAAAAGAUUGCAUGGUAUUCUCCUAUUCACUGAGCAAAAUGUUUCUUUUUUCAGAAUUGUGAGAUUGCAGGUUCGGGUUGAAAUAGGUGAAAGGAAAGGGCUUUACAUGAAUGCUAUCAGAAAAUGAGAGCUCAAAGGUAGAGUUUUAUGAGGAAUGAUUAAUGGGGAGCGGUAUAAUUUAUAAGUCUGAAGGCUAGGUAGUGCGUUGUACUUAAUCUCCUGAUGAAUCAAAGGGGAUUAAGCACUUGAAGUAAAUGCAAAUAUGACAUUUAUAAGUAAAAAUGCACCGUGAAUUAAAAUUGGUUAAUCAAUGGUAUGAUUAAGUUGCUCUCUGACCGAUGGGAUGACAGCUUCUUGGGAAUAGAAUGCCUUUCUAAAAUAAUGGAUUCUGUUCAACCCACCCCAUGAUACGUUUAAUCAAUUUUGCACAGACCGGAUGAUGGUGCAACCCGUUUGAUUAAUAGUUGUAGUAAAAUAUUCCUUCGGAUCCCUUGUGUUGUGGAAAUUAUUCUCAUUCACUCAUAUAGAAAAGAAAACAAAGCCAGGAAAAUUAAAUAUAACCAAGCCAGGAAUCUCAGAUGACCACCGAAAUGAAAAAGUAAAAAGAAUAUAAAAUUUUUUAAGAGACAGUGUCGUUUGUCAGGUUUACAAAUUUGCAUGUUAUCAUCUAUCUCUUCUUCAAGCCUAACUGCACAUGUGGGUUGCUUUUAUUUGGAUUCUUGGAUGGUGCAGGUGAUACCUUAACCUUCAAAAAUUUUGAAUGGUGGAAAAACUUGUCUUUCACUCUAUAAGUACGUUCAUUCUUGAAAGCUAAAAUGCAUAUACCCCCUUGCAGCCUCCCAGAUUUUGAUCCAAACCUCUCUCUCUCUCUCACACACACACAUACAUUAAAGAUGAAGACAGUAAGCCUACUGUUAGUGCUACUUUGCGCAAGCUUCCAUCUUGCUUUGUCAGUAUUAGUAGACGGUAAGCUUUCCGAAACCAUUUCUUGAUCAUGACUUCACCGCAAAUGAUCAGUGUUUUCAAGGAAUUGUUUAUCAUGAAUCUAACAUUGUAAAGUACUAUUAUUCUGUACAACGUGAAACUUAAUUUUUGGUAAAAUUUUGAUGGGAAGUGUUCUGCUUAUGGUGUUACUUGAAUUUUCAGGACUUCUGCCCAAUGGCAACUUUGAGAACGGCCCGAAACCAUGGCAGAUGAAGGGUAGUAGAGUGAUAGAUCCCCACUCAAUACCACAUUGGGAAAUCCGGGGUUUCGUUGAGUACAUAGAAUCCGGUCAGAAGCAAGGAGACAUGCUCCUAGUAGUCCCCGAAGGCAGGUACGCGGUGAGGCUGGGGGAUGAAGCUUCAAUUAAGACCAAAGUUAAGGUUGAAAAGGAUUUGUUUUACUCGCUCUCGUUCAGUGCUGCUCGAACUUGUGCACAAGAUGAAGUAUUGAACCUAUCGGUUUCGCCCAACAAGGAGCCCAACGACUGGGGAAUGCUUCCGAUGCAAACCAUGUACAGCAGCGAUGGAUGGGACUCUUAUUCCUGGGGAUUCCUAGCUGACUCCGACGUGAUUGAGAUUUCCAUCCAUAACCCAGGAAGGGAAAAAGACGCUACUUGUGGCCCUCUUAUCGAUUCUGUUGCCCUCAAGGCUUUGCGUAGGCCUCUAAAAACAAGAGGUCAUUUCUCUCCACCACACACACACACACACACACACUCUCUCUCUCUCUCUCUCUCUCUCUCUCUCUCUCUCUUGCAUCUGGUCCAAUUGUUUAGUUUGGUAGAUGACUAGGGAGGGUUUAUAAAUUAUAAUUGGACCAGGGAUUUUCCUAUUACCUAAUCAAUGUCUCUAUCUGCUAAUGUGGGUUUAGGUGACUAUUGGGGGCUAAUUAUCUAUGUAGUUUAGAAAUUUGAAGUGAAUUAAUUUAUAUUGACAUCUUAUUUACCAUAAAACUUAAAAAAAAAGUGUGAAGUGAAUCACAUCCAUUAGUAGCAACAGGUGAACCUCAGUAAUUGUUCGGACCCUCAAUCCGUUAAAGAAGUCCAUAAAUUCUGAAGGCCCAUUUCUCAGGAUCGAUGUUACUUCCUAAUAUCUCCACAAAAAGAGCAAUAAAUUCUAUGGCAUAUGCACGUUUAAGGGGGGACACGAUAAACGUGUCUAAUCAAAUCUAACACUUUAUUGUUCAAACUUGUUUAAUAAUUUUAUCGAGUUUGAAAUUAUAUUUAAAUUUGAUUUGUUUAAUUGAUUCCAAAAUACUUGUUUGAGUUUAAUUUAAUUAGUCGGCGAACUAAACUCGAGCAAGCUUUUACUGAGUCGAACUCACUGAGUACUUUUGUUUGUCUUUCAACCAAACUGCCGCUUGCGGCCUUUCUCACAAAUCAUUAGAAGGAAAAUCAUUAGAACCAUGAUGACUGGAUCACAACAAGAAGUUUCUUACUAGAUUCUAGCUCAUCCAUUCCUUUGCUAAUUCAAAUUCUGUAUUCAAUCCAUGUUAUUCUAUCAAUGUGCCUCCUGCUUUUCAAUAUGAACCCACAUAUCUUGGUUCAUUGAUGCAAUGCAGGAAAUCUGUUGAAGAAUGGAAAUUUUGAAGAAGGUCCAUAUAUCUUCCCCAACACAACAUGGGGAGCUCUAAUUCCUCCCAACAUCGAGGACGACCAUUCCCCGUUGCCCGGCUGGAUAAUCGAAUCCCUCAAAGCCGUAAAGUACGUAGAUUCAGAACAUUUCAGCGUCCCAGAGGGAAAACGAGCUGUAGAACUCAUAGCAGGAAGGGAAAGCGCUAUUGCCCAGAUAGUGAAGACCAUCCCAGGCUGGUGGUACGAUCUAGUUUUCUCAGUAGGCGAUGCCAAGAAUGGGUGUGAAGGAUCUAUGCUAAUAGAGGCGUCUGCUGGGAAGGUCACGCUUCAGGUGCCCUACCAGUCCUCUGGUAAGGGGCAGUUCAUCCGAGCCACCCAUCGAUUUAGAGCAGUUUCAAGGCGCACAAGAGUCAGGUUUUUGAGCAGUAACUAUCAUAUGAGGAGUGACAAUACUGGAACAUUAUGCGGUCCUGUGAUUGAUGAUGUUCGGUUGUAUAGUCUUCGUAAACUACGUAUGUGAAGCGAUUCAGCCACAGAUACUCUCAAGCGUCAGAAUUUACAAAUCCUCGAGUUUACUCUCUCGCAAAGUCAUGAAUCGUGAUCAUCAAUAGCUUAUGAAGGAAAUCUAUUGUCUUGUUAUUGUGCUGGGGUGGGGUGAUUUUUUUUUUUUUUUCCUUUUUCCCUAAGAUUACUAUUACUGCUACUACAGAAACAAUUCAAACAGAGAAGAGAGCUUUUAAGUUGCUAUAUUACAGCAUUGGUCAGUAUAAAAUCAUACUCCAGAUUUUAGUUAAGGGACAUCUUAUCGUACAUGGUGAUGUUUAAUUGCUUCUUGCUGCCGGGAUAGAGUAUUAUUUGAAAUAUUAUUUAGAAUAAUUACGGUAGCACUUUUUGUGUGAUAUGAUAUAUGCGAGAUAAAAAGGUAAUUGAGAAUAUAAAAAUAUGAGUUGGAAAAUGUGUUUAUGAUGCAAGCGAAAUAUUAUUUGAGAUAUUUGUACUAUCCAAACACUAUUGGAAUUAUAAUAACGCUUAAUUUCAAUAAACCCCUCGAAAAGUACACUCUUCUUUUCUCAUCUUGCCCCCUCGAAGAUUGAAUUGCACUAACCAACCCCUAUAAUAAUAUUCUCAAAUAGGUGCAAACGGGUCGAGGAGCCCAAUGUGUGGCAAAUUCGGGCAUGCACACCUUAUGACGUGCUCAAUUUUUAAAUGAUCACCUUUAGUCAAUUUUCAUUUUUUUGAGUGGAUUUUGGUUGGAAUUUACCGGACCCACAUGACGUGCUCAAUUUUAAAGGGUAAGAAUGACAAACCGCCUUGACUAGAAAUGUGAGAGGACUAACAGUGCAAAACUUUAGUUAAACAUUCAUCAAAAAACACAUAACUAACCCACCAUUACUAACAAUUCAUCUAACCCAAAACAACCUAAAAAUUCAUCUGAAGGAAAUUGCUGAUUGAAAUGCUAGAUAUAUUGGGUUCUGAGACAAUGAUGCAACAAGUGCAGAAUGACUCGACCACCUUGGCUUGAUCGACGGAUGCAAUUUCCACAAUUUCUCCAUUUUCCAGCAUUAGGGCCGGCCAUCCUGACUUUAAUGGAGAAUGGGUUCUUCUUGGCUUCAGUAAUUGCACCACCGCUAUAGACCGUGACAGCACCAUCGUCGCCCCAUCGUUGCAAGUGUUCGUAAAAUGCCUGAACGAAAUGUCCAACUGGCUAGAAAUUGUAUGUGAUUAGUGUUAGGAUGCGAAAUAUGGAAAAAAGAAGAAGGAUAACAUGAGCGAAGAGCUUAAGAAGAAGAUUAGGGGAAAUCAGAAAAUAGGGCAGAGUAUGGUUCAAGAAGCUUCUGGCAGGUUACUGUGUUAGGCUUGUAGGAAGAAAAUUAGACAAUUAGAAACUUCCGAUGUCUCCAAACUCCAAGGAAUAUGCUUUACUAUGCUUGCCUGCUUCCCGUACCAUCUAUGGAUUACCUUUUUUUUUUUUUUUUUUAACAUUUAUCUUUUAUAGUAAAUUUGCUUGUUAUUUUCUUGUCUUCAAUCACCAAUUUCCUUCGAAUGAAUUACAAUCAACUAAGAGGAGUUUGCAAUUAGGGUUCAUUUUGGGUUGAGACGAAUUGGAGAUUUGAAGGUAAUAGUGGAAUAUUCUUUGUAUUUAGAUGAAUAUUUAACAAAAGGUUUGCACCAUUAGUCCCCCAAAUUUCUGAUCAAGUUGAUUUGUCAUUUUUACUCAUUAAAAAUUGGACACGUCAUGUGAGCACAGUAAGUUUUGGCUAAAAUUCGCUUGGAAAAGUGUAAAGGGAUCAAAGGGAAUCAUUUUUUGUUUGUUAGAGAUUAAAACUGAUCAUUUUCAUUUUGAGGGACUAAAUUUUCAUAUCAACAAUAUGUGAGGGAAGAUUUGGUGCAAUUCUCUCGCAUUAGCUGAAUUUUAGUUACCUAAUCCUUAAAGAAUUAAAUUUGGUCAACUGAGUACUUAGUUGAGAUGGAUUUUCAAGGAAGGAAGAAGACAGCCAAAGAAAAAAGAAUCACUUGGUUGUUUUUCAAGAAUACUUUGACAUGCUUUGUGAUAAUCUGGCAUUAUCUUUUCUCUUGAUUCUUUCAAAUAAAGAAAGUUUACUGAUGAAAUUUUUUCUUGUGAAGCACGCCUUAUUUUCUAGGACAUCAAAGUUUUGGUUUAUCAUGUCUGUAGAACAUAUGAAAUGUAAAGUUUGUAAUGUCCAUCUUCGUUUAUGAUGAUAAUAUGCUUCAUCAGGUUAUUGUUCCUAGGGCCAGAUUCUUCAAAUCAUCAACUUUUCUUUGUAAAGUUGUCCUUUCUCCUCUGGUUAGCCAUAUCUUGAACAUUUGAAAAAUGCAUAAUUUGCUGUCAGUGACAAGUGACUUUACCAUAGCAAUUAUUUGAACUCCUGGAAGUUCAAAGUUCUGAAUUAUCAAUGCGUCCUUCUUCCCCUGCUGCUGUGCCAACUAAUUCACAAGUUGCAGUAAUUUAUUUGUCGACUUGACUCCAGAACUUUUUCCUGCCAGGAUCUUGACCUCACCCUGCUCCCUCUCUUAUUGGCCCUCCCCCAAGUCCAGGAUUUGUCUUUCAGUUGCACCUGAUCUUGAUUUUCAUUAUCAUCCUCUCUUUUGACCAGCUUUUCCAAGGAUGUAGUCUGGCUUAAGUGAUGUUAACUUGAUACACACCGAAUAGCUCAGCUCAGUGCUUUUAGUAGCUAAGAGGAGGAGGCAAGAGGGACGACAACUCAAGCAGUCAAGCCACAGUUAGCCUAUAACAAGGGCUUUGUUGGUCGCAAGCUUGAAUCAGUAUUACUUUACCCUGAAGUAUGCCAAGCAUUUAUUUAACCCUUUGUAACGCAACUUUGCAGCAUUCAUGGGCAGCGUGCAAUCAUGAUGUUUGAUGUUACAGCACGUUUGACCUUCAAGAAUGUGGCAACAUGGCAUCGUGAUCUCUGCAGGUGAACCAUCAUGUUUCAUAUUACCAUACACUUCAACUUAUUUCUGCAGUCCUUUAUUUUUUGGCCAACAUUCUCCUGUCAAUUACAGGGUGUGCGAAAAUAUACCAACUGUUUUGUGUGGGAAUAAAGUGGAUGUCAGGAAUAGGCAGGUAAAAGCAAAGCAGGUCACAUUCCAUAGAAAGAAGAAUAUUCAGUACUAUGAAAUUUCGGCGAAGAGCAACCACAACUACAAGAAGCCGUUUCUCUAUCUUCUUCGGAAACUUGCUGGGUACUGAUUACAGAAGCAGCAUCUCCUGUAACUUUACUAUCUAUGGAUGGCUCUUGUUCCUACCUUUAAAAUUUUUUACGGCAGCUGUCAAAUUGUUUUGUUCUACAGGGACCCUAACCUUAACUUUGCAGAGCAGCCUGCUCUUGUACCACCUGAAGUUCGUAUUGACGUGGUUGCACAGCAGCAGCAAGUGAUCAUGCAGAAUUAAAAGCAGAGAAUAUAUAGUUAACUCAAAGUCUCAGACAUCCCUCACAAUUUUGAAUGUUUUAGUGAAGUUGUACUGGGUUUAGGCUUUGUAUCAACAUUGCGUCUCGGUUCUGGUAAAUGUUCUGACGCUUAGGUAAGCCCAAGUUACUGUUAAUGCAAGAUGGCGCUCAGUGGGCUAAAGAUUUGCAAAACGAGGCCGGCCCAUAAAUUUUAUGGAUCACAUUAGGGUUUUCAAAUUCUUCUUCUUUUUUUUUUUUUUUGGGUUUUCCUCAUUGAUUUUCAAGUCAAUUUUAGUCAACGUCUUGUGAUUUCCCCUGAUAUGAUGAUAACCCCCGAUAGUUUUCCUGGACCACUUGAGUCCACGGCUAGCCUUCAUAUUUGACAUCUUCUACAUUCUCUCUGUUCUCCGCCCUUUUCCUCCUCUUUUCCUCGUCUUUUUUAGUAUAUAAUAAAUAGCCCUCUUCCGCCCUUCCUUCACUAAGAACCUGGCAAUCUCACUAUCCCACCGUCUGGUCUCUUUUUUUUUUUGCAGGAAUAUAAAAUGGCUCAUAUGUGUUCGAGACGUGGUUUCCACCACUUGUGUGUUAAUGUUUAGUUCUGGCACUUCGUUAAUCACUCUUUUAACUCACGCACAUGAAUAAAACUGGUUCAACAACUUUUAGACACGCCAUUAUGGAUUUGAAAUGCUCAAACCAAGGAAGAUGUAACACUUAAUGCAUUACGAAAUAUGUUUUUUAGUUCCUUAUAUAUAUAUAUAUAUAUAUGUAUAUAUAUAUAUAUAUUGUCCCCUAUAAUCUUGAGUUGUGAGAAAUUUUUAUCUCGUGAAUUCAUCAAGAUCCUUGUUGGCAUUGUUCAAGUAGGUCCCUAAUAUAUAAUAGCCUUAUGAUUUAUGUAUGGAAUAUAGUUUUGGAUCGAAUCACUGUCGUUCCACAGUAUAGACCUCCUGGGAAAUUGUCAUUUUCUCAAAGAUGGCAGAGAUAAGUUUGAGAAAACGUCGAAAGGCUAAAAACCCUCCAUUGUUCGUUUACUCUAGGGUGUAAUAAUGGCUGAAAAACGACACGGUAUAAAGUUGGAUAUUAGCAUGAGAAGUUGACAUACACCUUUUACUUUUUCCUCAAUAAUUCUGUACAAACCACAUGAGAAGCACUUCUCGACCGUCCAUCAAAAAACAACUCAUUACAUAGCUACGGGAUAUCAACUUAGGCUCAGCAUAACCAACCUACAAGCCACCAAACCAUCCUAAAAGCCAUGAGACACCAAUAUUCUGGAUAAAAAAGACUUGGCACUUUCAGUGGUAUGGAGAUUAGAAUGUCAACUCAUGCAAGUUGGCCAAAGCCAACGCAACACAAAUCAAUACCAAGAAAACUUAUAUCAAGGUGGAAUCAUUAUUAUGUUUGGAAAAUGCUCACACAUACUCAUGGUCAUAGAUGGGAAAAAAAAAAAAAAAGACUCAAUCCCAUCCGUUACCUUAGUCCAAAAGAAUUGGAUUGUUGAGCACACAUAUGGGAGCUACAAAAACAUGGGCUGGAAAAGGAGACUACUCUACGCAUGCGAUGAACCAAAACCACGAUUUACAUUAGACAAGGAUAAAGUUGUUAGAUAUUUAAAUUAUCGAUGAUUAGGUUCUUGAUUGAAUAUAGCAAAGAUCAGCUGCCAUUAUUUUAUGCAACUGGCAACGGGAUUUCCCUUUUUUGCUGAACCAUUUGUACUUUGUGCAUGGUCUUCAAUGGAGAGACAUAAGUUAUCUAAUCCAGGAUGGUGUAAAAGAGACAAAACAUUUGUGCAGCAAGUGCUUGGAUUUGUUAACUCUGCUUGGAAAUUGGUAAAAAGUUCUUGUAGUUGGUGGAAUGCAACAAUAAAAUAGCCGUGAUUUCAUUCUUUUAAACUUUUAAAAAGGUGUUAAAACUUAAAAGAAGCCCCCCCCCCCUCCCCAAGAAUUACGAUGGCAAAAAUGUUAUAGAUAACCUGUGACAGCAUGAUUGUAAAGCUGUUACCCAUGGCCGAUGCUUACAGACAAACCUAACCCCGUUCCCACUUUUAGAUUUCUGGACUACAUACAUCUUGAGACUACUGAUGACCUAGCUUUAUCCAAAGGCAAAAGCGUCCCUGUCAUCAUAGUAUCUUUGUUACUAGUUCAAUAGCUAGAUAUAACUGCAUUAAUUUUAUGAGAUUAGCUGAGAUUUUUAGUACCUUAAACCAAUAGCUAUAACUACAGGCAAUAUCAUAAAAGUUGGAUUUAGGGCCUACAGAAUUGUAGUUAUGCCAGCAUUCUCCAGUCUCAACGGUGUAUAGUAGUUUCUUUGUGAAUGGUGGAUUGUAAUUGGAGUACUUCACUUCAUAUGCUAACUGUCAAGUUUCUGGCUUAAUUUACUGAUUUUGUUUAGAAGCAGAUCACAACUGUUAAAUUUGGGAACAUGUUUUUGGCAAUGUUUUUAAACCAGGACCAGAGAGUGAAUCGGAAAACCUUCUAGUUUGCGGUUCGAUCGGUUCAAUUCUAGUUCAAAGGUUUAAUAAUUUUUUAUUCAUUCUAGUAUUAAAAAUUUUGAAUAAAACUAAAAUAUUUAUUUUAGAAAAUAAAUACUUAAUAAAAAGCUUUUACCGGUUUUUACGGGUUCAACCUGUUCUUGACCGAUUUUAAUCGGUUCAAUUAACUCUUUGACUUUGUAAUUGAACCGGAAGAGAGGCAUGACCGAUUCACGGUUCAACCGAUCGAACCGAUCGAUUCGGUCCAAUUUUCAAAACACUGGUUUUUGGUGCCAAAUCCUCAUCUCAAGCAGAUGUGAACCUAAUGACAUCAAAGAACGUCGAAAGAGGAAAGGAAAGAAGAAAAAGGAAAUCAAUCAUAAAAAUGACAACAUGUGUUUGGAGAGAGUACUUCACACAUUCAUGUCAUCUCAAUGUAUAAUGCAAACGAACAUGCAUGAUACACUAACUUGCAUUCUUUUAGAGAAAGCAUGAAGACAAGAAAUAUCUGCUUCAUUGACAAACAAAGACAGUACUUGGCACCGGUUCUUCCCUCCACACAGAAGAAAUCAAACAAAAUGAUGAUUGAAAGCAAAGCGUGAUCCCGUCAUUUCUAAUCGAAUUGUCUUUGCUGAAAAUAUAGGUAUGCCAGGGAUGUGGGGCACUGAUUUUUAGAGGGUGGACUGAUCCAUAAGUCCAAAAGCAAGAGUAGAUGUCAACUGUAGGAUACAUGAUGGAUACAGCGAGUUCGUAUAAUUUGUAGGGAGAUAUAAUUAAUAGGUCCACUUCGAUUAAAAAAAAAUUUCUUUUUGUUGUAUGUUUCUAAUAUUUUUCUAGUUCAUUCAAGGAUAACCUCUUGAAGCCAUUUUAGACACAGUUAUCAGAACAACUACCACGGAGAUGCACAUGACUAUUGGCUGUAGGGAAACGUCUAAUUUGUCUUGGCCGUUGAAAUAUGGACAAGGCACCCAGAAUUACACCCAUUAAUUGAAAUAGCACUUGAAAUCUUCGGUGACAUGUUUUUAUAUGUCAAUCCAAUGUCACCUAUAGUAUUGCAUCCAAGUGUUGAAAUAGGGUAAUAUAAUGUGGUAACACAUAAUUUCGAUAAUAUACUUUUCUUCUCGUGCCAUAGAUUCUAAAGUUGGAGCAAUUUUAUCGUUGUCAUCUCAUCGUCUUCGGGAGUCCAAAAGAAACAAAGACCGGUGCACUAACAUUUGUACUUUAAUUCUACAAUAACUGAUUAAAUUAGAAUUAAUCUUGUAUACACUGAUUACGUAUAUAUUAAUGGAUAGAGCUGCAUGACGCAUGUAUAAAAAUUGAAAUUGAAAUUCAAAUAAAAAUUAAGCUGCAUGUAUUCAUGCCUCUAUUAGCGUACACAUGUAUGUAAAAUUAGAUCCGGAAAAGGUCUCCUCAUUUAUGUAUGGUGUGGCUCACACGUAACAGUAGUAUUCAUUCUAGAAAAAAGAAAAAGACGUGGGUCACAUUGAAGAAUAGCAAUUAGCAAAUUAAUUACACGAACUAAGUAAGAUGAAGGCCAUCAUGGAAUCAUGCUUUGGUAGGGGUAGAGCGCCGCAUUAAUCAGAACCUUUCGACAAAUUUGUAGGAAUCGCAGGUAAUUAAAACAAUUAGGGAUUAUUAUUAUGGUCAUGGAAUCACUAGUCUACUUUUCUGACAUUGGGUUAUCCCACUUUGAAGUGCGACUUGUACUUUUUAUGUCACAUUAAAUUGGCUUUUUUUUUUUAUUUGGCGGACUAUUCUUUUACACGUGUCUUGUAAUAUCAGAAGCAGGUGUUGGGCUGACAAAUACUCCUAAAUUACUUUUUUUUUUUUUUUACAAUAUAUUGUGGGAUGGGCAAUUAGUGAAGAAGAAAGUGUUACUAGAUAAAAAGGUGGAAGAAGUGGGACCUUUAGGAGUAAACGACACAGUUUUUGCGGUUGACUGCGUCCGCCCACCGCGCAGCCUGAGGUGAGAAAAUUUGGUGGGGGCGUGACACGCUGUUGUCAUCUUGUUUUCCAUCGCCACCAAACCACAAACCCCGAAAAGCCGAAAAUUAAACCGACCUAAUUAAAAAGAAAACAAGACAAGAAAAGAAAAGUAUUAUAAAUUAAAAGAUUUGCUUCUUGAAUUCUUUGAAGUGCUAUCUAUAUAUAGACAACAUGUAACAAGAAAAAAAGAAAACAACUCUUUUAGCAGCUUUUCUUUGAUCCGUUAUUUGGGAUCCAAAGUGUUUGAUGUUGUCCAGCAUGCAUCAUUUGGUAACAAUAAUAAUAAUAAUGAUAGGAGUAUUAAGGCGGUAAGUGAGUUUUUUGGGUGUUUGUCUAAAAUUUUACUGUAGUUUACUGUAGAAGUCGUAGAAAAAUUUUUUGAAGUGUGUAAAUUUUUAGAUAUUUUGAAGUGUAUAGUUUAAAAACUUUGAGAAGUUUUUUAAAGUUACUGUAGUUAAAGUUGUUAAAAAACUUGUAGCAAAUAAACUUGACAAAAAACUUGCUUGCCAAACAAGGCCUAAGUUUCUGGGGUGUCAACUACAAAACUAGCAUAUGACUUUUAUGAUCCAGCUGGGAGCUAUUCGAAGAUGAGAGACAUAAAACCAAUUCAUAAGUUGAAAAUGUCAAACAUUUGAGAAACACGUUAAACAAUCAAAAUCUUGGGUGGGAUUUCCUUGAGGGCGUCGAGAAACUUCCUUGAUCUCCUGAAGCAACCUUUUACUAUCAGUUUUCAACAUGUUUAUGAUGGUGGCUUCGGUUUCUUGAUCUCGAUCGGCUUUGAAUUCUUUCGACUUAUCCCUUGGCUCGCAUUCGUACAUUCUUGUGUUUUGUCGCCCCUCAUUCUACGUUAAAAAUAUGUCAACUUCAUUCCAACUCAUGCCAACAGUGUUAUUGUUCGUUUGUUUGGUAAAAUCUUAGCAAAUCCCCAAAGCCGGGAUUCCUGAUGACCGAAUAUUCAAUAUUACGUUGUUUCCUCUGUGACUCUGGCGUCUAAGAUAAUUGGUGUUGCCAUUUGCAUUGUAUUAUAUACGUUCGUGCAUACUACAUUAGUAUGGUUCUCUUUGAGUGAAUUUUUCUUACUUUCUUGAUUGAGCACACAUCUUAAUUACACAUAACUUACUGUAUAAACAAAAGGCAUACGUCUUAAUUACACAUUUACAUUUGUCUAUGAUACCUACCUUUAUUUUUAUGCAAAAAAAAAAGAGAAAAAUUAAUGCUUGAGGCCCUCCUAAACCAAAUCCGUAAUCAAUUAGUUGAUUGUUGAACGCUUAGUCUUUACAACCAUAAACUUGCUAAAACUGCAAUAAAUCAUGCAACCCCAGCUCCAGCUGCCAAGUGGAAUACAUAUGCAAGCAAUAUCCAUCAUGCUUUCAAAGCUCCUAAUUCAAAAGCACAUGCAAACAGACAAUCACUUGUGAAGCGUCCCUUUGGUGGACAGUUAAGACGGAUGUGGUUGAUUACAUGCCAAUCUUUCGGAAUAAUAAACAAAAACAUGAUUGGUUUUCCUGAUUAUGGAAUGUUCAGAGUCGAACAUCUGGCUUCUGAUUAAUGGAUCACCUGACAAGGUCAGCUGAACUUAGCACAGGGGUCUCUUUGUUAGGCCCUGAUGUUUUUAGGCCGACCGAUUAGAAUUAUGACCAGCUCUGUGGUACAUUUUGCUCUUGCAGUUGUUGGACGGUGAAGCUGUGGAGAUCAACAAAAGCUCAAACAUAUAAACGUGGCUGAACUUUUCAUGCUUUCUUUAUUUCAUGUAUCUUUUAAUUACUUGGUGGGAAUUUAUAUAUAACGCACCAAUGACUAAGAGGGCAUCCAUUCGUCACAGGCUCGUAGCCAAUACAAAAUUGAAGCUGAUCUUUCGAUGGAAUUAGAGAGGACCAUCGAGGAGCAGAAGGGCCCCAUCAUGCCUUGGUUGUAUUGGGACAGGAUUAAGGGAAGAGUCCUAGGGUGGGUCACCUAUGCUUUGGGACAACCAAGGCAUAUGCCCCGGCUAAGAGUGCAGGAAGAAAGUAAUAGAAUAGACAGCCCUGUUCCCAUGUGCCCUCUUCUUCACAAAUUCAAUAGCAACCUUCCAAAACCCCUGCAGACCGACUCCCCUUCUGCCCUCUCCUACACAACAGAAAACCAAUACCGUAUCUUCUGAAUCAAGGGAAGAAGCUGGUACUGGGAAGCACUAUCGUAUGUCAUCCCGACCGUAACGUAUCCAUCUAUUUACCUAUGGAGCAUAAUCGUGAAUUUCUAAAUUAAGUUCCCACCCGGCCGGAUUUAGAUGAUCAUGUAAUUGUUUGAGAUGGUCUAUCCAUAAAGUGUGACUUGAAGUUUGUGAUAGAGUGCAAAAUAUAGGUGCCGAUCGAUUUACCAAAUCUCAAUAACAAGUGAUCGAUUUUGCUAAUUCAGGAGCUUUGACAAUUUGCAUCUUCUUUCUACUCAAAUUUUUUGGGUAGGGGCCUUCACCAAAAUUGCAUGUGUACCAUUUUCUCUCGUCUCCACAGGGGGGCCUCCCUUCUAUUCAAGGGCACCCUUUUCCAGUGCCUUCACAUCCGUUUAUCCUACCUAAGCAGGUUCCUCUUAGUAAGGAAGUGCAUAUGACUCCUGCUUUUCUUCCUGCAAAUGAAAUAUGGUCCUGCAUCUUCAUCAACGUGAUAUCAGACCGCUGGAAAUUUUUGGAAAUCUAGAUGGCGCAGUUCAAUGUAUUUGUAUCAUACAAAUAAAUUAUCAUCUGAAUUGGUGGGGGCUAGUUAGGUUUCAAGUCAUUAUUCAUCUAUGACACUCAACGAAAGUGAUUGAAAGCAAGCACUUAGGUGGGUAUAAUGAACUGGAUGGAUACGCCAUAGUAACUUCCAUUUUCUCAGUCAAGACAAACUUUCCAGUGCACCAAUCGACUACAUGUUUCCAAGGCUAUACAUGCUUAUUCAUACAUAUUGUUUUACUUCGGCAAAUAUAGCAAAUAAGCAAAAGCCCCACAAGAAAUUGCAUGGCAUGGCAUGCGCGGUUGUUCACUGUACAUCAGAACCUACUGCUGGUUAUUAAUUAAUUACCUGUCGUUGAUGGAGAUCUUAUCAGCAUCCAAGCUAGUCGGUGCACAAAAUUUUCCUGUGCUUAUGACAUAGUAGGACAUUGACCGCUUACCAUCCUUCAACAGGUGCACAGGAAAUAAAUUUUGGAGUCAACUUUUCACUUUUGAGACCUAAAUUCUUUCUGCCUCUUUGAAUUCAAAGGACGUGUUCAUACAUCAUGUAUACAUGAACUUGAAAUUAGAAUUCAAAAUCAAAGAAAACACACUAGAAACUAAUAAGUUCGUUGAAAAUAGAAUACUAUUAUGAGAUUUGGACCUAUAAUCUAAAAUUUUAGAAAAUUCUUUUUCUUUUGUGUGUGUGUGUGUGUGUGUUGGGGGGGGGGGUAGUAUGAAGACAAGUUUAGCAAUAAAUAAAUCAUAAACUGCUAUAUAUGCCUUGUUUCUUUUAUCUUUUUACCCCCUACUUCAAAAGGUGCUCAUUUUUCUUUUAUUGUAUGUAUUUGAGAUGUUUGUACAAGGUCCAGACCCCAGGGGCUAGGAUUGUCCCAGUCUUGACACCACCAUUAGUUGACUAUAGAGCUAUGACUCAUAUAUAGCGGCUUUUCCGCAUUCCCUGGCUUGCCUCGCUUAGUUAAGCAAACUUUCCGGCAAUCCCUCCUCCAUAACUUAUUACUAUAUAAUACACAGGCCUCCCUUUGAUCUCUUUCUCUCUCUGUCUCUCUCUUUUGGUUUCGAACUCUCAAAUAUUUGCAGAGAGUAGAAUUCAGGAAACCAACUACGUACUACUAAAUCUGCAAAAGGAAAUUCUCGUUAUAACCAUGGCAGAAACCUUCCACUGGUUUUGGCUUCGGCUUAUCUCAUAUUUUCUAGCAGUAUGUGUUUGCAAGGUUUUGGUUCACUACUGGUGGCUGCCAAGAAGAGUUGAGUAUCAGUUUUUACAGCAAGGAAUUAAAGGCCCAGAGUAUCAUUUCUUUCUUGGAAACCUCAAGGAGCUUGCAAGUUUGAUGUCCAGGGCUUCCUCCCAAGAAAUGCCUCUUUCUCACAACAUACUCCCCAGGGUUCUGUCUUUCUAUCAUCAUUGGAAGAAAAUCUAUGGUACUCGAGACUCGUUUCCCGUCAUAUUUUUCUUUCCAUUUGAGGUUACUGCGGAUGAGUCAAGCCAUGAUUUUCAGACUCUCUUCGUUUAAUUCUAUCCAUCUUUGGUUUUCAACUAAUAGAAUAUUGGUUUGGCUUCUGAACGUACAAGUACUAAUGAUUUUGUCUUCUUGAGACAAAUGGUUUUCCUAAAAGUUUUUGACAUCUUGUCUAAGGGAGUAUGAUUCAAGGCCAUCAUUUUCCUAGUGUUUGCUCAGGGCCACAUCUUUUUGUACUCGUCCAAGAGGUGGUGUCUACUUGACAUGAAAUCAUAACGCGCGCUUCAUUCAUUUUUUCCUUUGUAGAUGCAAAGUUAGAAACAAGCAUCCAAAAGUUUCGAACUGCUGUUUUUCUUUUGGCUUCUUCUUGUUCUUCGUUUGGUUUCAGUUGAAUUCUCAAACUGUUCAUCUAGUAAUUUUAGCAGUUACAAGAAAUUUAACCCUUGAAGUGUUGUCUUCGAAAGUACCAUGCGUCUUCUAAACUACGGAAGGCAGAAUAUGUUUUUAUUAAGUGCCAGAAUAUAUUUCAUCAAGGCGUUUAAAUUCCAGAAAACGUUCCACUAAUGUGCCUAACUUCCCUUGUCCAUAAAAUGCCCGUUACACCAGUUCCACAGCUAGCAUAAUUUGUCCGUUUCUUUUCUUUUCUCCUUCCCUUUUUCUAUCAAAACUUUGAAGGGUUUAAAAUAAGCUGGCUCUCUCAAUAUUGCAGGCGCAAGCUUUCUUGUAUGGUUCGGACAUACACCUCGUCUCACCAUAGCUGACCCUGUCCUUAUUAGAGACAUUUUCGUUACAAAGUCAGAAUACUUUGAGAAAAAUGAACCACCUCCCCUUGUUAAGAAGCUUGAAGGUGAUGGUCUAUUAAGUCUCAAAGGAGAAAAAUGGGCUCAUCAUAGAAAGAUCAUUACACCAGCCUUCCACAUAAAAAAUCUCAAGGUAUAUAAAAAUUUUUUUUUUACGAUUUUUUAACAGUUUUAAUUAGUUAAAGUUGUAAGCUGCCUUUUGGUUAAGAUGCAUUGAUCAACAUCCCAUUGCAUGUGUCCAUUUUCUCUUGUUUUGGUAUGUGUAGCUGAUGAUACCCAUGAUGGCGAAUAGCAUGGGGAAGAUGCUGAAACAAUGGUCCAAAAUGUCGUCAAAUGACGGCAAGGUGGAAAUUGAAGUCUCAGAAUGGUUCCAAAACUUGGCAGAAGAUGUCAUCACCCGCACAGCAUUCGGAAGUAGCUAUGAAGAUGGAAGGGCUAUUUACCAACUUCAAGCUCAGCAAAUGGUCUAUGCCACUGAAGCAUAUCAAAAAGUGUUCAUUCCGGGUUAUAGGUAAUUAAUUUGAUUAAUUAAACAUUUUGCUGCAUAUAUAUAUAUAUAUAUAUAUAUAUAUAGCUAGCUAGUAAUAUGAUAUACAGUACUGUAUAUAUAGGUCAUGCAGUUGUCGCCCUUGUCCAAACACGGUUUAACUUCAGAAUCUUGCGAAUUUGAACUGAUUUGUUUAUGAUUGCUGCCACAGGUUUUUGCCCACCAAAAAGAACAGAAUUUCUUGGAGACUGGACAAAGAAAUUAGAAAAUCCUUGAUGAAACUCAUCGACAAGAGGAGAAAAAAUGCGAGUGCCAAGGGGUUGUCAGAGGAAUGUCCAAACGAUUUGCUGGAACUCAUGAUCAAGGCCAGUUUGAAGGAAACAACAAAAAAAACAGUCCCAAAUAAUUCAACUUCGAAUUCAAACACGUCGUCAUUAAUGUCCUCGUCGUCCAUCACAGUUCAUGACAUUGUUGAGGAAUGCAAGACAGUUUUCUUCGCCGGAAAGCACACCACAUCAAACUUGCUGACGUGGACGACCAUUUUAUUAGCUAUGCAUCCUAAGUGGCAGGAACUGGCACGUGAGGAGGUCUUGAGGGUGUGCGGAGCACGUGAUACACCUACUGAAGACGAUGUUGCCACGCUUAGGACGGUGAGCUAAACCCUAAAUUUUAUACUAUAUAUCUUUCCCAAUGAUUUUUUUGCUGAAUGGACGCUGGUUGGGAGAAGUCUCAGUCAGUUAGCGUUACUAGUUUUUUUCCACAAAAAAAAAAAAAAAGUGAUAUUUUUUUUCAUGCAAAGCUAAUCAUAUCCUACUAGUUAAGUCAAGUCUUAAAGACGGUCCGUCCUGGUAUAGUUUGAUCGGUAAACUAAUCAAUUCAUAUCGAAGCAUUAAACAAACAAACAUAAAAAAAACAGGUGUACCUUUUCUCUUUCUCUUUGGGUACGUAGAACAUAAUAUUCAUCCGGUCCUUGUGUGCGUCUUAUGAAGGAGGAAGCCGGGCGGCAGAUUUGUCCUCAAGCCAAAAAGGCCUCGGCUUGGGAUGUUUUUUUGGUGCCUGGUGACUGGAUUUAUAUUACUACUAGUUUGUCCUUGAACUAAAGUUAGAGUGUCCAACUUUUGGGGCUUUAGAAGAGAAUCGAAAAACUUUGGGUGUUUUCAGCAACUUUCCGGGCAUUAUUAUUAGCUGCUUUCGGUCUUCUUCUCCGGAAAACAGAAAUGCAACCCGACACUGUACUUCCCAAGGGGAGCCCCAAAAUCUUGCCUCUUUAAUUUGGAGGUUAUACUUAUCCACAACCUAACGUUAACAAAAUAUCUUCCAUCCCUCAAUGUUAGUUUUCCUAGUCUUCAUCCUGCCACGCUUUGAAACACAAGUUUUAGAGAAUGAGAUCAGUGAAAAUCUAGAUUGUGCAAGUUUUGGUUCAUCGUUCAUAAGAACUUGGCUGUCAGUUUGACCCUAUCUAGCUCUCAAGUCUCAAGGAUAUGUUUAGGUUUAAUCAAGCCCAUGUUCUUAAUUAAUUUCGUUGCUAUUACAAUUUUAUUCACCUUAAUUAAUUAUCCGCAGCUGGGCAUGAUAUUGAAUGAAUCUCUGAGAUUAUAUCCACCAGCAGUGGCAGCAAUCAGGAGGGCCAAGGUGGAUGUAGAAUUGGGAGACCUAAGGAUCCCACAGGGCACAGAGCUCCUCAUACCAAUCGUGGCCGUUCAUCAUGAUCCAGAGUUGUGGGGCAACGAUGCAAAUGAGUUUAACCCCGCCAGAUUUGCGGGAGGGGUAGGACAUGCAGCCAGGCAUUCAAUGGCUUUCCUGCCUUUCGGAUUAGGCUCCCGUAGAUGCAUUGGCCAGAAUCUAGCCAUAUUGCAAGCGAAAUUAGCCAUUGCUAUGAUUCUACAACGCUUCUCUUUUGAUCUAUCGCCAACUUACCAGCAUGCACCCACUGUUCAGAUGCUUCUAUAUCCACAGUAUGGUGCACCCAUUAUGUUCCAAAAAUUGUAGCCAGUAGGAUCUCAAAGACUUACUGUCAUAUAAGCCUAGAUAGCUAGUAUUCUCACUUGUACCUAGUUACGACCAUGAAUGCGUAAAUGUUAUAUACAGGAAUUAUAUCAUCUUUUUUACCUUCAGCUGCAUGCCUUUAAAUUUUGGUUAUGCCUCUAAACAGUAGCACAUUCACCCUUGAACCCUUUUUUUUUUUUUUUUUUUGGGAAUUAAGGGUGAACUUUUAUUUGUUUGUGUAAAUUAUUCUAGGUACGUACGUGUACGUGUACGUGUAGGGGUACAAGAAGAUAACUUUGGAAUCACUUGCAUAUAUUCUAGCUCAUUGUGAUCGAUCACCAUUACGCUUCAUUGACUUCUAGGGAGCAAAAAAAAAAAUUUUUUAAAAGAAGAAGUGCAUGAUGCAAUUUUUAGGUUUAAGGAGACUCUAAUCUUUAUAAAUGAAUAAAAAAGGACUCCAAAUCUUUGAAAUCGAACCUAAUACCUCACCAUUCCAAUUGUUAAUAUCCGUAUUUGGUCGUGCUAACUAACACUAGAUCCCUUAUAAAAUAUUUAGGCUCUAUUUGAAUAGAAGCAAAUUAAGAAAGUGAAGUAAAAGAAAACGAAAAUUGUUUUGUGGUUUAUAUUUGGUUAGCAAGAAAAAUUUUGAGGGAAAAUGGGAAGUUAGUGAUAGUUAGUGGUAGUUGUUAAAAUUUUGUGUCUAACUUAACCUAUUUUCCUUUGAAAUCCUGCAAAUUUUAUAGGAUGCAAAAUGCAAGAAAGUGCAAGAAAAUGCUUCAACUAUCCCCCUGCUUAGUGCUUGCCAAAUAUACAUGAAAGAAAAAAUAACUGACUUUCCUUAAUAUUUUUCCUUGCAAACAAACACAUCCUAAAAAAAAUUUUCGUAAAGCUUUGGUCCUUUUGAACGAGCAAAAACAGUUUAAAAGCCCGAAUUAUCAUUUCAAGCCCAUGUUGACUCAACCAUAAAUUAAUUAGGCCCAAAUGUGUUGCUAGGCUUGCGGCUUACCCAAGCAUUGAGCCCCCUCUAGCCCAGUAAGCUCAUUGAGUUUUCGACGUGGCACUUUGUCAACCAGCGGCGCACUGUACACAUAAACAACAAUGGAAGAGCGGGUGGGGCUAACGUGUGCCACAAGAACUAGCCACGUCAUUGUGGCGCACAUUAGCCACACCCACUCUCCCAUUUAAGGCGGGAAACACGUAAGCCGUUUAAAACCACGCAUUAGCUUCCGAUGAAAUUAUUAUCUCAUCAUUUCCGCUCUGUGUCUUCCUCGGGCCUGCCCAUGGCUAAAAUGGAUCCCGGGUCAAACUCUCUUAUGUGGUUCCGAAAGGGUCUUCGGAUCCACGACAAUCCAGCUCUCGACUACGCUGCUAAAGAUUCCAAGCAUGUAUACCCGGUUUUCGUGAUCGACCCGCGCUAUAUGGAGCCCGACCCAACAGCAUUCUCCCCGGGUUCAGCUCGUGCUGGUCUGAACCGGAUUCGUUUCCUACUGGAAAGCCUCACUGAUCUGGAUAAAAGUUUAAAGAAUCUUGGUUCGCGAUUAUUGGUGCUCAAGGGUGAACCAAGUGAAAUGGUGAUUCAUUGCCUGAAGGAGGUAAUAAUUUUUUUUGGGGGUUAACUUCUCAACUGUCAAGUCCUCUGCUUUUGCUACUUAUGAAUUAAUCUUGGCAUUAUCAAUUCAGAAUUGUGGUUAGUACCUGUGGCACCGACAAUGUUUUUUUUUUCCUGGGGUCUUGAAUGUUUACUGAAGUAUAAUGUAGGCCUAAAACUGGGUACCAGGACGAGUUUUCAGGCCCUUAGAAAUGGGUAGUCAAAAAGAGCUUAAAAUUUUGUCUUUAGUAUGGUUAUGUGAUGAUUCUGUAAUUUCUGAUGAUGGUUCUGUUUCUUUGGAGGUUCAAGUGGAACAUAAGCAAGCUAUGCUUUGAAUUUGAUACAGAACCAUAUUAUCAAGCUUUAGAUGAUAAGGUCAAGGUGAGAAUUCUUCCCUGGAUGAAGAGUGUUUGGGACACCUUUGUUUCUUAUAGCUCUUGAUUCAUUGAAAUCUGUAGCAUGUUUUAAUGCUUGCAGUGCGAAUGUGGUAAUAGAUGUAUAACAUUUCCUUUGACAGAGCUAUGCUUCUUUAGUUGGUAUAGAGAUAUUUUCUCCAGUGAGCCAUACACUCUUCAAUCCUGCAGAGAUCAUCCAGAAGGUAAUUAAGUCAUUCCUAAAGUUGACACAACUUUAGACAAGCUAAUUCUUUUUCCUCCUUUUCACCUGAGACUAUUUAACCGGAUAAUUUCCUUCCUACAUGUAAAUUGUCUUGUGCAUUCCUGCUGAACAUACUUGUUGAUACCACAUUUUUCAAGAAAUUUUUGUUAAAAUAUUUUCUGAUUUCAUUUUACUGUCUCUUGGUCCAUCUGCUCAAUUUGAUAUCAAAGAAUGGGGGGACACCACCUUUAAGCUAUCAAUCGUUUAUCAAAGUUGCUGGUCAACCCUUCUGGAGUUCAUCUUGCCUUUCAACUUCGCUUUCUUGUCUUCCUCCUCCUGGAAAUCUUGGGAGUUGCACCAUCUCUGAAGUUCCAUCGUUAAAUGACCUUGGUUACAAGGAAAGUGAAGAGGUAGGACGUUAUGAACUUCUUAAGAGGCCUUCACAGAUGAACAUCUUCUAAGAAAUACUAUUCAGCAGGAUGAAAGGACUCCUAUUAGAGGUGGUGAAUCAGAAGCUUUGAGGCGACUGAGUGAAUCAAUUGCUGACAAGGUUGGCUAGCAUUGCCAUUGUCUCAACUCUCAAAUUCAUAGGAUGGCUAACUUCUUAUAUUUAUUUGGCUUGCUUGCACAUGAAUGGAAAAAUAUUUUCCAAUAUUCCUGUGUUGACAAUGUCUCCCCCUCACCUGUCUUUGUCUUGCUUUAUCUGGUAUAUUUAUUGAUUACGUUGAAAAACAGUACCAGGAAAACGUUUGUUCUCCUUUCUUUGUAAUAUGUCCCUUUCUAACUCAACACUAUGAAUACAUGGUUCAUCCUAUUUUGUGUUUGUUGCACUAUUAUACUAGUAGUUCCAGCUGUCUCUCAUUGAGUUUUUCUUUCUGGUACAUUUCCAUUUGAUCAUGGAACAACGCAUGUUUCUUAGGACUGGGUAGCAAACUUUGAGAAACCCAAGGGGGAUCCAUCUGCAUUUCUAAAACCAGCUACAACUGUUUUGUCACCGUACUUGAAAGUAAGUACAAAACACUGGAUUGAUGUUCGGCCAUUUGUCCAAAGUAUUCUAAUCUAUUACCCUCCUCUUUCAAUUUUGUUGGAAGUUCGGUUGUCUGUCACCCAGGUACUUCUACCAGUGCAUUCAGGAAGUUCAGAAAAAUGUUAAGAGGCACACGUCUCCACCAGUUUCCCUUCUUGGACAGGUCAGCUUACUGAUGCUUCUCCAAAUUUUACUCCCCUCAUCUGACUGGCUCAUCAACUUCUGCAGUUGCUGUGGCGAGAUUUUUUCUACACAGUUGCUUUUGGCACCCCCAAUUUCGAUAAGAUGCGCGGAAAUAGAAUAUGCAAGCAGGUAAUAUAACUAAGUGCCCAACCUUUUUUGUCUCAGCAAAAUUUGGGCACGUAAAUUGUGGGAGCUGUGCAGCUAUGAGUUUGCUUUUGGUUGAUGAUUUAAAUCUUAAUGCCUUCAAGCUUGCUGACAAAAAAUGAAGGAUAGGAUUGUGAAUGUGUGUUGGGCGGCCGGGGGGGGGGGGAGGGGAGGGAGAGAGUCUCCCCUUAAGUAUAUUGACAAACAUAUGGUCCUUUUUUAAAAACCACAAUUUAGUCUGUACAGAAAUAGUUUCAUGUUACAUUAAUAUAUGUCCAAUCAGCUAGAAAAUGCAGAAAUUCAGGAAUAGUUCUAUGCUAUAAUUGAUCAUUUCUCUUAAUUGGGGAGAGCAGCUUUAAACAAUGUAAUAUCUAGGCUGGGAAUCCAAUAAAUAUUAGUAUAGUGAUCUCCAGAUGAGGAAAUGAAGGGAGAAAUUGAAGAGGGAUUCAAUGAUCUAAAGAAUAGAAGAAUAGUUGGAUACUCUGGUGGCAAAUUAUUUUAAUAUUAGUUAAUUCAAUGAUUUGAUAAUUGUUAAGACCUUUAAAAAUUCUGAACUUUCAUUUGGCAAAUCCUUUGCACAUUUGGUAAGUAUGUUUCUCGUAUUGCAGAAGACUGGAAGUUGGUAUUGUUAGCCUUAUAACAUUUGGUUAGUGCCAAUUAGUUUUAUGCUAGGAAGGUUAGUCUUCGUGCUUACAAAUGAUCAUUUGAUAUUUGACAUAGAUACCAUGGGAUAGCAAUGAUGAGCUGCUUGCAGCUUGGAGAGAUGCAAGGACAGGUUUCCCCUGGAUUGAUGCCAUUAUGGUUCAGGUAAGGUUCAGAUUUGGAAUUCCUUGAUUGUUAAAGGUAGAGACUCUGUUACUAGAGAUUUAUCCAAAUUUCAGAUUACACCGUACUACUAUAUCUAAGUCUCGUAUAAAAUUGCCACAGCUUCGGAAGUGGGGUUGGAUGCACCAUCUUGCAAGGCAUUGUGUUGCUUGCUUUCUAACGCGUGGAGAUCUGGUAAUGGACUUCAACAUUAAGUGGCAAUACAGUUUACCCUUACCAUUUUUUUGUCUGACAUGCUUGUGCUGACAGUAUGUGCAUUGGGAGAAAGGCCGUGAUGUCUUUGAGAGACUUCUUGUUGAUUCAGAUUGGGCAAUAAAUAAUGGAAACUGGUUAUGGUUGUCAUGCUCAUCCUUUUUCUACCAGGUAUGGUUCACAUUUCUCAAUUUAUCACUCGCAUGUCAUGGUUGUCUUAUUUGAGCUACCGAGCUGAUGACCAGAAGGUUAACAAGCAUUCCAAACUUGAUGAGAUCAAGUGAUCCAAAAAAAAAAAAAGAUGGGAAAAUGUUCAAAUAGUUGAACAAAUAUUGGCAGUUCAAAUUUUUGAACAAUUUUUCUGGAUCAUUAAUUUGGUGAAACCACAGAGUUGCAGUCAGUAUGUGUAAAUGCAGACUGGGUUCUUUGUAGUUCCACAAAGUUUCUAUGAACUACUACUAGUAGCAUUCUAAUGUAACUGUCUUUUGCAGUAUAACCGCAUUUAUUCUCCUAUCUCUUUUGGGAAAAAAUAUGAUCCCAAUGGCAAUUAUAUUAGGCAUUUUCUUCCUGUGUUAAAAGGUAUGUUAAACAUGAAUGACUUCUUGGUUUAUUUACUUGCUUUAGCCAGUCUCAGAAACUGUAAACUUCAUUUCUACGUGCAGAUAUGCCAAAGGAGUAUAUUUAUGAGCCCUGGUGUGCUCCUCUAAGCAUCCAAACUAAAGCUAAAUGCAUAAUUGGAAAGGAUUAUCCGAAACCAGGUCAGAGUCUUGCCUAUAUGCUUUCCCGCUUCUGUCUGACUGCCCAUAUCUGCCGCGGUCUGCUUUGGGACUCCAGCUACAGUUUUUUUUUUUUUUUCUCGAGCAUCAUUUUAAUUGCUCAAAUAUGGAAAGCAACCAACCCAUUCUUCAGAAAGGCCAUGAACAUAUCUCAAAUUUGAAGUUUCUUAGUGCUUUGCUUUAAAUCCUGAGCAAUUGCUUCCCUGAUUCAUCUUCUUCGAAUCAUUUUCAUGGACUUUCAUUUGAGAAAGUUAGAAUGAUCAUUAAUUUACGAGUUAUGCAAAUGUACCCAAAAUGAACGGGGAACAAAGCUGGUUCCUGGAAUGACUUCGUCUUCCAAAUCAGUUCUGUGAAAUGUUCAAGUUCUCGUACAUAGCAUAAAAGAUACGUCUCUAGUAACAUCAAACUGCUCAUCAUUCAAACUACUGUAUUUUCUCUUUCCAAUUUUCUUAUGCUAGUUUGUUUAGUUACUUUCAAGCUUAGUUUUGGAUUGCACCAAGUCAAAAGAAUGGUAUGUUCUGCAUAUUUUACUGGAGUUCUUGUCUUGCAGUGGUUUCCCAUGAUUCUGCAAGCAAGGAAUGUCGAAGGAGAUUAGCUGAAGCAUAUGAGUUAAACAAAAAACAAAAUGGCACGGUGAGUGAGGAAGAUCUGAAGAAGUUGAGAAGAAAACUGGAGGAAGAUAAGAUCCAAGAGUCCAAAUCAAAAAGAUUAAAACAAAAGUCGAUAGGUUGAGGUCAAGAUUAAUUUCAUGUUAGCAGGCAGGAAAAUAACGCUGAAGGAUUAAUGAUAGAGUUGUACUAUGAUCACCUUCAUGGGAGGAAAGAAAAAGGCAUCUUUUUUGUGAUCCCUUGAUCAGAAGCCGGAUACCAAUGGAAGCUGCAGUAACCAUCUUCGGCAAUGAAUCUCGGUGGUAACAUUUGAUUGCUUGGGCUUUGAUUUCAGCAGAUAGGUUCUCUUUAAUCCAAAAUCUAUCUGGAUUCUAUAAAUGUCUAGUACCUUUAAAUUGGAAACACGACUCUCAUCAAUAGUUCUCUGCAGUGGAUUUAGGAAUUUAUGCGUAUUAUGCUGGCACAAACUAAUGUCCUUCAAUUAGCUAUUAUAAAGCCAUUGCUGAUAUAGACCAACAAAAAUCGGUCUGGCAAAUCUUCUCUUUGUGCCUGUCCGUAACCUGUUAUUUACCAGCAGGUCUAAUGAUCGAUUCUCCUGUGUUACUUUACUGUGUAUUUUUGGAGCAAGGUUCUACACGGCUUUAGGAGAUUAGUCUAGUCGAAAGGUUGGAAUACUCUUAAGCGAAAAAAAAAAGAUCUUCUCUUUGUGAUUUAUUAAUACAUUGUUCACGGUAAGAAAUCUUGUUGACGUCCUACAUGAUGAAAUUCUUGAACUAUCCUCAUCCUAUAUUCUGAAAACCAACCAAUUAUUCCCGGCUUCCAGCAUUGGUAGCAAAGAAGAUUAGAUUGCCUCUGAGAUGUUCCUCAUUCUCCUUCUCAAUGGCAUCUCUGUUUAUGCGUUACUGUCAACAGAAUUAAUGCACUGAAAAUUUCCUCCCCGGUAGACAACAUGGCCAGGCCUUUCCGUCGAGCUCCAACUUCCAAAAUGUAGAAUGCGCCAAUAACCACGAUUAUGGCCCUUUCAAAAAGAAAGUCCAGGUAAAUACUUCCCCGAAGGACUAAUAUAUCGUCAGAAAAUUCAGGCAUUAGAAUUCAUUAAUCACGUAAAAAUUUCUGGCCAAUUUAGUCAUUUCAUUUUAGAAUACAACUCAUCAUGAGAUAUAAAUGUGUGAUAUUAACAUAUAAAUGUAAUUAAGAGUUAAUAAAAUAUCAGUCGACCUGUAUUCUGAUAUUUUAUUGCGCUCAAUGCUUGAUUAUAAUACGCAAUUUUUUCUCAAAAAAAUUUUUGUGGCAUCUUUCAAAAUAUGCAAAGUAUCAAAUGGUUUGAGUUUCUAGGAUUAUAUAUUGCUUUGAAGCAAAAUUAGGGGAAUAAAAGAAAGGAAAAUAGGGAGAGAAAGGAAUGAUUUCUUUUUUUUUUUGCUUUUUGCCAUAUUUUGACUUAACAAGGUUAGUUUAGGAAUUUCAGCAGAGAGAGCCUGCACACGCGCAAAAACUUGUGGCACGAGCGAGUCAAACCCCAGAGAGGGAGCAGUGCCGCAGCCUCUGGCAGGCUACCCAUCCCUUCGGCCAGCGAGAGCGAGUACCGCUCUCUCCGCACUCUUGACCUGGGCUCUCUCUAAGCCCAAGCGUUUUCAUUUCUCCAAAUUCGCCGAAACAAAAGAGACUUUCUACGAACAAACAGUGAUAAAAAAGAAGCCAAAAACCUCGUUUUACCUAUCCACUGGGGCGACCUGAGAUCGGACCGACAAAACCCUAGCUCAACCACUGAAGAAUCAUGUGGAGAAGACUAGUCUCUUUGCAGCUCAAAACUUUGUCUAUUCCUCGAUCGGUUCCUAAGCCCCAUCGAUUCACCGCCGCCGGUGCCGUCUCUUCAUCUCCGGAGUCAUUUCGGCCAUCCGUCACCCUCUUCUCUUGCCAGUUCUCCACUGAAACUGGUAUGCUUCCAUCCAAGCCCUAAUUUUUCAGUCGGAUCUUCUAUUCACCCUCUGAUUACUACCAGGCAUUUUCCUUCUACAUUUGUGCGCGUUCAUAAAGCCUUUGUUUGUGAUUGAAUGGAGAAAAGAGUGAAACUUGUGUUGAAUUUUGUUUGGUGUAGCAAAUGUGGCAACGAAAAAGACAGUUGAGGAUGUAAUGCCGAUUGCGACUGGUCAUGAGCGCGAAGAGCUUGAGGCUGAGCUUGAAGUGAGACUCUUUUUUACAAUUCCUUUUAUUUAUUAUUAUUUUUUUUUUGUAGAAAGUCAGUUAUUGUUGGCUUUAUUAUUUUAAAGGGACAUAUUUGAGGUUCUGAAAUUCUGCUGUUGAGUGUAAUUUAUUGAUAGGUGUCAUCUAUGGUUGAUAGUUGUUCUAUUUUUUGUGAUUAGGGAAAGGAUAUUCUGGCAAUCAACUAUCCCGUUGGUCCUUUUGGUACAAAGGUCAGUCUCAUGUUUUUGCUUUCAAGUAAUUUUUUCAGCUUAUCUCAUUGUUUUUGGUUAAGCUGUAGUUGCUUAUAUUGCUAUUGUUGUUAUUCAAGGAUUGAAAUGCUGGGAUUGGCUUCGAAUUAGCUAGUCUGUACAACACUUACUGGUGGCUCUGAAUUAACAAAAGAAUUAUUGUGGCAUGGUAUAUGUAGGAUGCCUUAUUGGUCUAGGUGAAUAUAAAAUAAAUUAUAACUUAUUCAUCUGUCAAAUACAUUUUUAAUUAUUGUUAGAAGUAAGACUCGUUUAAAUUCCUUGAACCAGUGGUUCCAUACCUGCUUAGCACUGUUUCCGAUGUUCAUUCGUAUUUUUGUUGUUUGUGUUAGCACAGCAUUGAUUAAAAAUGGCUUGACUUGAUUCCAUUAUAUUUAAGAACCAGUGAAUCAUCUUUAAAGAAAUUUACUUGCUGUAGAUGUGAGAUGACCUUGAAGUGAUUUUAAAUAAUUGAAUAUGUGCUUGGUAACUGUUCAAACAUGGCAAAACUGUGAAUAGUAGUGAUAUUGAUGCAGAUCUUGAUUUAUAUUCAGAACUAUGUAUUGGAGUUCUUUUACUUAGCUAUUGCUGUCUGUUCAUCAAUGUCAAAUGUGGUGGGUUUUCGGCUGAAGGGGUGUUCAUUUAAACUUUAACAAAAGGUAUGAAUGUAGUAAAUUUUGGUCUGCAAUCCUACAUUGCAUCCUUAUACAUUACAUUGUGGUCUGAUGCCAUGUCUCCCAUGAUUAGAAGCUCAUUGUCCUUGAUCUAUUCUGAGACCCUUGGAACUUUAUUGCAAUUGUCUUUAAGAGUUCCACAGCUUUCAAACUGCAAAUCUAGUGGAAUUGAAGUUGCUGCUUGGGUAAUAGAAAUUUCCUUAAUUCCAAGAGUAGCAUUGCAAUCAUGUGAUGGAAAUGAAGUUGCAUGGGUAAAUGUGACCAUCUAGCUUAUACCAAAUAGUUAGGAUAAUGACUUGUUAAUUUGGUUUAUGUAGUUUGCCGGAGUUACGUUCUACAUAUUUGCUUAUAAUCUUUGAUGAAGAUUAGGUACUGUUAUUGGGUUAAUAGCUUUCACUUGUCUUUCACAUUCAGUUAUCCUCAAUUUAGUUGAAGCGUAUUUGAUACUUAGUUUUGGGUUUUAGUUGAAAAUCCAUUAUCCAAUUCUGAAGUAUAAUCUUUAAUAGUGUUCAUUGGCUGUUCAAUUUAGAAUCUGUCUUUGAUGAAUUCAUUUGUGUAGCACUUGAUUGUGUUCUAUUUGUUUUGAUGCUUGGAACUGUCAAUAUUGAUGCAAUUUUUGUGCCUUGCUCGCUUGCAGGAAGCACCUGCAGUCAUUCAAUCUGUCUAUAACAAAAGAAUUGUUGGAUGCCCAGGAGGUGAAGGCGGUAAGUCCUUGUAACUUACCUCCUUUUUCAGUUUAUGAUGAACCAGUAAUAGUCGAUUCUCAAAAUGGAAAGUCACGGAAAAGGAAGAAUUUAAGUGAAUUUUAAUGCAGUUUCUCUAAGUUGUAAUGUUCACUUCUGCAUAAUUUUAUUGUCUUCUCCUUUAACAGAAGAUGAGCACGACGUUGUAUGGUUCUGGCUUGAGAAGGAUAAGCCGCAUGAGUGCCCAGUGUGCUCACAAUAUUUUGUGGUGAGUAGCAUGAUAAAUCUGGAAUUGAGAAUUUUAAUAUUGAUUAUAUUUUGAAGCAGAUACGUGUGAAGAUGUAUGCUGACAUGCAAAUUUGAGUGCUUCUUUUGUCCACUUAUUUGCAUUGAUAAAGACAGAGUAAAAGAAAUUAUUUGUUGUGGUUAGAAUUAGUCAACUUGAUGGGAUCAGUUUUGAUUUUUAUGGUUAAGGAAAUUAAGUAGCUUCUUGUUUCUCAAAUUUUCCAAGGUCAACUCUAAAGGAACGAUUGAGUAAUUUGCCCAUCCUUUUGUCUGAUACAUUUAUAUGACCAAUAUAAAAUUUUGUUGAUGGUAUGUCCAGGCCUUAGUUGCUAUGAUUAGCUUCAUCAUGUGAAGACCGACAUGUAAAUGUAAUGGAUGGGAUUACAAAUGGGAUUUUAUUGGCUCCACAAGGACAUGACUCCAUGGCUUAGUUAUUGUGGUUAAUUUGUUAAAAAUAUUUUUCUUGUACACAGUUAGAAGUAGUUGGUCACGGAGGAGAUCCUGAAGGGCAUUCUGAUGAUGAGCAUCACUAGUCGGAUUCUGCAAUGAGCCGGCAAAAGAGAUGAUGAGAGGAUCUAGCAAAUUCAGCAGGAUGUGAAAGCUUUGUGUUUUGUUCACUUCUGAAAAGUAUGUUCUUCUGAAGGUUGCUUUGGCAACAAUUGAGUCUGACAAAUUUUUCUUUAUACACUUUUUUGGUAUUUUAAGCAUGGGCUGGUCAUCCAUGGGAAUUACGGACUCUUUGACUUUUUUUUAGUGCAAGUCAAAUAAUCAAUGGCUACAAUUGGUUCAUUUGUAAUUGACAUUGGUACUUUAUGAGACGAUCCAUUGAAAUUGAGGUGUCAUUAAAUGGGAAAAAAAAUAAAAGAGGAAAGGAUGCAAUCAAAUCCACCUCCGAAUCAAACCUUUCCCCAAAAUCAGAAAGGACAAAGGAAAGGUUAAAUGUGGAAAGAAAAUGGGCCAAUCGCAGACCUACUUUUGCAAGCCUAGGGAGUUGGACAAAUCCUGAUGCAUUGCGGCUUAAUGCUUAUGUAUGACCUUGGGAAUUGUUCAUGUUUUGAUGCAUGGCGGCCUAAUGCUUUUAAUAACCCGUUUGGAUUGUAUGUUUUCUGGAUAAGUUUUUUGAUACAUGUUUCUCUAUGAUUAUGAUCUUUUAAUAUCACGCACUAGUCUCUGCAAUAUAGCGUUAUACCUCAAUCUUUUCCCACAAAAACUCCUGAAAUACGCAAUCCAAAUGGCUACCGUCUUAUUUAGUCAUCUUAUAAGCUUUCUGACUCAGACUCUGGUAGAAAUUCAACAGUGUCGGAGCUACUAGGAAAACAAAGGCGGGGUGGCGGCUGGGAGAGAUUGGAGCAAAGACGACGCAGCCGACCACUCAGGAUUACGUGGAAAGGUUUUGCGUUUGCAAAUUGCCUUUUGGGUUACGUGAGAAGGUUUUUUUGUAUUUGCGAAUUGCCUUUUGUGUAUUAGCACGGAAAGCUUUUGAAAAGGCAACUUAGGCGGGUGAUUUUGGAGAAAUGAGAAUCGAGGUGGAAUUGGUUCGACAAAUCCGUUCCGUGCCAAAUGCCACAGAAGAAGAAGAAAUAGCAAGACAUCGCCACCGCAUUUCCUUCUAGAUGAAUCACCUCACUUUAUGGUUCUCCCGUCUUAAUCAAUGCGUAUAAUUCCUAAUUCCCUUUGCUUUGGUGUUUAGAGUCUUUGGACAGUGACUCCAAUGCUUUCGGUGGUUCUUCUGCAUUUUGGUCUACAAGAAGCGACCCAGUUUCAAGACCCCAUUGGGAAAUAAUUACAGCAGUUUUGAGCUCCCCAAAGGCAAAACUGUGCCUGAUGACCGGAUGGUGGACUCAAUCAGUCACCCUCGGAGUAGGUAACUUCGUCCUUUCCUACAACCUUCUCCUUCUUCUUCCUUUUUUUUUUAAUUUAUAUUUAAAUAUAUAUUGGACGUUUUUCACACAUAAAGUUAAUUUUACUACUGAUCUCUAGGAAUUAAUGACUAGCCAUACCAAUCGUUCGUCCAUCCGUUGGCAGCAGAAUCAUGCACGCUCCGUUGCAGUGGGUCUAUUACGGCGUAGUAGGAAAUUUCUGAAUCUGUGUAAUUACUGUUGAAAGGAAUUACCUGUGGUAGCAAUUGCUUUUCGGAUAAACCUGUGAAAUUACCUUAUAUUCUGUGUAUUUAUUAUUUACUGUUGAAAGGAAAUUUCUGAUGUUAUUUGGACGAUAGGCCUUAGACUAGACACGGUUGCAGCCGAGCACGGCGCCUUUUAUAGGCCAACACAAAGCAUCCUACCAGCUCCAGGACCCGCGGGUUCAGAGGCUAAGGAAUCUCCAAAGAACGGAGCUAGGGCUAGAAAUUUCAUUAGGAUGUGAUAGAGAAUGAAGCCUGUCCGUCCAUUUAUAUAUUCGAACAAAAAUACGUUGUCCCAGAAAAGCUACAUGUGAAUGAGUAGAUCUUUUAUCUCUUAGCAGCGGGGCACCCUGUGGGGUUAAGUUCCCACAUCGGGUUGGGGGGUUUGGGGGGUUUAGUAGUUAAGUGCUGCGGAGCACUUCAAAAGUUGCCGGCUUUUGAAGUGUCUUCGCAGAGUCCAUUUAUCGAACUCAUACAAAAAACUUGUGAGAAAAGGGAAUGAGUAGAUCUUUUAUUCCACGUUUCUCCUCCAUCAAUUUACUGCAUGAUCAACAUCGUCGCAUGAGAACACUUGAAAAUGAUAGCAAUCCUUAGAAAUAGAUCCGUUUUGUAAUAUAUUCAUUUUCCAAAUUCAAAAACAAUUUGGAUUAUCAUAUACAGGUUAAUUUGGAUUUUUUUUUUUCGUUCGGCUCUUUUUGAUUCAUUCUUUCAUACAUGUACUCGGCUACGGGUUAGUUCUCAAGUCAUGGUAGAGGCCCAAAUGCAGCCUGGAUUUAGGUAAGGUUAUUUUUUCGGAUUCUAGUUAGUCUUUUCUUUUCACUUAAAAUUCUGAUACUAAUGACGCGUCUGAUAAAAUUAAAGUUUGAAAUCUGAAAUUUGAACCUGUUAAGUUACAGAAUUGUUAAAUAUUAAAAUCCUAAUAUUUGAGCAUGUUUUGUAUUAAGUGAUACGUAAACAGUUUAUCAUUUAUUGUUUUGAAUAAGUUUUGCUUAAACAAUUCAGAACCAUUCAAUUGAUUAAAACUUUUUGUUUUUGGUCAUCAAACAUGUUUAAACAUAUUAAGGUUUGAACUCAAUAAAUUUAAGUGCUGAUUGCAUUAUCAAAUAGGGCCUAAGACAAGGAACUUCUAGAGUAAUACUCGACUGCAUAGAUGAGAGAAUAAAGGUGCAGAUAUAACCAAUUUAGGGCUUAUUUGGAUAGAAGAUUAUUUGAAGAAAGUCUAGAGGAAUUUAGGGUUUAUUUUGGGAGAACAUCUUUAGAAUGAUAUUGCAGUACUUUUUUGUGAUGUGAUGCAUGUAAAAUAAAAAGAUAGUUGUUUCGAUUGUUAGCCUUUUUGUUUUUUUUUAACCUUCAGAAAACUUUUUGGUUGCUAACUAAUGGUAAAUCUCAUUAGCCAAGGGGGUGAGCUCCAGUUGUAAAAUUUCUUUCUUAAUGAGUAAGUGUAUACACUCAAUUUCAAAAUUUACCGUCUCAUUUCAAAUUGCAAUGCGUAAAUUACAGCGAGUGUUUGAAAUGUGAAGGUCAAUUGGAUGAGUAAAUUUGAAGUCAUCAACGUGACAACAUUCGUGUGGUACGUAAGCUCCAAUAAAUAUUGCAGAUAUCUCUACUCAUAAAGCUAAUAAUUAACUCAUAGUGGCGGUGAAGAUUAAAAUAGAAUCAGGAAAAAGGCAGCUAUCAUUUACAAGUUGAAAGCAAUCCUUCAUUAUUUAGGGAUCGCGUAUAUAUCUCUUGUGCAAAAUUUCCCAAUUUGAAUCAUUGACAGGUACUAUCUGGACAAAAUAAAGUUAGUGCCAGCAGCACAAAUGUUGUCGAGAGCUAAAAUAAACACUAAACUUUGAGAAUGAACAGCCGUGGAUUCUUCUUUUUGCUCUACUUCUACAUGGGGGUGUUUUUUUUUUUUUUUUUUUUUUUGGGGGGGGGGGGUUGGGAGGAAAGUGGAGUUGACAUGCUAAUUGCUAAAGAUACGAGUGAAAAAUAUCUCCCCAAAAAGGAGGGAAAAUGGAAUACACGAACAUCAUCAGAUGCUCUUUUGCAGAUUGGUCCAAUCAUGAUGCUACACGUUACCAAUAAUUUCUGAAUUCAGGUCAACUAGUUAAUGAUGAUGUCAAAAGAAAACUUUGCAAGUUAGUGAUGGGGUUGUGAUUCUAUCUAUCAUACUUAGAGAUCUACAUACAGACUUUGCAACCAAAAAAUAAUUGCUUAGUGCUAAGCAUCGAGGAUUGUGCAUUUCCGCAAUUGAUUAGAGGUUAUUCAAAACAUUUCUCGACAAGGAAGGGAUCAAAUAAUAAAUAGAAGGGAACCACCGCUGCCCAGUGGCCACUAAAAAUGGCAUUAAAUCCCUUUUUGAAUUGGAGAUCAGAAAGUUCGAAUUCUAUCUAUCUGUAGUGAAAAAAUUUAAAAGAAAUGUAAGAGCACCUCUUUGAGCUAGUCGAGUUUGUGCACCUUUGUUAGUCUCUUAUAUAGUUUCUUUAGACUUUUUCUUCUUGUAAAAUAAGAUAGAUUAGAUUAUAAAAAAUAAAAAAUAAUAAUAAAUAAAAGGGGAAAAGGGAAAUUUAAAAAAAAAAAAAAGAAAAAGAAAUUGGAGACUUUAGGCCUUUUACCUUCUAAGAGUUGUGCAAUGACGUCCCAUGGGCCCAAGUCACUGAAAAAUGUGGGCCAACGUGUGCCACGAGAUCCAUUCUCCACGGACCACCCCCUGAGCAGGCAUUGGUGUGCCAUUACACAGUUGAAAAAUAGCCAACAAGAAAACAAACAGAGGUAGGCCCAUAUACUACCAUCAGAAAUUGGAAAUAUUCAAUUUCUUAAGAUGGAAAAAGGUGAAAAUAACGAUAAGAGAAGCCAAAGCUGAGCACAUAUCAAUUCUUUAACCAGUAAGAUGGCGAGAUACCCAUAUGUCUAGUGCAGCAGCAAAAAGAGUAAUCAGGGCUAUAUCACCCUUUUUUUGUUUUCUUUCCAUUUUAUUGAAACAUAGUAUGAAAUAGUUGGGACUUUAAUUACACGUUGUCAUCAAACACUCAUUGGAGUUGUAAAAUGUAAGUGUUCAUUUCCUUAAAAUGAUUAUAUAUAAUCAUCAUAAAAAGCACAGCACACACACAUUUCCUGCAGUACACAUUUAGCCUAAAGAAAGUAAUGCUCCAUCAUCAUUUGUACAGUUGAGAGCUGUAUCCCCUUCAUCAAGGCCAUGCAAAAAAAGAAAAUUAAGAGUAGUUUUUCACCAAUUAUUUUUGCAUUUAUAUAUCAUUAAAAUAGUGGGAUGCGCAAUUUGUAGAAAGCAUGGACAGCUCAGAUGCUAUUCAUAUUUUCUUUCUUUGUAAUCUCUUCUUAUUGCAUAGAGAUGUCAGUUCAUUAAUGAUGUUUUUCCAAUCCAUUAGUCGCGUUUAUGACAUCCUUUAUCAACAAGUUCAGAAGGAAAAAAAAAAUCAAACUGAUGAGGUCAAAAGCACCAAAAUGACAGAGGUGAAAAUUGAAAAGAAGGCACAGAGCCAAGAAAGAGAGAGAGGGGGAGUUCGGUGGGAUGUACUCAGGCUGUGAUAGUCUUUGAAUUCAUCAUGAAUUGUAGUAAUAAACCUACAAAAAAAAUUACAAAACCAACGAAACAAUGAAUGAAUGCAAAGACUUUGAGGAAACUUGAACAUUACCAAAGUGCAAGUGGCAAGCAGCAAAGCAAAGCUAAGAGAUACAAAAACAAGAAAGAAAAGAAAAGUGCAGAUGGGAUGAUAAAAAGUUCAUAUGCUUUUUCCGAUGUUGUCCCUUCCACCACCCAAGAACUCCAGGUACUUAAUUACGUACCAAUUAGUAAUACUGCUCAUCCCGAAUGCGAAUCUUUCACACUCUCUUUCUAUAUCUACAUAUAUAUAUAUAUAUAUGUGUGUGUGUGUAGUGUCUAGGAAUUUUGAUUAAUCAUCAAUCUUUUCAGUAAGUAUUAUCAGCGUGUGUAUAAGAUAUAUAUGCAUGGCUAGAAAUUAAUGGUAUGAGGUAGCUAGCUACUAGCUAGUGAUGAGAGUCUUUUUCGAAAUGGUUGAUUAUUCUUCUUCCCAUUAUUAUUGUCCAGAUUUGUGCUAUACCACAAUGAUGUUAGAUUGGACAGUUGAACUUCACUUUGAAGAUAAUGGGUAUCCAUCAAUCAUCAGAAAUAAAGAAAAAAGAAGAAAUGCAUAAACAAAUGAUUGCGAGAAAAGAUAUUUUCUUUUUACCAAAUUGGAUUAUUCUCUUUCUUGUUUUCAGCAAUAUUCUUGAGUUGUAGUUGUGGGUUUACUUUAUUUAUGGAGAAUAGCCACUGCCCACAAGCAUAGAUUCUCUUCUUUGUGCUGUAGUAAAUCUAGAGCCCUCCAUUUCCAAGCUGGGGAUUUCGCUCUCUCAUGGGAAUGGAAUGGUUGGAUGAAUGUGCUCUGUAUUUCCCCUUCCUGCUUUGAUUCCCUUUUCCCCUCUGCUGAUGAAAAGAUUGCCUGCUUUUGUCCUUGUCUUUACCUCUCCUUUUCAUAGAUGAUGCUCUUUCUAUCUUUUUGAGUUUCUAGGCGGUUUUAGGCACAAUGCGUAGCUGUUUCUCACAUACUGUGUUGCAUAUUCACAUGUUUUAUUCCGUCUUCAACCUGCUCUUAGAGUUUUGGGUAUAAAUACCUCGAUAUCAUUUUGUGUUUCUCCUCAUAGCACCACCGACCGUCCUGAGUUUAUCACUAAUUCUUACAGUAGCAAGUGGCCUUGAAUAUUGGAGGGUGCAUUAAUUCCAUUUCUGGCAGCCAGAUAUGAGUUACACAAAUUCUUCAGUGGGUUCUGGUUAGUACCAACAUUUCUUUCUCCCGCAAGUAUUUUCUUGUUUUGCACUAUUCAUCAAUGGCGCUUGCCUGCAUUUCACUGUAAUGCUCGUUCCAUUCCACCCCUGACCUGGAUAAAAUUUCCAGGAAGUAGAGGAGCAAGGAGAACAUUUGACUUUGGGAGGACAUAUGUGGUUAGGCCUAAAGGCAAGCACCAGGCUACAAUUGUUUGGCUGCAUGGCCUUGGUGAUAAUGGCUCGAGGUAACAUUGAUUUAGACAUCAGCAACUCACUCUCUUAGUACAUGGCUGUCUGCAUCCUUCUCCUGUCUUGCUUGAAAUCAAAUGGUCCGGGAGCUACUGCUGGGAACAUUCGAGGAGACAUCAUUCUACAGAUUUUAAAAUUUCUUGUGAUCAAUAAUUGUCUCAAUUUUGUUCUAUAGAAAUUGCAAGCAUCAACGCAUUAUCAUCGGGGUGGUGCACUUCAUUGAUCAACUAUUUGCUCUGUUUUAAACCCUAUAUGCUGCUCCCUAGGAUCUACAAGUACUAUCUAAUUUGGUUCUGCAGUAAACGCAUUUCAUUUUCAAGCUGGAAUUUCAUACUCUGAAGCCAAGGAUAGACUAUUGUUUUCCGGACUAGUGUGAAUUUUUGACUUAUUGUGCAAUAACACCUUCCAUUUCCUUUUCUCCUUUAUUACUAGGAAAAUGCUGGAACUUCCUUAGAGAAAAGAAAAGAAGGAAAGCAGCUUAAAGAAUGUUAAUUUGUUGACAGAUUAUAUGUCUGUUCUUCUGAAGUUUAAUUACUUUUCUUUCUGAGCCGGCUAACUUUUUCUGGAGAUUCUUUCACUAAUUGCGGAAAGCAACUGCGGCUUGAGCUUUAACGUUUGUCCUACUUAUCUGAUUGAGUUGAUAGGGGAAAGUGGCGCUGCCAUAGAAAUAUAGAAUAAUGGAACCACUUUACCUCUUUUGGUUUAAAUAUUUUUGUCUUGUUUUAUCCUGAGCUUUCCUUGAAGAUUUUGAAAGCACGACGUGCCAAAAGAGGAAUUAUUGUUCAGGAUAUCCAUACAUAUAUGGGACCACUUGUUCACUUACUUGUUAUCUUGUCAAUUAGCAAAUAGAGGAACCAUUGUUCAGGAUAUUCAAACACAUUAUGCCGAAAGAUGUGCAGAAUUCUGAAGUUUAACAGAUAUUCCGCAUUAUUUGUCUGCAUAUUCUGAACAGGAGUGCUUUCCGGUGGCUUCUCCAUGAGCAUUUCAUGGUCUUUAUAUUAACUAUUUGGCAUCAGAAGAGUUGAAUUCCAAUUGCUCCUUAUAUCCUGAAUGGAUGGUUCGUUCUGGGACUGUAUUAGAUGCAUUGUAUCCAUUGAUACACUAUUCAUGAGUGUUACACAUGAUUAAUUAAAAGUUCAUGCAACCACAGAAAUAUCUAACCACCUUCACCUUUGGAUCAAUAAAAUUUAUAAAGUGCAAGGAAAGAGUAAAAAUCCUCUAAAUGUCUCUCUCUUUUUCUGCAGUUGGUCGCAGCUCCUGGAAAGCCUUCCACUGCCAAAUGUAAGAGUUUGUGCCCCAUCUAAAGUAUUUCCAGCUUUGAAACUAAUAAUUGAUCUUUUGUAACUGCUUUUGGUACUGAAAGGGUAAGCACAUUUUGCAGAUUAAGUGGAUAUGUCCAACUGCUCCCACUCGUCCUGUGGCUAUACUUGGCGGAUUUCCUUGUACUGCUUGUAAGGCUAUAUCAGAAAACUUCAAUACAAUGAUCUUACUAAACUACUAUUUACAUGAACUUUGGUCUUUUACCAGGGUUUGAUGUUGGAGAGCUUUCAGAAGAUGGUCCUGAUGAUUUCGAAGGCUUGGAUGCUUCAGCAGCACAUAUUGCAAAUCUUCUAUCUACAGAGCCUGCUGAUGGUAAGUCCUGCAUAUGCCUACAUCACUCAGUAUGCAUUACCUUUAGUGAAUUGCACAACUUUAAAUUUGAUAUAUUUCAUAUGAAAAAAAUAAUAAUAAGAAAAAAGGCAUACAGAUCUUUCACUUUACAGCUCCUGCAUCUAGAUAAAAACGUUGACUAAACUAGGCUCCAUUUCUUUCAUUUCUUAUCUGAGCUAUAUUAUCAUAUGAUGUCAAAAUAAGUUUCUCGGGCAGUCUUUAAAGAAAUUGAUACAGAUAUUCUGACUUUCGAUGUACAAUUGGUGGAACAGUUAAACUUGGAAUUGGAGGCUUCAGCAUGGGCGCUGCCACUGCUCUGUAUUCAGCAACUUGCUUUGCCCAUGGAAAAUAUGGAAAUGGAAACCCUUACCCUGUCUACUUGAGAGCUAUUGUUGGUCUAAGUGGAUGGCUUCCUGGUUCUAGGUAUGACAGCAAUUUAUUAGCUUCUCAUGUAAAAUUUUGUCAGCAACAAGUCCUUUUAUCUACCAUUUGUAGUGCAUAAUAAACAGAACUGGAAAAAAUGUGUCAAAUUUUACAUAAGAAGAAGAUUACUUGAAUCUCAAUUUAUGCAAAACGAUAGUAGGGAAAACACGUAAAUACUAUUUGUUGUGAGAUGGCAGUUACUUUAACUGAUGCUCAAUAAAUUUCAAAUUAUCAUCGUCAAUAGAAGCUGAUUUAUGCCACAAGAACAAGUUUGGAGAAACAAAUUUUUAGCUUGUGAUUCACAAGAUUAAUUAAUGGAGAAUGCUUUGUGCUUAGAUGUUUGUCAUUUAGUUUUCCUUUCGUGCAACUUUGUGCUAUAAAGAUUGAACGGUGCUCCUACACUGCAGCGCUCUUCUACAGAAUUAGUUAACACUUGAUAUUGUGCAGGAACGUGAGGAACAAGAUUGAAGGAUCACACGAGGCUGCAAGACGUGCUGCAUCCUUGCCCAUCAUGCUAUGUCAUGGAAUGUGUAUGUACUUGAUAGAGCGCCCUGCAUUGAAAUUCUAUAGCUUUCUAUUCAGAGCUCCUAUCCAAUUUGUGGUCAUAUUACAUGGGGGAACUUGGGUAAUUUUUACUUAGAUCAAUCCAAAAGUAGAAGAAAGACUUUCUCAAGUCACUAAAGAAGCAGCGUGUGGCUAAUGUAAGGAGGAUUCCCAUAACAAUUGAGUGUUAUAUAAAUUUCUGCUAUUGACAGGGCAUGUGGUCAUAUUUGACUCGUUUAGGCUUCCCUCGAGCACUUACAAAAUGAGCCUCUGAAUAUAUAUAUGCACGCAAGCACUUCGAAACUCGUGAGGUCAAAUGGUUGGAUUAUAAAAGCAUGCAAACUAUAAAGUGUUUGUCUUUUUAUUAUCUAUAUAUUGCUUGCAGGUGAUGAAGUCGUCCCUUAUAAACAUGGAGAAAAGUCGUCCCAAAUCCUGAGCUCAGCUGGAUUUCGAUGCCUUACAUUCAAAAGCUAUGACGGGUAUCUGAUCUUUCAUCAGAAAGCUAAACGUACAAUUAUCUAGCUUGAACCAUAUGCUGAAUGUUUACCUCAUGCUGCAGGCUUGGCCACUACACUGUGCCAAAGGAAAUGGACGAGGUUUGCCACUGGUUAAACGCAAGACUGGGGUUAGAGGGUUCACGAUAAUAACUGCUCGCCAGCCAUCUUAUUUCUUGAUCACCGUUGCCAAGGGAAAUGGGGCGAAUCAAUAACAAAGGAAGAGCUUACACUUGCAGAUGCGGGAAGUAGCAGGUAGACAUAUAAGGGCGUGUUGCAGAGUGGAAGGUUUAAAUCCUAGGAAUUAAUCAUGCUUUUGGGUUUUUUUUUUCUUGUGAAAUAAAGUUUUGGGGACUUUGUUUCGUUUCAUUUCACUGCUAGCUAAGUUUUAAGUAUGCUCUCAUUACAGUAUGUUGUAAUCUACCUGAAAGACUAUGAGCCUUUUUAAGCAGAUCUUGAACCUACAUCCUUUCUAACAGAAGUGUUGACUAGAUUGAAGUGAAGAUAGUAGUUUCUCUUUUCUUCUUGUAAGAUAAAGUUGGAAAUCUACAUCCAUUUCAAUGUCUUCAAUCCCACGAUGAAGAACUCCUCGCUGGCUAGGGACCAAAGUAUGAGGAGAGAAUGUGGAUUAUGAUGCAGAAUCAAGAUUCAACAGCAUCAUAUUCUUAAACUCACAUCCAAUCCAAGUGAAACUGCAGAGACGUAAAAAUGUUCACCGUUGGAUGAUUUUCAAGAUAAAACUCAUUUUUUGUUUGUUAGUAAAAGUUCAGCUUCCCAAUUUUCUCUCAUCUUCUUAUAUAAUUUUUACUCAGAUACCAUCUCUCUCUCAUUCGACCUUGUUCAAUCAUAUUCGAACAAAUUUUUGAAAAAGAAAAAUGCAGAAAAAUUAAAAAAGGCCACCACUUAUGAUGUUCACAAAGCUUUUUUCACUCUCAAAAUUGAAGCAAUUUAUUAGUACCAGUGUUAAGAAGGACACACCCAAUGCAAUGUCAAUGUGCGUGUGGUUUAGAAAUAAUUAUUGAUUUUUAUGAAUAUACUAGGGAGAAAUAACCCGCGCGACGCGCGGGAAUUUGGUACUUGUGAUUCAAGAUAAUUAAUAAUUAUUGUUUAAUAUUUUGUAGUAUAGGAACUAAAGUAUGAUGAUUUUAUCAUGUGAUUUUAAUAGAAAAAUAAUAAAUUACAUAGUGAAUUAAUAAAAAUAAUGUGCAAUAAGACAUCCUUAUUGUUAUAUUAUAUAAGAAUCCGUUGUGAUCAAAGGUUAUGUUUGAAUUUCAACUGUAAAGAUAAGGGUAGUUUGAAAAUAUAAGAAUGUUUGAAGUGCAAUUGAAAAGUAUCCAAAGGUCUCUUCUAAAACUUAUCCAAGACGAUAAAACAUUUUAAAGUAUCAAUUGGACCCUUCAUCUCUUGAAUCUAUAUAUGUUCGUGAAAGAUCCCUCAAGCAAUGCUUCUGAUUUCUCCCUCGACUUAAGCUCAACCUGAAUUAUCAAGUCAAGUUUAUCCAUCAAUCAUUUUGCGUCCAAUCUAAUCUAAAAUAAUUUUAUUUUUUACUAACUAUUUAUAUAAUUUGGUGGGUAUAAUACGACUUAAUCACAUGUUUCUUACAGAGAUAAUAAUGUCCAAAAAUGAUAGAUAGAUAUGAAACUUAAGUGGUCUUUUUCAAAGUUUUGUAGAAACUAUUCAUAUUUGGUAUUUUUUGCUAGGGGCAUUUCUAUAUAAUCUCAUAAAUAAGUUCAAAUCUGUAUAAUUGUUAAAAAUUUGAAUUGAAACUAUCUUGAUUAUAAAAAAUUGGUGCAAAUAAUAUUUUCUAAAUUUGAAAUUGUAGAAAAUGGUAAGUAAAAUCAGAAGAAAUUCCUCAUAUGAAUUCGAAUUGCAAACUAUAGGUAGAAAUUGCUUAAUGAUAUUUUUCAAUGUUUACUUGUAUAAGUAUCCAAUAUAACAUCUCUACUUAAUUGACUCGUUUGAACUAUGGAUAAUGAUUGUUUCAAUCAAAUCAAGAAACAUUAUUUAUCAUUGUACAACAUAUAAUUAUGAGUAAAUGAAUUAAUACAAUGCAAUCAAAAUGGUGCUGUAGCUAAAGCAUUUAAACUCAUCAAGUUCCACUACAAAUUCUUUUACAUAGCAGAAAAGUAAAAUUUUUGUAUUUGAAACUAUAUAAACAGUAUAAUACAAGAACGAGAUCAUAACAUGGAAAGCAAAUAGAGUGCAAAUGACAUCUUAGUAUUAUAUAGUAUGAUUAAUUUUCUUUUUUAGUUUCAAUGAAGUACAAAAUUCUAAGUUAAUAAAUUUUACAAUCAUAAAAUUCCCAAUAAAAAUAAACAUAAGCUGAAUUUCAAAUCAUAUUACAUGAAAAAAUAACUACUUGAACCAUAACUGUUGGAAUGCAGUCAACAGAUUCCUGGAGUCAAGAAUAAUAGGAAAAAGUUCAUGAGAAAUAAGGUUAUUUGAUUUAAAUAAAGAAAUAAUAUCUUGGUUGGGGAGAAGAAAAUGAUAAAAUUACUUUUCUGAUUAUUUUAGAAAGUGACAACAUUAUUUUAAAUUGUACUUUGACCAGAGACAAAAUCUCUGGGAUCUACUAAGAAAAGCAAUACAAUUAGUUAGUUUUUGGAAUUAGAAGUAUCAAAAGGCAAACUAUAUGGAGUUCUUGAAUAAACCAAUCAUCAGGGAAAAAAAACUACAAUCUAAGAAGACAAACCCAAAGAACUCACCUCAAUUUAAAGGAAAAGUUAUGCAUUCCACCAAAUAUUUAAUAGCCAUAAUAAAAUCAAAGAGGUGAAACCGAAAAAGAAGAAAGUGUAUCGGCUAAACAUGGGGACAUAAAUAUGAUAAUGAUUGUUCAGAUAAUAAUUAAGUUAAUUAAUUGUAAUUAAAAUCCAAUUAUAUAAACAUCCAAUUAAUUCCUCAACAGAUGAGAAAGGUUUCAGGAAAUUAGAAGGGUUGGAUGUUAGUAUAAUAAAUGAUUAAAAGGACUUUUAUGUAAUUCUAUCAAAAUACAAACUUUAUUCAGUUGUACUUGAUACUCAACUUGGCACCAAAUAUUGUAACAUACCAAAUCUGCCCCUAACCUUAAAUGUCUGAAAGGUUAUAUAAGUAAUUAUAGUGAAAUUAAAGCUAUAAUGACUUGUACUCAAUGUUCCAAUUACUCUUCAAACACUAUCAUAUUCCCAAAAUAGCCUCACCCCUGCGGUUGAAAUCUAGUCUUAAACUCGUUCUUAUAUAGUAUAAGGAUUCAUUUUGUUUUUACAAAAAUAAAUUUUAUAUAAAUUCUUCUUGAAAAAAAUUACAAUUUAUUAGUAAUUUUUUCUUUAAUACAGUUAUAGUCUACAUCUAAGAGAGUUAGUUAUUGGGAGAUUAUAUUAGCAAAAAAUAUGAUUAGGUGGUUAGGAUAAAAAUUAAUUUUUUUUAAGCGCAAAAUUGAAAGUUCAAAAAUUGACCCAAAAUGUUUAACUCACCUCUCUCCUCUUGUUGGCUAGCUCACUAAGACAAUAUGGAUUACUCUUUAAGUACUCCCAAAAUUAAUUUAAAGGAAAAAGUUAACCAUAAAUUGAGGUGAGGGGAAGAAACGAAAAUUGAAAGCCGAUUACCCGACGACCGAACAUUUGAACCUCCCUCCUCUUCCUUGCUUUUCAUUAGGGUUUAAGAGAAAUCCUCAACGGUUGCCUUCAGGGGUUUUGCAGUCUCUCUCUCUCUCUCUCUGUCAGACACCCGCACUAUGAAUUACAGGUUCCAGAAUCUCCUCGGAGCUCCAUACAGAGGUGGCAACGUCGUCGUUGUCAACAACACACUCCUUGUUUCACCGGUCGGUAACCGAGUCUCCGUCACCGACCUCAGUAAAUCAGAAACCCUGACUCUACCAUGCCAAUCCUCCACCAAUCUCCGCCGAAUCGCUGCCUCACCUGAUGGCAUCUUCCUCCUUGCCAUUGACGAGAAGAAUCGCUGCCUCUUCAUCAACCUACGCCGCCGCGUUGUUCUCCAUCGUAUCACUUUUAAACACCCUGUCUCCACCGCUAAAUUCAGCCCUGACGGCCAGCUCAUUGCCGUAGCUGCCGGUAAGCUUCUGCAAAUUUGGCGCUCCCCUGGGUUUAGGAAAGAAUUUUUCCCUUUUGAAUUGGUUAAAACAUUUGCUGAUUGCAAUGAUAAGAUUACUGCUCUGGAUUGGAGCCCUGACUCGAAUUUUAUACUUGCUGGCUCCAAAGACUUGACAGUUAGGUUGUUUUGCUUGAAAAAGCUAAAGAGUUACAGUAAACCAUUUUUGUUCUUGGGCCACAGAGAUGCAAUUGUUGGCUGCUUUUUCGGAAUUGACAAGAAAACUAACAAAGUUUUGAGGGUUUAUACAAUAUCGCGCGAUGGGGCGAUAUUUAGCUGGGGAUAUAGGGGUGGUGAUGGUAAAUUUGAUGGAGGAGGACUUCAAGAAAUUUCAGAGCCAGAGUCUCCAGGUACACCGGAGCAGAAUUUUGAUGGUAAUCUCGCAGUGGAAAAAAGGAAGGAUGUUGAUGGUAAAAAUGGAACUUUGGAUGACGAGAGUGACUUCUUGUUGCAUAGGCUGAAAUGGGAACUGAUGAAGAAGGACUAUUUUAUGCAAGCGCCAGCAAAGUUAACUGCUUGUGAUUAUCAUACGGGACUUAACAUGUUGGUUGUGGGUUUCUCAAAUGGAGUUUUUGGCCUUUAUCAGAUGCCUGAUUUUGUCUGCAUUCACUUAUUGUCAAUAUCAAGAGAGAAAAUCACCACCGCUGUUUUUAAUGAUCUGGGGAACUGGUUGACAUUUGGGUGUGCAAAGCUUGGUCAGUUGCUUGUUUGGGAGUGGAAAUCAGAGAGUUACAUACUGAAGCAGCAAGGGCAUUACUUUGAUGUGAAUUGCCUAGCAUAUUCUCCAGAUUCCCAGCUUUUGGCUACAGGGGCCGAUGAUAAUAAAGUCAAGGUAUGUGAAAGAAAUCAGACCUGCCUUUUCGUGGUUAGAGUCCUGACUUUCUUCAUCUGCUGAAAGCACUUGCUUUAUUCGCUAGUCAAUUGUAGAUUGGCACAAUUAAUAUUUUCUUCUUGUAGGAAAUAACCUUCCCUGCAAAAUACAAUGACAAACUUAUAAAAUGAGUCUCAAAUUUUUUUCUUAUUUUAUUAUACAGAGUAUAAUUCAUGAAGUAGAAUACAUGUUUCACAGUCCUGCAAGAUGUAGCUCAAUGCAGAUUUGUCUUUAUAAUAGUGAUCUUAAGCAGUUUGUCUUGUCAUGACAUGUUCACUUCAGCCUGAAAAUUUUUGCAAUUACACUUGGUUGUUGUUAAUUUGGCCUCAAGCUGAAUCAUGAGAUUUAUUUCUUUGCCUUACAGGUAUGGACUGUUUCAUCUGGCUGCUGUUUCGUUACAUUCUCUGAGCACACCAAUGCAGUUACUGCACUUCAUUUCAUGGCUAGUAACCACUGUCUUUUGAGUGCGUCGUUGGAUGGGACUGUUCGUGCGUGGGAUUUGUUUCGGUAUAGAAACUUUAGAACAUUCAUUACUCCUACUUCUAAACAGUUUGUUUCUUUAGCAGCAGAUCAGAGCGGUGAAGUGAUUUGUGCUGGAACUCUUGAUUCUUUUGAGGUCCGAUGAAUUCUAGUUGGAUAUUGACAUGGCCAAAAGCAUUAUUGUUUGUUUCUCACAAACUUUUCUUAAACUAUUAUGUUCUAGAUAUAUGUUUGGUCAAUGAAGACAGGAAGGUUGUUGGACGUUCUCAGCGGUCAUGAAGGUCCUGUUCACGGGUUGAUGUUUUCUCCUACAAAUGUAAGUUGAGAAUGUGACAUGUUUCCUGUGGACAUUGUACCUUGGCAGUUGCCAGGUAAUUGUAUGUUUGUUCUUAUUCUGUGAAGUUAGUUUAAGUUUUCUUUUCACCUUGUAGGCUAUCUUAGCUUCCUCUUCAUGGGACAAAACUGUUCGCUUGUGGGAUGUUUUUGAAGGGAAAGGUGCAGUUGAAACUUUUUCACACACACAUGAUGUCCUCACUCUUGUUUAUCGCCCAGAUGGAAAGCAAUUGGCUUGUAGUACUUUAGAUGGGCUAAUCCAUUUUUGGGACCCACUUGAGGGCUUGCUAAUGUAUACCAUCGAGGGCCGUAGAGAUAUUGCAGGAGGACGUCUAAUGACUGAUCGCAGAUCGGCUGCUAAUUCAACGACUGGAAAAUGCUUUACCACCUUGUGUUAUUCUGCUGAUGGGAGCUACAUAUUAGCUGGUGGGAGUAGUAAAUACAUAUGUAUGUAUGAUGUCGCUGAUCAGGUUAGUUUGCUUUCUUUUUUUUGUAUAGAAAUUCAGUAUACCACAAAUUUACGCAUGGUUAUGAUUUAUUAAAUCUGAUGCUGCUAUCCCACUCUGAUGCUAGUUUUUAGCAUUCUUUGUCCUGAGGCCUGAGGGCUCAGAUUGCUAGGCUAACUUUACUUUUUUCUUGACCUGCCUGCUUUCCGCUAGUAGGAGCUAGAGUAAGUUCAUAGAUAUGGUUUUCUUCAUUCUUCCAUUUCUUUUUUGAAUGAAGUACUGACGUGAAUGAUAUGUUCAACAAUUUUGAAUGUCAAAUGUGUACAUAUGCAUAAGUAGUUCUCUGGUUUUCUUGAAUAUCCAGCAGGAUAAGGUAGCUGAUGAACUUGGCCUAACCUUUAGCUUGAACCUUUCUUUUGCCUGCAUAAUCUUGUGUCUCUCCUAAUAUAUUAUUGAAAUGAUUGGUAUCAAAUCUUUGUCACCGUUUCAGUCCCAAAACAAGAAUUUCUUUGACUUUGUAAACUCUAGGUGCCUCAUUUGGCAUAUGCUAAUGAAUUCAGUUUUAGUAUCUUGGAUCGAAUCAUAACCACAUAACAAAUAUUAUUACAAAGACCUUUUGUUAGUGAAAUAGUUAGAAAUAAAGAUAAGGUGGUUUGGCGAACUAAUUCAUUUGAGUUUCAAGUCAAAGGGGGAUUUUCAUGGAGCUGGACAUUGCAGUUUUCCUUGAUGAGGCAUAUUUACAAUCCUCCUCUGCCACUUAUUUCAUUCAAAUGCACACACACUGAGACACACACGUAUGAGCAAUUAUGAUGUUUUCAAGUUGUUUUUUUGUGUCUACUCUUGAUUCCUUGUAUGAAUAUUGCAAAUUUGUAGGUGUUACUUCGCAGAUUCCAAAUAACCCAUAAUCUCUCCCUUGAUGGAGUUCUUGAUUUCUUAAACUCGAAGAAUAUGACAGAAGCUGGCCCACUGGAAUUGAUUGAUGAUGAUAAUAGUGAUACAGAAGAAGGUGUGGAUAAGCAAACACAAAGUAAGUUGGCAUAUGAUUUGCCAGGAUCAAUGCCUAAUCAUGGAAGGCCCAUUAUUCGAACAAAAUGCCUGAGAAUUGCACCAACUGGCCGGAAUUGGGCAGCUGCAACAACAGAAGGAGUUUUGGUCUAUUCUAUGGAUGAUUCUUUUAUAUUUGAUCCCACCGAUCUUGACAUUGACGUCACACCUGAAGUAAGAAAUAAUUCUUUCAGCAUUUUGUUUAUCAAGUAAAUUAUAUUGGAUUUAAUGCAAUAAAAUUGUAAGAGGAGUCAAAAGUAUGACCGCAUUCGCAUUCUCUAAUGGUGUCCUAUAGGCGGUCGAUGCUGCAUUGAAUGAUGGUCAGCCAAAAAGGGCUUUAAUCCUCAGCUUACGGUUGAAUGAAGAUGCACUAAUUAAGAAAUGUAUUAUUGCUGUCAGUCCAGCUGAGGUACCAGCUGUUGCUUCAUCAGUCCCUUUCAAACAUCUACAGAGAUUAUUAGAGGCACUAGCACAUCUUCUUGAAAACUGUCCACAUUUGGAGUUUGUUCUUCGAUGGUGUCAGGUAAUUUUGCGACUUUAGUUGUUCUGUCCAUUUUUUUUUUUUUUUACACGAGCAACAUCGUUCAAGCAUGUCUUUAGAUCUCUUGCAAUGGGCUGUUGAUUAAUUUUUUGCUUCACAGGAGCUGUGCACAGUCCAUGGUCCCUCUAUCCAGCAUAAUUCCAGAAAUUUGCUCCCUGCUCUAAAAUCCUUGCAGAAGGCUAUCACUCGAUCACAUCAGGAUUUAGCCGAUACAUGCUCGUCAAACGAGUAUAUGCUUCAGUAUUUGUGUUCCACAAGCCACAAGAGAUGAUGAUCAUUUUCUCAGGAAGAUAGGUGGUUAUGCAUUGUCGUUGAUUAGGCUAGGAAUGUAUUCGUUUUUGGUAAUUAAUAUAGCUGCUCCACCACAAAAUGUGGUGAAUUAUUUACCAACCUGGACUCAAUGAAGAACCUGUGAAAUAGUACGAAGUUGCCAUUGUAGAACCCGUGUUUGUGUUGAUCAGCACUAGGAAAUCAUCGGGGAGAUAAUGACGCUGAUUUUUUUUCUUCUAAAAUUAAAAUGUACUGCCAUUUUUUCAAGUAAAUGAUAUUACUUAAAGUUUAGCUUUGGAGCUCCAAGUGCAUACUUUGUCAAGUGAGUGUCGUUAAUGUCUUCGGUCUUCACCAAAUUAAAAGCAUUUGUCCAUGCUGAGUUCUUAAAAACGUUUUUUCUUUUUUUCUUUUUUUGGUUUUAAACCUAGCGUAGGAAUGUAGCUCUUUUGUUACACAACUGUCGACCUCAUUAAGGUGAUUCGCACCCUCUAUCAUAAUUCUACUUUUAUAAUGCGGUCACAUACCACGUAGUUCAUAAUUCAGGAGACAUUUGGCAUUGGACCAUGUCUUAAGGGCUAAAUUGCAAUUAAGUUUCAUUUAUAUGACUGGUUUCUCAUAGUUUGUGGUAAUGGCAAAAAUUUAUCCUUUGCAUGAUGAGUUCAAGGGUAGAAGAUAUCAUCUUCAACCAUUAGAGACACAGGUAUUUGCGCAAUCAAUGAAUCCACAGCGCAUUUUCUUCUAAUUCCCAGAGCUCUUGAAAAUCUAGACGUGAUUUUUCACUCACUUUGCAACCUCGUCGUCCGAGAAUUACAAAAGUUUUUGUUUUAUACAUAAGGAUUACUAAAUUUAUAGAGGGAAAAUUAUUGCCAACUAAAAAUCACUCGCCCAUGCAAACAAAGUCAGACCACAACCAGACAGACUUCCUGAAAAGCAAUUCCACCAAAACACCAGAAACUAGUUCUAUUGCAUCAGCUAGUGCCAUACGAAGGAAUCACAUUCUAAAAUUUAAGUAGAGCCAAUGCAACGGCUCUAUUCUGUUAUACUUUCAAUCAAUGCU
rnacentral:lncRNA from 1 species